rnacentral:lncRNA from 1 species
UCAUGUCCUCUAAACAAUUGUGCCAAAAAUUAACGGCUGGAAGAAGAAAGAGAGAGAUGGAUUUCUUGAGUUGUGUACUAUUAUGUCUUAUGGUUGCCUGGAUCGUAAUCCAAGCCCUCCAAUAUUCAUUUGCAAGAAGAAUUCCCACAAACCUUCCACCUGGACCAAAGCCAUUUCCUUUGAUUGGAAAUCUCCUAGAGCUUGGAAACAAACCCCACAUCUCUCUAACCAAGCUUUCAAAACGCUAUGGCCCCAUUAUGACUUUACAACUCGGCCAGAUAACAACAGUUAUAGUUUCUUCAUCCGCCGUAGCCAAACAAGUCCUCCGCACCCACGACCAAUUCUUCUGCAACCGAACUAUCCCAGAUGCAGUCCAAGCCUGCAAGCAUGCCAAGUAUGGCAUGCCCUGGCUGACGGUUUCCUCCACGUGGAGAAACCUCCGCAAAAUAUGCAACUCCCAUCUUUUCGCGGCCAAAGUUCUCGACGCCAAUCAGGCCAACCGUCACCUAAAAGUGCAGGAGCUCAUAGCUGACGUUAAGGAAAGCGUUGUGAAAGGUAAGGCGGUUGAAGUUGGAAGGGCUGCUUUCAAAACUACGCUCAAUUUGAUGUCACGGACUGUGUUCUCUGUGGAUUUAGCGGACCCGAACAGUGAGAGGGCUAGAGAGUUCAAGGAGUUGGUGUGGAGUAUUAUGGAGGAGGCUGGGAAGCCAAACUUGGCUGACUAUUUUCGUGUGCUUAAGAAGAUUGAUCCCAUGGGGAUACGGCGCCGUUUGGGCAAGCACUUCCAGAAGAUGAUUGAUCUUUUUGACCGCAUGAUCGUCCAAAGGUUAGAAUCAAGGAAGUCACGUGAUUAUGUCACCGGGAAUGAUAUGUUGGAUACUCUUAUAAACAUGAGCGAAGAGAAAAAUGAGGAUAUGGACAUGGCUGAAACUCAACAUUUGUUUCUGGUUAGUUGCUACUCUAGCUCUAUUAAUUAAUUGAUAAUUAAAUUGCUUAGAUAUUAUAAUGAUAACUUAUUAACGUAACUUAUUGCUAGAUUGUGUACCAUCUUAAUUGAUCAUUUUAAAAUUAUGACUAUGGUCACUUUUAUUUUUGUUGAGAUGGUAUAAGUACGUUAAUCCUACACUGAUCAAGGUUUUGUGUUCGAUCCCCUUAUAUUGCUUUUAUUAAACAAACUAUUAUAAUUUUUUUUCUCAUUAUAUGUCUAUGUGCGCAUAUUAAUUUGACUAAUUAACUUUUUGGUGAAUUAGGAUUUAUUUGGUGCGGGCACAGAAACAACUUCAGCCACAUUAGAAUGGGCAAUGGCUGAGCUAUUACGCAACCCUGAAAAGCUAUCAAAAGCUCAAGAGGAGUUGAAACAGGUCGUUGGCAAAGGAAAACCAGUGGAGGAAUCAGACAUCACUCGGCUCCCUUACUUACAAGCCAUAAUCAAAGAGACCUUCCGACUGCACCCAGUUGUCCCACUUCUUCUCCCUCGCAGAGCCCAAGCAGACAUAGAAAUCUGCGGUUACAUUGUACCAAAGGGUGCACAAGUGCUGGUCAACGCAUGGGCCAUCGGCAGAGACCCCAGCAUUUGGGACAACCCUACCUCAUUUAUCCCUGAAAGGUUUUUGGGAUUGGAUAUCGACGUUACUGGCCAGAACUUUGAGCUUAUUCCGUUUGGUGGUGGGAGGAGAAUAUGUCCUGGGUUGCCUUUGGCGAUGAGAAUGUUGAAUUUGAUGUUGGGUUCGCUUAUUAACUCGUUUGAUAAUUGGAAGCUUGAAGAUGGAGUUGUGCCAGAAAAAAUGACCAUGGAUGAGAAGUUCGGCCUCACUUUACAAAUGGCUCAUCCUGUGAUAGCUGUGCCCAUCAAGUAUUAGGAGAACCAAACCUAGCUAGCUAUGGUUUCUAUAAUAAAUAGAUUUAUGUUUUUAUUAGGGAGUUAUAAUAAUUAAUCCUGCUAAUGAUAGGAAAUGGUCAGUUGUCAGUUAUGUUGUUAUUAGGCCAUAACUCCAUAUUUAUGUGUAUGAUAAUGGCUUGUUCUAAUUGUAGAUUGUUCUCUACAUAUUUAUAUAUUUUAUAAUGAUCAUAUGAAUGACUAAGGAGAAAAUAGUUUCUAUAUGGAAUAUGGUAUCAGAGCUAAUGGCUAACGCCGAUUAGCGAUUCUCCAGUUGCCAACAUUGAGAGUUGUUGGCGCUCCUCACUCCUCACCCCUCACCCGUAAGGGUGUUUGUUUAUGUUUAGUGCUUUUUCCUCCCCUCUUCUCAAAGAUGAAUAUGUUUUUUUCUUUCCAUGUUAGAGAUUUUUUUUGUAUUGUUUCAUCCUCGGUUAUAUUAACUGCGGGCAUCGGCGGCUUCUUUCUUUUUGUUGUGCCUGAUAAAAUUGACCUUAGAUGGCUUCAUUUUCUUCAAAUCACCCCAGUUGCCUUUCCCAAUCUGUCUUGAUGAGAUUGGACAAAUAACUUUAAUGGACCAAUAUGCGCAACCCAUGUAGAAAGCCAUAUCUAUUAUAGGGUGGACUCCUAUCCUGGUGUAUGAUUUUUGUUUUGUAAAAUCACCCCAGUUGCCCUUCAAAAUGAUGGUAGAUUGACCUUGCGAAGGCUAUAUCUAAAGGAAAAGCAAACAGAGCCAUGCCACUAGAACACAGAUUUUUGUUUUGUAAAUUUUUUAUUAAGUUAUUCGGUGUUGAUUUUUCAAUUUAAAAAAUGUAUUUGGAAAUCUUGUUGGCUCAAUCACUUUUCUUUCUUUGUUUCUAAUCUUCUAGAUUUGGGAGGGCCUACUUCGGCAACGGGUGAGAAAUGGUGUUAGAAGGGGAUGGAAAAGUCGUUGAAAAAUUAGGUUGGUUUUAUUUAUAUAUUUUUUAUUUAUAGUGAAAUGAUGGAAAUGGAAGCAUGUGAUUUGAUUUAACGGAAAUUUUUAAAGGAGUUUGAUGUAGGUGGUAAAUAUUCCAACACCUUAAAUAAUUCAAGUGGUUACUAGAAAAAAUUAAAAAUUCAUGUAGUAAUCCCACACGCACCUAGAAGUUCGGAUGAUAUUUAUGUAAAUUCCCCAUUAAGGUAAAUAGAGAGCUUGUAAAAGCUUCCACUUCUAACAAAUAAGUCCGGACCCAAAUUGUUCUCGAAUGUCUUUGCCUAAGUUUGUCUCUUAGCUUAGAGGAUAUAUAUAAACAACUUAAAAGAGUUAGUCUUGAAAAGAUAUUUUCAUGCUUUCUCGAUAAGUCUCAACAAUCGUGCCAAAAAUUAAUUAAGAGUUAGGCGAGAGAUGGAUUUCUUGUGUUUGCAUGCAAAUGUGUCUUAUGGUUGCCUGGAUUUCUUGUGGGGAGCUGGGAGGAGAAAGGGAUGGAGAGAAAGAGAGGGGGUUUAUUUAUUUAUUUAUUAUAAAUAUUUUUUUAAUGUUAUUUUAUUUUUAUUAUAUAAUUAAUUUAUUAUUUUUUUAAAAAAACGGCGGGUCCUAUAGUGGACUCGUCAUCAAUUACACUAAACGGUCAACUUAACAGAAGGUUUAAAUUGGUCAAAUUUGAAAAUUAUCAAGUGUAAAUUGUUGAAAUUGAAACUCGAGAGCCUAUAUUGAGAAUGAUCCUAAAUCUUCAGGAAGUCUUUUGACGUUAGUCGUAAUAUAUAUUUGUAAUUCCAUGAGUGUUUCAUGUUGCAUGCUCCGCGGGUCCUUUUCAAAAAAAUAAGCCAUGUGAACAAGAGUGAAUUUAGCUGAAGACAUGUCAUGUCUUCUGUUCAUAGAAAAACAACAAAGAAACUUUCUUUCCACAAAUGCAUGAGUGUUUUGUCUCCAUGCGUCAGGCAUCUCAAUUUUUAAAAUUGAUUGGUAAUAAGAAUAUAUCUCAGAGCAUUCACAAUGGUAGCAUGUAAAAGAGGGUGUAUAUCAAAUUUACAUUUUCUGUCGCCGGAAUCAGCUCCAAUGGUCGUAUGUAAAUGCAUUCUCAGGCUGAGAUGUAAAAAAAGAUGGAAGUUUACAUCUUUUUUCACAUCCUAGAAGCGGGUUCCACGACUGAUAAAAGAGGAGAGAGGAGAAAGAAGAGCAGCAAAAUUUCUGGAAUUAUGUGCCCCACACUCGCGAAUACAACUUCAGUCGCCCAACAUAACUUAGUUUGGGCCCCACUUGUGGCUUAGUGCACUUGAUUUAAUGGCAUUUGAAUUGGUGCUCCAACAGAUAAAACAUCAUACGACUCUAAUUUUUUACAAACCCCAAAAUGAUUAAUCUAAAGGCCCAAACAAUUUCUAAACAAACCCCAAAACCAUCUAAUUGUCUAAAAUUGAUGCAAAAAAAGGCCUAAUUUUUUCUUCUUCUAAUUUUCUAUAUAUAAGCACAACCUUUGUUCACAAAAAUACCACUCUUUAUAACUUAUUCAAAUUUAAAUAUUUUUAGGUUUAUUUUUUUAGAAAAAUAAAUAAAUCUAACACACACAAAAUUAAUUUCAAAAUGUUAACACACACACAAAAAAUAACACAAAAUCGAAUUAACACAAGAAAACCAAAUAUACAUCUUUAUAUUUACAUCUUCCCCAUUGGAGCAAAAAUUACAUAUACAUCCCCCAGAGAUGUAAAGAGGAUGUAAAAGUGGUUUUACACCCCCAAAAAUACAACCCCCCACUGUGGAUGCUCUAACAAGGCAUGAGCUCCUACUGGGAAAAAAAAAUUCAAUAGGGCCAAUCAUUAGUUAUUUUGAAUUCUAGCUACCCAUUCUUUGACUCACCUGCAUAUAUAUAGGGGAAUGCUAGCAACCUUCUCUCUAAUCUUCUCUUUUGGACUUUCUCCCUUUUUCUUAUGACAUGUGUCACUUUCUUUACACUAAAAACAAUGUAAUUAAUGCAUCAAAUAAGAUAACAUUUGUUUCCAAAUUUGCCCUUAUUUUUUGUAUUGAUUUUAAUGUUUCCUUAAAUUUAUUAUCCAAAUUUGUUACAACUUUCUUAUCACCUUGUUAAAAAAUUAAAUAAGAAAAAAUAUUAGUUUUUUUUUUUCCUUUUUUGAAAGACUCCAACAAAUAAGACUUACCUAAUUAAUGGUUUAGAAAAAAAUAUUACCGAAUUAAUGGUUUGAAAAUGCAAUCAAUGAACUUCCUUUUAAAACAGACUUCCUUAGAAGGACGACUUUUGUCCGUAUGAAAAAAAAGAUAUAUCUUUUGUGGAUUUUUUUAAGGUCAUUAUUGUGUUUAAAAAAAAAAGUUUUUCCUCUAAAAAAAAUAGACAUUUUCUUUUUUAAAAAACAGAAUUUUUUAAUAUUUUAAUAUUUUUUACAUAUGGUAAGAGAGUUGCAAAAAAAAAAUUGGAUAAAUUGAAGGACAAUACAUUUAAUAAGGGUAAACUUGAAAAACAAAAGGCGGUUUGUUCGAUGUAUUAAUGUCAUUAUUUUAAGUGUAUGGGAAGUGACACAUGUCAUGAGGAAAAGGAAGAAGGUCCAAAAGAGAAGGUUGGAGAGAAGGUUACUAGCAUUCCGCAUCAUUCAAUGAAACAAACUCUAACAGUUAGUUCUUUCUCAUGUGAAAUUUUUUACAUUUCUCACUUCUUCACAUGCACACUGCCUUUUCUUAAUUGGUCUGUCAAUUUUCUAUUAUGUAUGAACUUAUUAAUGUGUAUGAGUUCCUAUCGUGUAUUGGGGGAACAAACAAAAAGGAAGACAGAUUAGUCAAUGAAAUAAUAUAUGGAAUUUCCAUUCUUUCUUUAUGUAAUUUUCAUAUUAAAUGACGAAGAAAAUUCUAGAGGAAGACAGAUUAGUCAAUGAAAUCAUGUAUGGAAUUUUCGUUCUUUCUUUAUGUGAUUUUCAUAUUAAACGACGAAGAAAAUUCUAGAGGAAGACAGAUUAGUCAAUGAAAUAAAUUAUGGAAUUUCCGCUCUUUCUUUAUAUAAUUUUCAUAUUAAAUGACGAAGAAAAUUCUAGAGGAAGACCGAUUAGUCAAUGAAAUAAUGUAUGAAAUUUUUGCUCUAGGAAGACAAAUUAGUCAAUGAAAUAAUGUAUGCAAUUUCCUCUCUUUCUUUAUGUAAUUUUCAUAUUAAAUGACGAAGAAAAUUCUAAAGGUAGACUUAUCAGAAAAGGAUAUACAUUUGCUCAUAAAUGAAAAAGUAAAAUACAUGUCCUCCUCCUUUGUUCUGGAGAAUGGGACAAAAGUGGGUGGUUAUAAGACUUUGAGGAAGGCUUUUACCAAUCAAUCAAUGAAGACUAGAGGAAGACUUAAAUACCAACGAAUGGCUCCUUUUUUGGUUAGGGGAACGUGUGUGUGGGUGUUAAAAUUCAUUGGAGAAAGACUAGAGGACUAUACCACAUCAUGUGGUAGAUAAUGUGUCAAUUUGCAAAUAGCUUUAGUAGCAAGUGGACUAUACUAGCCACCUACAACUUUAAGCCUGAUCAUUCAGAUAAUGCUUGUAUCUUCUGUUUUACUGCGGUUGCUAGCACAAAGAAAGCCGAUGCUUUCGUUGCCUCUUCUACCUCCACGCGGCAUUGCUCUGUCGGGCUUUCUCCUAUUGCAGAUAAUUCCCCACUACUGCCUUCGGUAGGAGUAUGGGCUGUGUCUCAAUUAGUGUGGUUGAUCUUCCGAAUUGCCUUAGUUAGCUUUGCCUUACCAACUACCUAAUUAGACACAAGGCCUCUCCUCGGAGAGAAAGUUACUAGCAGAACUGUAUAAAACUUUUAACAGUUGUCACAUAUGAUUAGGUGUGUUAAACCCCUUUCAACCUUAACUCUAGAAUUACACAGAGUAACAAGUAUUAUUUAUUGAAUUAUCGAAACAGUACAAUAUUCUCAACAACUCAUUCUUGAUACAAUAAUUGCCUAAUAUAGCUGUAAGCUCUCAUUAACCAAUUAUGUUAGAAACUAAUAGUCCUGAUCUCUUGGACCAUAGGGGUCCAAGAAAUUUGUGGUCACUCACCGUUGGAUGUAAAUUCAACGGUUCACUCACUCUUGCACUCAUUUUAAUAAACUUUUUUAUACCAUUAGAUUAAUAUCCAACGGUGGGUGACCACAAUCUCUUGGACUCCUGUGGUCCAAGAGAUCGGGACUGUAGAAACUAAUUUCUUAACUAAUCAAUUAAUAAACUGACUAUGCCAGGUCAUCACUAAUCCAGCUCAACAAUGAUGAAGGUUCCUAACAAUGUGAUCAGCAGAUGUGACAUAGUGUUAUUGAUUAAAAUAUAGCCAUCCCUACCACCUCAUGUAAAUCCCACAAGACUCCCAUUCAAGGAGGGAAAGAAAGUAGGGGGAAUGCUAGCAACCUUCUCUCCAACCUUCUCCCUUUUUCUCAUGACAUGUGGAUUUUUUUAAGGUCAUUACUGUGUUUUUUUUAUAACAAAAAAAAAAAAAAAACGUUUUCCUCUAUAAAAAAAAAAAAAGAAGACAUUUUCUUCAAAAAAAAAAAUUUUUUGUUUAAAAUUUUUCACAUAUGGUAAGAGAGUUGUAAGAAAAAUUGGAUAAAUUGAAGGACAAUACAUUUAAUAUGGGUAAACUUGGAAAACAAAAGAUGGUUUGUUUGAUGUAUUAAUGUCAUUAUUUUAAGUGUAUGAGAAGUGACACAAUGUCGUGAGAAAAAAGAAGAAGGUCCAAAAGAGAAGAUUUAAGAGAAGAUUACUAGCAUUCCUCAUAUAUAUAUAUGUACUUUUUUUGAUGAGAAAAGUCCCUUCGAGUGGACAGGAAAUUGUACUUUUUUUGUCUUUUCGCAUUUUUCUUUUCAUGUUCAAGUAGUUUUGGACCAUCCUCUUUCAAAGCAGACAUGUGCAGUUGCAAAAGACCAUCGUGCAUGUUUAUGGGAAAAAACAAAACCUCUAGCCCACUUGGCUAAAAAUUAUUGUAUGUAUGUCAUUUACCUUCUUUUUUUUUUUUUUUCCUGCAUGUCAUCUACUAUUUUACGUGAUAUGUGCAUCUGUGAGAAUGAUAGCUCUCAAACGCUAGGCACCACGAGUGAUAAAUUAUUUUGAUUAUAGAAUUUAUAGUUAAAUGAUUUUAACUAUGUGGAAUUUUUUAGACCAAAACUCGAUUUAUUCAAAUUAUAAUAGUUAAGUUUAACAACUUUUGUGCAAUUAGAACCAGAGAGAGAAUGGAUUUCUUGAGUUUUUGUAUCAUCAUGCUAAACCUUUUCUUUGUGUUGUUGUUCUCAAUUAUUCAAGCUCUGCAAAGCAAAGCCAAUCCCAAAAGGCAUCUUCUCCCACCUGGACCAAAGCCAUUUCCCUUUAUUGGCAAUCUUCUAGAGCUUGGCAACAAACCCCAUCUGUCUCUCACCAAGCUUUCUCAAAUCGGCCAAUAUUCAUAUUGGGGAUUCCCCAUCCCCACCUUCAAUGGGGAAUGGGUUCCCCAUCUAGCCCCACCUUUUGAGAUUGGCCUUGCUUUGCAGAGCUUGAAUAAUUGAGAACAACAACGCAAAGAAAGAUGACACUAGGUAUGUCAGAGGUCGUAUACUCAAGAAAGAUGGCACCAGGUAUGAUUUUACGUAUUUCAGAUUGUGUGAAAGAUUUUGAACAUGUAUGUUAAAGAAAUCUAACAGUUGGUAUUAGAGCCAGGUUGUUUGCACAAACUAAAAUCGUUUUUCAAGCAUGCCUAUUACGAUUUCUUAUAUGUUUAUGCCAUGAUGAGUUUUUGGUGAUGUUCAAAAUUUGAAGAUGGAUUAAACAUAUUUUCUAAAUAUCAAGAAUAUUAAAGAAUCUGGAAAAGCAUGUUUUAAUUUGAUUUUCAUAUCUUCAAAACUUUAAACCCAUUUUUGACCUACCCGAUGACCUUAAAACCCCAAAAAUGACCAUAUGUAAUAGCACAGCUGUGAGUUGUGUUAAUUAGGUCAUUCCCUAUUCAGAAAGGUAUUUUGUGUAAGAUCCCACAUCAACCAACGGAGAGGGGGUGAUGUGCCUUAUAUGUGCACACCCGCAUCCAUCUAGCACGAGACCUUUUGGGAGCUCACUGGCUUCAGAGUCGCAGGAACUCCGAAGUUAAGCGAGUUAGGAGAUAGAGUAAUUCCAUGAUGGGUGACCCACUGAGAAGUUGCUCGUGAGCUCCCAGAAACAAAACCGUGCCGGCAGAGAGGGGGGCCCAAAGCUGACAAUAUCGUGCUACGGCGGAGCCGAUCCCGGGAUGUGACAAUUUGGUAUCAGAGCCACUCUGCCGUGUGGUACGAGUGUGCCAACAAGGACGUCGGGCCCUUAAAGGGGGUGGAUUGUAAGAUCCCACAUCAACCAACAGAGAGGGGGUGAUGUGCCUUAUAUGUGCACACCCGCAUCCCUCUAGCACGAGGCCUUUUGGGAGCUCACUGGCUUCGGAGUCGUAGGAACUCCGAAGUUAAGCGAGUUGGGGGCUAGAGCAAUUCCAGGAUGGGUGACCCACUGGGAAGUUACUCGUGAGCUCCCAGAAACAAAACCGUGCGAGCAGAGAGGGGGGCCCAAAGCGGACAAUAUCGUGCUACGGCGGAGCCGAUCCCGGAAUGUGACAGAAACAAAUCCUUAGCACAUGAGUUUGUUGUAUUAUUAGAUACUAAUCAUCCGGCACACAUACUAUGCAUGAGUAGAGAAUAAAUAUCCCUCAUUACAUUAACUUUUUAGUUGUGGGUCAAAUCCAGAUCUUCCGUUUUCUUCUCUACUCUAUAUAUAUAUAUAUUUUUUUUUUUUGCCAAAAUUAGGAAGGAGAAAAUGUUUGCUCACACACACACUACAUAUCAAGGUGGUACGGAAAAUAUAACCUGAGACCACUAUUCUACACAUCAUUGCCCAUUUUCAUUGGGCUAAACUUCAUUGAUCAUUGUCCUAUGGAGCAACUUCAACUGGUAGUGCAGGGGCAAUUUGGUCCAUAAAUAAUAAUAAAAACCAGUAAUUUUAUUUUUAUUUUUAAAAGUUUAACUUUCAAAAUACAAAUAUAAUUUUUUUAAUCCUUUUAAAAGUAAACAAUACAAUUUAUAUACAUACAUAUAUAUAUAUAUAUAUAAUCAUUCCUUUCUCACUCUUGUCUUUCACAAAGUCCCAGAUUCAUCUUCAAGUUGGAAUCUAGGCAAGCACUUCGUCGUUAACCAUCACCACCACUUCUAGGUAUUCGUGCUACAACAACCAUCACAGUCACUUCAUCAGCUGCGGUCUUACCUUUUGAAGGCCCUAGGUCUUACAGCAAAGGUGGAAUAGGUUGAUAGUACUGAUGUUCUUGAGGGCAUGCUUGUUAGAGAAAACAUAUUCAAAUGUAAAGAAUUGUAAUGAAAAGGAGGCUCUUUUUGUGAUUGUUGGCUUGUUGAGUUGAGUUGGAAAUUCAAGUGAAGGGAUUUUAUAGGACAAAAAAUGGGAUAUUUAGGCCCCGUUCGGUUAAGUUUUAAGGGGUUGUUUUCAUUUUCAGAGAACAAAAAUGAGGUAAGAACAUGUUCGAUGGCCCAAAAGCAGAAAACACUGAGAAUGUUUUCAUAAAAUGAAAACAAGUUCACGUGUACUUGUAGAAAACAGAAAAAAGAUGUUUUUAUUCUCACGGGAAACGCUCAAAAUAGGGGGAAGAGAGAGAGAGAGAGAGAGAGAGAGGGUUGCGACCUUCAACUGCAUCAAUUAAGAUAAGGGGAAGAUAGAGGGAGGAGAGGGCUAUCUUUUUCAAGUGGUGGCGCAGCUUAAGGUGACCGGAAUUGGCACUGACGAUGGUGACAGCUACUGGGCAGUUUUCCAGUCAAAAUCUAGCACUAUCUUGAGCCUCGAUUGAUGGGUGGGUUAGGUAGAGGAGGAAGAGAGGAGGAGUUUAAUGGUGAUGGCACCAGUUGACGUGACUGGACGACGAAGAAUCGCCGGUCUGAAAGUGAGAUAGAGCGCAGGGAGAGAGAGAGAGAGAGAGAGAGAGAGAGAGAGAGAGAGAGAGUUAGGGUGAGGGAGGGAAGAGGAAGAAAGAAAGGAGGAGGAGAAAACAGAAAAAGAAAGGGAAAAAAUUGAAAAAAUAAAAAAUAAAAGAAAUAAAUAUAGUUUUUAUUUAAAAAUAAUAAUAUAAUGUUAAAUUAUACAUUUAAAAAAAAUCUUUUUAGAACAUAAAUUAGCAAAAAUACACUUGAAAAAUAACUCAUAUGUUAUUAUUUUCAAAUUGUACUACAAGACACAUUUUCAUUAUUUUUAUUUUCUGAAGAUGUUUUCUAAUUAAUCUACCAUACGCAUUUUCAAUUCCUGAAAAUGCAAAUUCGUUUUCUUAUUUUCAUCCUCUAAAAAUAUUUUGUCAAAACAUUCUCCAAAAAUGUUAUCGAAUGGGCCCUAGCUUCCACUUCAAGCUGUUUGAGUAGAUAUACUAAAGUUGAUGCUUAAAAUAUUAGGCUUUCCCCAAACUUUUGAAACCUGGUCAAUGUUCGGAUGAGAGGCAAGCUUCUGAAGCAAUUUUCAAAAGGAAUUUAGGUAUUUUAUUUAUGACAAAAAGUCAAUUUUUUUGAUUCCUAUGGUUUAUUAUUUUUACUAUUAAGGUCCUUAUUUUUAAAAUUUGAUAAUUUUUGUUCUUGUGGUUUCAAUUUGAAGCAAUUUAAGGACAAUCCUCAAUUUGUGUCAAAUUUUUUUUUUUUAAAAAAAAAAAACUUCAACUAGUUUGGGAACGUUGGGAAAUGAGGUUUGGUUACUCAUGUUUGGUUACUGCAGUAAUUAGGAAUGAAAAGUUAUCAAGGUAUGAAAUUCCCCAUACAUUGGAAGUCCAUAUCCAUGAGUCCAUAAUUACAUUCCCAAGUAUCACUACUACGUUUUAAUAUUUGUGCAACGAACAAGAAUUCGUCGUGCAAAAUGCACUACGGCGACGGAAAAAAUUAGGGAGAUUCACUAUUAUACCCAAUACAUGGGCCCAAAUUAUAAAAAUACCAUAUAUGAAAUGGACUUUAGAAACACACCCAAAGCCUGUUUACAACAUAACAAAGAGGCUUUAACUUCUUAUAAAUUGCAAAACUGCCAUCAAUUUCUUAAAACAAGCCCAACCCGAAAAUCUCAUAAAAAUACCCAAAAUACUCAAUAGGGCAUCAAAGUAAUUUAAUAAUUAAUAUUAAAUUCAAUAAGGCCAGCUGUCAUUUUUUGGGUUUGUUUAUAGAAAUUCAAUAGUGUAGGGUUUAUUUAUAAUAUUAGUGCUAAGAAUGGGUAUAUCACUAAAUAUCUCAAAAAAUUAAUCGUCAUGUAAACCACUGAAAACUGGAGCGUCCAAAAUUUCCGUCGCGCAAAAAGUCUUAGUGCAACAGAAAACUUAUGCGUCGCUCAAAGUGAGGAAGAAAAACGCGCAAAAGAAACUUAGCCCGACGACAUGAUUUAUCGUUGCAUAAGAAAAAAGUGGGAUUUUUUUUUGGCCCAAAAAUACUUGUAUGGGAUUUUUUUUAGCGCCAAACCCUUGCGCGACGGAAAUAUAGUUUGUCACGUAAAGUUUAAUGUCGGUACAUUCUUGUGUGACAGAAAUUGGCUUUCACGUGACGGCGGUUUGCUUUUGGGCGAUGAAAGUUUGUGCGAUGAAUCAAAUUUUGCGUCGCGCAAAAGUGUGAUGUCGACACGUGCUUGAGCGGCGAAUAAGUUAUUUUGUGCGACGAAAAAGUGAUUUUGUGCGACGGAAUUUUUUUUUUUUUGCAAAUGCAGUUUGCGCAACGAAAUCAUGGGUCCGUCGUGCAAAGUCCUUCUUCUUUAUAUCUGUAUUCUACCAUUGCAGAGGCAUAAUGCAAAAAAAAAAAAAAAACAUUUUGCCUCUCUCUGCCGCUGCCUCUGCUGGGAAUUCAGUACGUUCAUUGGGUAAGUAAUUUUUGUCGUUAGUUUAAAAGUAUUAAUGUAAAUUCAUACUAACACUAUUAAUUUUGUUCUCGUUAGGGAUAUUUGUAAUUAGCGUUUGGUAGAGAACGAUUGAGAAGAUAUUUUAUUCGUUUUAUAUAUUUAAAAUGUUAAAUUAAUUACAUUAUAUUAAACUUACUUUGUGAAGUUAUAUUUAUAUUAUGGUAUUAAAUUGUGAGUGACGUAGCACAAUGUGUUGUGAUGUACGAAGUUAAUUGAAAUGAACUUCGUACUUUUAUUUUUAUUUUUAGUAACACUUAGUUUCCCGUUUGAUAUUAGUUGGAUUUCGUGCAUGGAUGCGUAAAGCAUGACUGCGGUCCAAUUAAUUCUUGAAUUGUCCCAUUAUUUGGAUAGUUUGGGAAUGCAUAGUUAUGUCACGUAAUGUACGGCUACAUGAUUAAAUUUUGAUUGUGGAGAUUUUGGUGUUAUCUCUGUACGUUCUUCAAGUGGUACAUAGGUAUUUAUACCUACAGUACACCUCAAGAACUGUAUCGAGAUGCUGUCGAAAUUCAUCCGCGUCGAAAUCUAAUCUCAUGUAGUCGUACAUUACGUGACAUGACUAUGCAUUCCUGAAUGGGAUAGGGCCCUUACCGGAGGCAUAAGGUGACAAUAUGGCUUCGUAUGAAGUUGUUGUGAUUGUUGUGUUGUGAUUGUGGUUUCAGGAAUUGUGAGCAGGAGGUGGAUACAUAACCCGAAUAGAUACACAGACGAAUACUUGGAUGAAAUUGAGGAUUUUAUUGAGUUUGCACGUACACACAACCCGGGUGCAACUAGAAUCCGUUAUCAUUGUAGGAGGAGUAAUAACACGUUGUGGGAGACAAUUGAAAAUGUUGGAUUUCAUUUAGUAAGGAGUGGAAUGAUUGAGACAUAUAACAUUUGGAACCUUCACGGGGAACAAUUAGACCAUGCUUCGUUUUCAAAUGCCACAAGAGUGGACCAUGUUGAACCUAUUAUGGAUCCUAAUGAAGAAGUCAUGGAUCUUAUACACGAUGCUUUUCCAUUUGCAUCGACCAACAUCAAUUAGGAAGGGGAAGAUGACGUGCCUACACCAAUGGACAAUGCAGAGUUUGAACAAUAUAAAAAAUUGUUAAAAAAUGCCAAAAGAGUUAUACUCGGGGUGCGAGAGCUUUUCCGUUCUCACGGCCAUUGUGGAGCUAAUGCAUGAAAAAAUAAAGUAUCGUAUGUCGAACUUGUGUUUCGAUUACUUUUUGGGGGUUUUCAAGAGAAUGCUUCUGACGGACAAUUGUUUGCUGAAAAACCAUAAACACGCACAUAAGGUAUUGAAUGGUCUUGGAUUGGGUUAUGAAAAAAUUCACACUUGCAAAAACAAUUGCAUGUUAUUCUACAAAGAGCAUGAAACAUUGGAUACAUGCCCUAUAUGCAAUGAGUCGAGGUUCAAAAUGACAUCUUAGAAUAGAACGACUAAGAUCCCACAAAAAGUCAUGCGUUAUCUGCCCCUGAAACCUAAGUUCAGCGAUUGUAUAUGUUGACGUAUACUGCCACAAACAUGAGAUGGCAUAAGGAAAAACGGGUAGACGACGAUGUGAUGCGGCAUCCUACAGAUGGGGAGGCAUGGAAAGAGUUCGAUUGAACGUUUCCCGAGUUUGCUGCUGAUCCUGAAAUGUUAGAUUGAGACUUGCCACUGACGGAUUCAAUCCGUAUGGGGUUCUAAACCAACACCACAGCACUUGGCCGAUUUUCGUAGUCACAUAUAAUUUGCCGCCUUGGAAAUGCAUGAAAAAAGAAUACAUGAUGAUGACUGUUUUGAUAACUGAGGAUCUUGGCAAGUCAAUCAAUGUUUACUUAAGGCCACUGGUUGAUGAGUUGAAUGAUUUAUGGACAAACGGUGUGCGCACGUACGAUAAAUCAAGUGGGAUGAUGUUCACUUUGCGGGCAGCAGUUAUGUGGACUGUGAAUGAUUUUCCCGCAUAUGUAAUGGUUUCUGGGUGGAGCAAAAAUGGUUAUAUGGCAUGUCUUGUAUGCACGGAAGAUGUAACUUCUGGUUGGCACGCUGGAAAGGUUUGUUACCUUGGUCAUCGGAGAUGGUUGCCAUGGGACCACGAGUGGCUGAAAAAAGAUAAAGAGUUUGACGGGAACACAUAGCGUCGCCUCAGACCUAGAGAAUUGUUCGGUGAUGAGAUCAUGGAACAGCUUAACAGUUUGGAUUUUGCUCCAUUCGAGAAAACAGUUAGUCGGACCAGACUAUGUUUUUUGAGCUUCCAUAUUGGUCGAAACUAAGAUUGAGGCACAAUCUAGAUGUGAUGCAUGUUGAGAAAAAUGUAUUUGACACAUUGGUGGGUACGAUUCUAGAUAUUGAGGGCAAGACAAAGGACACGAUCAAAGCUCGUCUUGAUUUGGAAAGAAUGGGCAUAUGAAGGGGUUUAUGGAUGAAUAGGGACAGUGAUAAAGGUUGAAGGGAUCUUGCAUUUUUUCUAGGAAACCUAAUGAUAAAAAGAGUUUCUAAAGUUUGUAUCAUCUGUAAAGUUUCUCGAUGGGUUGUAAUAUCGCACGUUGCGUGAGUGUUGACGGGGGUAAAUUUGCUGGACUAAAGAGCCAUGACUGCCAUGUGUUUAUGCAACGCCUACUUCCAGUGGGUAUUCGACACCUAUUGUCGAAAGAUGUAGUGAAGCCAAUCAUGUUGUUUUCCAAAUUUUUUUUCACAACUGACUGCAAAAACGUUGCGAAAGACAGACAUUUAUCAAUUGCACCAUGACAUUGUCCAAGUCCUAUGCAAGUUUGAGAUGAUAUUCCCUCCAGCUUUCUUCACAAGUAUGAUCCACAUAAUGGUUUACUUGCCAGAAGAGGCAUUGCUUGCUGGUCCUGUCAACUAUCGCUGGACGUAUCCAAUAGAAAGGUAUAUAAUCCUUAUCAUUUGUGUAUUCAUCAUUAUCACAUGCUUGCUAAUUUGUAUCAUAUCGUUUUAUUUUGGCAGGCUUCUAGGAGAGAUGAAAAAAAUGUACGCAACAAGGCGUAGCCCGAAUGAUCAAUUAUAGAGGCUUGGGUUCUAUAUGAGUCACUUACUUUCUGUGGAAUGUAUUUAAAAGACGUGGAGAUGGCUUUCAAUCGUCCCCAGCGCAAUAUUGACGGAGGUAUGAGAAAUGAAAAACUUUCUGUUUUUGCCCAAAGCACACGAAACUUUGGAGAUCCUUGAUGAGGAGAGUCAUUUUUCAAAAAUGACAUGGAGGUAUCGUAUUGGUUCAUACUGAACAAUUGUGAUGAGAUAAUGGCAUACUUAGAUGGGCAUGAAGAGAUGAUGAAGCGAGAACAUCCAUCACAUUUGUAUGCUCAAAAACACCAUGAAUUGUUUCCACAAUGGUUUUUGGAUUUUGUAAGUUAUAAGUGUUUUGUAUUUGACAAAUAUAUAUUGUAGUAUUUAAUUUUGUCAAACUAACAUGUGAAUGGUUUUGUAUAAUAUUAGGUGAAUAAGUUGAAAUCAUCGAAUUCCCCCACUUACAGUGAUGAGUUAUAUAACUUGGCGUUGGGCCCGAUUCGUGCUGAAUUGUUCUCGGGUUGUCAUGUUAACGACUUCAAGUUUUUGGGGAUUACAUGAGAUGACAAGUUGUGUACGUAAAACAGCGAUGUCCAUGUCCCAGGUGGAGGCGAAAGUACAGACACUGAUUUCUAUGGCAAACUCACAACUGUCGUGCAAUUGCUUUACAAAGACUGAUACCAAACGAUCAUGUUUAAGUAUCGAUGGUUUGAUACCAAUCCAAAUAGGCCGGGAAGUGUUAAAAUAGACAAUGGCUUACUAUUUGUGAACAUUAACAUAACAUGGUAUGAUGACGACCUUUACAUUUUGGCAAACAUGGCAAUACAGAUUGUGUAUCUAGAUGACCCUAAAGCCGGGAGUGGUUGGAAAGUUUUUCAGAAGAUGGAUCAUAGGAACAUGUAUGCUAUACCAGAACUAGCCUCAACUGACAACGACGUCGACAAUGUGGCUGACCAACAUUUAGAAUCUUCAAUGAAAAAUGAUGCGGAAAUACUUCGAGAUACAAAUGUUAUACAAGAACCGUUUUAGAUACAAUGGGUGUCUUGAAUCGAAAUACCGAUUCUGUCAAUUACAAUUGACCUCGGGGAUUUUCCGCGAUACGAUGUUGUAGUGGGCCCGAACAAUGACGAUCAUGUAAUUAUAGAGGAGGAGGAUUGAGAGACCGAAAGUGAUGAUAGCAACGAUAACGAAAGUUAUUAUAGUUCAAAUGAUGAAUAAUGAAUUUUUUUGUAAUUUUAUUAUGUUAGUGUACAAAUUUUGGCAAACCUAAUAUAUGUGGAGAAAUGAAACAUUGUUAAAUAAAUUGAGCUAUACAAGAAAAUGAGAAAUGAAAAUAAAUUUAGUUAUAAAACAUUGGUAAAUAAAUAUAUCCAAAACCUUUUCAUAAUAAUGUUGAAAAUUAUUUUUACAAAACAUUUUUAAAAAAAAAUGAAAAUGAGAUACAAUUUGACAUAAAUGUGUAUUAGGAGCCAAAACCUUGCGCGACGAAAUCUGCCAUGUCGCGCAUUGUUUGAGCGACGAAAAAUCACUCGUUGUGACUAUGUACCUUGCGCGACCAAAAGAUUUUUUUCGUCGCGUCAAGUUGCAAUUCCGUGCGACAACUUAAUCUUUCGUCAUGUAAAGACAUUUUGCGCCACGCUUUCAGUACUGAUCGCGCCAAUAUAUUUAUUUUAAUGUAAUAUAAUAUAUAUAUUUGAAAUUGAUGAUCGAAUUGAUUCAUUGUAUUCAUAUAGGGUCAAGGAGUGUAGCUGUAAAAAAUCAUCAAAAUCGGAGUUAAAAUAACUGAUAAAUCGUGAAUUUUCAUUUAUAACCGUCGAAAAGUUUUGUCCCGUCACUUGAUCUUUGAAUGUUUGUUUUUUCCGAUUUUUGGCGUAUAUGAUCUCGAAGUAUAAACAAACAAGUUUGAUGGUUGGAUCAUUGAAACUAGUUUUGUGGAAUGCAUAUGCCAUGAAAAUAAUAUAGUCACCAACAAUUAAGAGUUUAUUUAUACUUUCGUCAAAUAUAACGUAAGAUGUUGUGGCAUCCACUAGUGUAAAGAUCUUAAAUUAAAGAUCAAAUUCAGCCAUUGUAUUAAUAUAGGGUCAAGGAGUGUAGCUGCAAAAAAUCAUCAAAAUCGGAGUUAAAAUAAUCGUUAAAUCGUGAAUUUUCAUUUAUAACCGUCGAAAAGUUUUGUCCCAUUACUUAAUCUCUGAAUGUUUUUUUUUUUCGAUUUUUGGCGUAUAUGAUCUCGAAGUAUAAACAAACAAGUUUGACGGUUAGAUUAUUGAAACUAGAUACCAAUUAGAUACAUUUAUACAGAUACAGAAUAAACGGUUCCCGUAAAUAAAUAAACUUUGCGCAAUGAAAAAAAAAUUGGUCCCGAAAAACUUUGAGGGAUGGAAUCUUACGUCACGCAAAAGAUCUUUGAGCGAUGCAAAGACAGUGGGCGUCGCCAACAAACCUUUGAGCGACAACUGGGCAUCGUACGUCGCGUAGUGUUAAGAUUGUCGAGGGUUUAGGGUUCAGGGUUUAGGGUUUAGGGCUUAGGGUUGAUGAUUGCGCGACGAAUAAGAUGUUCAUGCGUUGCGUAAAAUGGGUCACACCUUUCACUUUUUCUCUCUGCCGCAAAGCUCUAAACCCCAAAUUUUGGUGAAUCACAACCUUGCUCGACGGAAGAACAGCCACUUUGUUGCGCAAAGUCUAUAAAAGAAAACCUUGCGCGACGCUUUUGUUUGUUCGUCGCUUAAUAUCGGCCAGGCCCUUCACCUUCUCUCUCUCCCGCUAAACCCUAAAUCCCCAAUUUUGGGGGAAUAACAACCUUGCACGAUGGAAUCUCAGCUAAUUCGUCACGCAAAGUCUAUAAAAGACAACUUUGCGGGACGCUACUGUGCUUUCGUCGAGAAAUAUCGGUUAGACCUUUCACUUUCUCUCACUCGCACUAAACCCUAAAUCCCAAAUUUUGGCAGAAUCACAACCUUGCACGAUGGAAUCUCAGCUAAUUUGUUGCGCAAAAUGGUCAGGCCCUAAACCCUAAACCCCAAAUUUUGAUGGCCACACAACCUUGCGAGACAGUUGCGUUUAUUCGUCGUGCAAUGUAUUGAAAAUUCUGGCGGAAAACAUACCUUGCGCGAUGCCUCAUGGUUUUUUUCGUCGCGCAAGUUCAAUUAAAAAUAUCUUGGGCUACACUUUCCUUUGUUCAUCACGCAAGAUCGAAUAAAUUUUCAGAAACAACACGACUGCCCAGACCCUUCUUCCUUAUUCCUAUUGUUUUGCCCUAACGCUUCUCUCCCUUCGCCGUCCACCGCCUCGCUGUCAGCCACUACUCCGCCGGAAAAAGGACUGGGCUGCCAUCACCUUCGAAGCCCACACCUUCCCUGCCGUCACCGCUACGUCUGCCAACGAUUUUCGCAGAUUAUUCUCCGGCCUUGUUCUCUCUCCUCCAGCCACCAAUUCCGACACCAAAGGUAUGAUUUCUAGACUAUUUUUCCUGCUUUAGCUUAUGGUUGGAUAGGAUUUGGUUAAUUGUUUAUUUUUGGUAUCUCUAAUUUAAACCCUAAGUUUGGCCGGUUUUUGAAUUUAAAUUCCGGCCACUUCCGAUCAUUUUUCGGGUUAGGUUCGAACAAAAGUGGCUCCAAUUGAAGUUUUGAACCUAGGGAGGAACCUUGGCCCUUAGUUUUUAGAAUUUUUCGGCGAUUGUUAUCGCUUUAGACACCCAUGCGCUGCCGGCGCGUGUGGUGCCGUGUGGGAUAACUGUAGCAGUGGGGCAUUGGGUCCCAGUGCAAUCCCCUAGUUGUUACGAGCGCGUAGGUGUGCUUGGAUUUGAAUUUGGUUACCAUUUGAGUCUCGAACGGAUUUCGCCUAUUGUGCAAUUUUUGAGUUUGAUAUGUUCGGACCGUUGGAUCGAACUCAAACUCACAUAUGUUGUACCUUGUAUUUCUAGGAUCGUGUAUGAGUCGACAGAUCAUGGAUCAGAGUCCCGGAUACUUCGAAAUCGCAAACACUAUGUCAUCUAUGCUUUUAAUUAAUUAGUUAAAAUGCUUAAUGAAAUUGUAUGUGCUUAUAAUUAAAUAUUCGUAAAUUUGAUUAAUUUGUAUGUGUAUUAAUGAAAUUUUGCAAAUGUCAAACCUGAUUAGAAGUCGUAAGGCAGAGACGAUUGCACAGAGUUCACCUGCCUCAGCUCAGUCGUCAUCUGCUGCCACUGCUCCAGCACUGAUGGACCACUUGCCAGUUGGUCCCGGGGGGUCCCAGGCCCCUACUUCGUCGGAUUCAUCAGUGGCACAGCCUGUUAGCGCCAAGUGGCGUCACCAGCCAGCUAGCACCACCGACACCACAUUGACCGACGCUACUAGUGCAUCGGGGUCAGCCAAGUAUAGAUUUCCUUCAACUACAGUUCUUUGUGUGUGUGUGUGUGUGUGUGUGUGUGUGUAUUUUAUAGUUAAAUUUGUUAUUUAUUUGACAUUAAUGUCAUAUUUCUUUGCAGCUAAGAAGAGCACCGGAGGGCCGUGUCGGCAGUUGAAGACGACGAAGGUCACUCGGGUGACCAACAGUCGUAUCAACAUCGGAUAUGACGAGCGACAUCGGGCUGCACCGACGGCGGAGUUGCAUAGCUCCUUGGCCCACGACAUUGGUCACGUCGUUCGGACCCAUUGCUCAAUGCAAUGGAAGUCUUAGAAGGCCAUGCCUGACGAGAUCAAGAUAGAGGUGCGUGGCCAGUUGUCGGUAUGUAGCCUACCUUUUAAUUCUUUUCCUUUCAAACUUUAUAUAUUUCUAUUACUUAAUAUAUGUUAUUAAUUUAUUGCAGACAAACUACAACUUAGAGGACCUCGACGACGAGUCGUUGGCGUAUGUCAACAGACUCUUCCCUGAGAGGUACAAGCAGUGGAAGAGCGACUUGCACCACCAUUUUGAGGCAUUUGAUGAUCCGCAAGUCGCUCUUCAGGAGGGUUGUCCGAAGGAGUUUGAGGGGCGGGAGGAUAGUUGGGCGUGGCUCUGUGCUCAUUUUCAAGCGCUCGAUUUUGUGGUAUUUUUUAAUAUUAAUUUCAAAAUUAUUACAUAUUUCUUACUAAUGUUUAUUUAAUUUUUUAUAUUUCAUUUCAAUUUCAACUAAUACGUUUUAUUUUUUGUAUAACAGAAUAAAGCCAAAGUCAAUAAGGGCGAUAGGAAAAAGAAGAGUCUUCUCCACCAUUCAGGUUCUAGGCCAUUCUCAUAUAGGAUGGAUGCAUGGCAGUGGGUAAUAAAAAAAUAGUUUAUAUUUAAUUUUUAAUAUGUCAUUAUUAUUAAUUUAUUUUUUUCGUACUAUUAUUUUUCUUCUCUUGUAAAAUUUCGGGAGGAGGUCCAAAUUCCCAGAGAUCGAUGUCUUUGGUGACGUUUAUGUUUGACCUGGGAAUGAGUUGGCCGAGUCCCUUCAUGUAAGUAUUAUUUAACUUUAAUUCUUAUGUUAUGCAUUCAAGUUUCAGGGUUAUUAUAUGAAUGUUUUAAUUUAUAUUUUAUGUUAUGUUAAACAGAUGACGAUGGUGGAGAGGAGCCAGUUGGUUCUUCAGGAAUCCUCCGCCCAACUUCCUCCCGAUACUCCGAUCGAGUUUAUGGAUCCUCCACGAGAUGCUGGGUUUCAGAUCUUGACGGAGACGUUGGAUCAGACUCUCAGGAGGAGGCCGGGGACAUAAUGUCGAGGGAUGGGGAAUGCCCGACGGAGGGAACCUAGACCCCGUUCAUCAAUGCAGUCAAACAUUCAGGUGACUGCUUUGACAGCAAAGGUGGCCGAGCUUCAGGGUCAGAUGUCAGUGAUUCUGUAGUCCCCCGCGUGGUCCGGCAUUCCAGUACAGCAAUUUGAUACGUCGACCUCCGAGCCCGUCCACCCCGAGCAUGCCCACUAGACCACUGCUCUUGUAGACCCGCAGACCUCCGAGCUGCAUAUGCCUGACGACCAAGUAGAUUUUGGAACAUUAUUUGAUUAGUUUUUUAUUUUCACAAUUAUAUUUUAAACCUUUCUCUUGUAGUAUACAUCUAUUUUAUUUUAUAUAAUUUUUUGUUCUCUUCAAUUCAUUUUUGUAUUGCAAUUUCAUUUUAUGACCAAAAAAAAAAAAACCAAAUUUAUUUUUUUACAAAAUUAAAAAAAACAUAAUAUUAAAUUUAAAUAAUAUAUAUAUUAAUUUUGCGCGACGAAAUAUUUUUCGUUGCGCAAAUUCACAUUUUAUAAAAUAAAAAAACGUAAAACUUCAUUUUAAAUACAUUUAGUUUAUUCUUGCGUGACGAAGUCAUUCAUCUUGCAAAAAGGAUAUGCGCUAUGACGAAAAUUUCAUCGCGCAAUAUUGUUCGUCGCGCAAAUGUUGGAGACACGAGUUGGGCGACGAAGGAAAGAUCGUCGCGCAACUGUUUGCGACUUGAAUCGCGCGACGAAUAUUUUCCUUCGCACAGUAUAUUCGCGACGAACAUGCUUUUGUCGGCCAAAGGUUUGUGCGACGAACAAUUGUGUUAUCCCUAAACAUUUUGUGCAAUAAAGGUUAACCGUCGCUCAGUUUUGUGCGACCAAUGCAAAAACUUGGUCACACAAAGUCUUUCCUCACUCUCUUUGCGCGACGGAUUGUGCGCGACGAAUUUUCUGUCGCACUGAAAAUUGUGCGACUAAAAGUAACUUUGCGCGACGAAAUCCUCUUCGCCGUGCAAAUCGUAAAAUGUAGUAGUGUAUGCAUUUAACAACAAAUGCAAUUUGAAACGAGUGUUGCUAAAUGAACUCUAAAAUUAACUGAGUAUACCCUAUGUACAUCCUAAUAUUUAAAUCAAACUGUAAAAUUAACUAAGUAUACCCUAUUUAGCUACCAAAAAUAUCAUUAGCAAACCCUUAUACACUCUAAAGCAUUAGUCGCCUCCUCCUUAAGCAUCCUUACAGGGAAAGCUCAACCGAAUUGAUGCACAAUCAACUGGGAACAAUGCAUGCUUGCCACCAACUCAUCUAAUUUCGGAUUCACACCAAGGUUUUGUUGCCACCCGAAUAAAUAGUCCGCGAGGUCCAGGGCCAUCCACUUAUGACUCAUGCUUAUCUAUUUUGGAAGCUGAAGACACCUGUCAUGCAUUUCCUUUUCAAAAGUCUAAAUGGUUGAAUAUUCUAUUGUAUUACCAACGUCAAAUAGUACCAUAUAUAUAUACAGCAAUAACCUUCUAUCAACCCUACUGUUAAGGCUUUGAAGACGUGAUCCAAUAUUAGUGGGAUUUGACCUACACUAAUUUGGGCAAGUAAAGAUAUUACAAAUAUUUACAAAGAUAUUUCCUAAUACUCCCCCUCAAGUUGGAGAGUGAAUAUCAUGAAGUCCCAACUUGUCGCGCAAUGUCACAAAUUGAUCCUUCCCCAAGGCCUUCGUAAAAAUAUCUGCCAUCUGGAAGCGUGUAGGUACAUACGAAGGACUAAUUAUUCCAGCUUGUAGUUUUUCUCGAACUAUGUGACAGGAUUAGCGGCAAUAUACAAAGCUGACUGAUUAUCACAAAACAAUGGUGCAGGAGCUAUCUGUGGGACUUUUAAAUCCUGUAGUAUAAAGCGUAACCAAGUUAGCUCCAAACAUGUGUUGGCCAUAGCUCGAUAUUCAGCUUCUGCUGAUGAUCUUGAAACAUUGGUUUGUUUCUUGGAUUUCCAUGAGAUGAGUGAAUUGCCAAGAAAAACACAGUAUCCUGUAACUGAUCUCCUUGUCGCACGACAACCUCCCCCAGUCUGAAUCACAAAAAGCUUUUAAUGUAAGAUUGUUGGUGGCAGAAAAUAACAAACGCUGACCUGGAGUCCCCUUGAGGUAUUUAAGGACCCGUAUGGCAGCAUCCUAAUGAGGUCUGCGAGGCUGAUGCAUGAAUUGACUUAGUGUUCAAACAAGAUAGACUAUAUCAGGCCUUGUGACAGUAAGGUAGAUCAAUCGGCCAACCAGUCUCCUGUAUUAUCAGUAAUUCUCAAUCUGUGGGAGUGAGUUUCAAAUUCUGUUCCAUUGGGAACUUGUCUAGGUGUGCGCCUAAAAGUCCUGAAUCCUGCAAAAUAUCAAGUGCGUACUUUCUUUGAGACAUGAAAAUACCUUUCUUGGAACGAGAGAAUUCAAUGCCUAGAAAAUAUUUUAAAUCUCCAAGAUCUUUGAUACGGAAGCGAUUGAGAAGGAACUUUUUGAGACGUUCCAUUUCUUGAAGAUUAUUUCCUGUGAGAAGCAUGUCAUCAACAUAGAUAAGAACUGCAGUAAAUGAAGUGCCUUCAGCUUUGGUAAAAAGAGAAUAAUUAGCUUUAGAUUGUUGAUAACCAGCCUUUUGAAUGGUAUCUGAAAAGGUGGAAAAUCAGUUUCUAGAAGUCUGUUUGAGACCAUAAAGAGACUUGUUGAGCCGACAUACAGCGUUCUCCCCCUGUUGGCGAAGACCAAGAGGAGGCUCCAUGUACACCACCUCAUGUAAAUCGCCAUGGAGAAAAGCAUUUUGAACGUCUAAUUGGUGGAUGAACUAAUGGCGGGCAGCAGCAACAGUAAGAAGACAACAGAGGGUAGUGAGUUUGGCUGUAGGGGAGAAAGUCUCCUGAUAAUCGAUGCCUUGAAUUUGAGUGUAGCCUUUAGCAACAAGCCGAGCCUUGUAGCACUCAAUGGUGCCAUCGGACUUGUAUUUGAUUUUGUAGGCCCAUUUGCAGCCGAUCAGUUUAUGACCAACAGACAGCGGAACCAAACUCCAAGUGUUAUUGUGCUAUAAAGCCUCUAGUUCUGCAAUCAUGGCUUGGCACCAAUGUGGAUCAAGAAUAGCCUGAGCAUAGGAUGUGGGUUCUGUGUGACCUGUAAUCUUAGCAAGAAAAGCACAAUGGGCAGAGGAUAAAUGAGAGUAGGUAAGGAAGUGGGAAAGGGGAUACCGAGUACCUAAUGCAGAACGAGGUGCUGAGGUUGAGUGAUUGACGUGGUUGGACAUGUGGUAGUCUGUAUGCCAUGCCGGAGGAUGUUUAUAGCGAGUGGACUAUCGAGGAGAGGGAAUGAGAGGAAUGGGAUUAUCUGUAUGUGGAGGGGUAGGGUCGACGGAUGGGGACAAAGGUGGGAUGGGAGAGGUGGGGUUGUCAAGCUAGUCAUAUGCGUCACAGAGGAUAGAGUGGUUAGGCACUUGUGGUGGGUUGGUUGGAGGGUUGGAGGAUUGACUAGUAGGUUGGGCGGAUCAAUUGGUGGGGUCCAACUGUUAAGAAAAUCAGAGGAAAGGUAGGGCUGAGGAGUAGGUGGGGUAAGGGAGGCCGAAAAUUGAGAGAAAGGGAAGGUAUUUUCACAGAAUCGGACAUCACGGCUUACAAAGAAUUUGUUUGUCUCCAAAUUGUAGAGUUUGUAACCCUUUUGGCCAAUAGGAUAUCCAACAGAGACACAACGUGUGGCACGGGGAUGAAAUUUAUGAAUAGGAUAGACAAUAGUUGCAUAACAGAGACAACCAAAGACUUUCAAGUGGUCGAGUGAUAGGGGACGGUUGUAUAACAAUUCAAAAGGUGAUUUACUGGAAAGUAAUGGUGAGGGUAAUCGGUUAAUAAGAUAGACAGUGGUUAAGACACAUUCACCCCAGAAAAUAAUGGGUAAGUGAGACUGAAAAAGUAAUGCAUAUGCGACAGUGAGAAUGUGGCGAUGCUUGCGUUCGACGACUCCAUUUUGUUGUGGAGUGUAAACACAAGUGCGCUGAUAUUCAAUGCCAUUAUUUUGAAAAAAAUCCCUCAUGGAGAAAAAUUCAGACUCGUUAUCUACCUGAAUGGUUUUAAUGUGGGCAUGGAAUUGAGAGUGGGCAAAAGAGACAAAAGAUUUGAGAAGGUUUUGGGUUUCAGAUUUAUGCUGCAUCAAAAAUAUCCAUGUGCACCUAGUAAAGUCAUCCACAAUGGUAAGAAAGAAACAUGCCCCUGAAUGUGUGGUAACUUUGUGUGGACCCCAAAUAUCACAAUGUAACAAAUCAAAAGGAGCUUUAAUUGAUAUUGAACUUAGAGGAAAUGGAAGUCUUGUUUGUUUGGCCAUGGGACAAACACUACAAUUAUUAUCAAAAGAAAUAGUAUUGGAAGGCAAUAAUGAAGAAGCUAAUCGAAGAAGAGCAGGGGAUGGGUGUCCAAGUUGCAUGUGCCAUAAAUCGGAUGAGAGUGAAACUUGAUAUGAGACAGGUGUCUUUUGCAAUGGAGACAUGUAAUAGAGACCACCACGCUGUUUACCCAAGCCAAUCAUCUUCCUCGUAGCCAAGUCCUGCAAGGCACAGAAGGUAGGAAACAAAAUGGCACAACAGUUUAGAGAAGUAGUGAGUUUGCUGGCAGACAUAAGAUUUAAGCGAAAAGAUGGAACACACAAAACUUUGUCUAAUGUGAUAUUUGAAUUGAAUGGUAUAGUGCCAGUGGAAGUGAUUGGGGCAUGAGAACCAGUAGGUAAAUUAACAAUGGGCAUUUGUGAUUAUUCAGUUUUAGUGAAAAGUCUGGGAUCAUAAGUGAUGUGAUCAGUAGCUCCACUAUCUAAAAUCCAAGGUUUAGUGAACACAGAAUUUAUGGAAGGAAUGGAAAAAGAAGCCAGACCUGCAGCAUUUGCAUAAGCAUUGCUAUUACCAGAGGAAUGAGUUGAACUCAUCAUAGAAACAGCAUGUGCUAGUUCUUGGAGUUGCUCUGCAGAAAACCCAUGUAAAGGGUUGGAUUGAGAGGCUGGCUGGGUUGGUGCACUGAAACCAUAUGAUUGGGCCUCAUGCGAUGGAGCUGUGUCUGCGGCGUGGGCAGUAGGAAAGGACCCACGUGAAUUGAUGUGCCCUCUAGACCCUUGACGUUGUUGCUUAGAUUGAUUAUGCCUAUUGCCUUGAAUUCCUGUGUCAUUGGGAACCCAUGCCCCAUUUUUAAAUUUACAUCUAUCCUCAGUGUGGCCUCUCCUAUCACAAUACUUGCAAUGGAAUUUAAGGGUCCGACAUUCUUCGAUUGUAUGACAGUUUCUAUCAGAGUGCUCACAGUGUUUGUUCGUCGAAUUAUUCGACAUAUUGUUUGAUCGGCUGUGAAUCGCAACGGCAAUGGAAAAAUUCUCUGUUGGUCCUGAUGUUAUUUGUUGCUGUGUUUCGUCUUGAACGACAAGUGAAUAGGCUUGGCGGACAUUAGGCAAUGGCGACAUCAUGAGGAUAUUCCCGCGAACACCGUUGUAGGUGUCGUUGAGGCCCAUAAGGAAUUGCAUCAUCCGAUCUUCUUCCUUUUGUGUAUUGUGUGCUUUCAUCUCGUUACAUGUGAGAGGUGUUUGAUAUGUUUCUAAUUCGUCCCAGAGAUCUUUGAGUUUCUUGUAAUAGUCUGAAACUGUCAUGGUGCCUUGUGAGAGAGAGGCGAUGGAUUUCUGUAUCUGAUAUAUGGUUGGGGCAUUCUUUUGUGAGAAUUGAUCUUUGAAAUCUUGCCACACUUGAUGGACAGUCUUGGCAUGAACAACUGCUUUGGCUAGAUCAGGUUCCACCGAAUGAGCAAGCCAUGAUAAAAUCAUACUGUUGCAUUGAUUCCAGAGAGCAUAUUCGGUUGGUUGUUUUGUUUCUACAGGAGGUUGAACGGAUCCGUUGACAAAGCCAACUUUGUUCUUGGCCGUGAGAGCAUGGAGCAUGGAUUUACUCCAAGAUGGGUAAUUGGUGCCAUUCAACUUUAUGGGAACGAGCAUGAGACCGGGGUGAUCUGAUUGAUGAACAAAAUAUGGGUGUGAUGAAUCCAUACCAGGAUUUUUGGUGUUGGUGCUUGAAUUUUUGGAAGUAUUGUCUUUGGUUUCUAGUGGUGUUUGAUCUGACAUGAUGUUUGAAGGUGGGUAGGAAGUAGAAGGGGUCAAGUACCAGGAUGAAGCUCUGAUACCAUCUAAAGAAAGUAAAUGGUUGAAUAUUCUGUUGUAUUACCAAUGUCAAAUAGUACAAUACAUAUAUACAACAAUAGCCUUCUAUCAACCCUACUGUUAAGGCUUUGAAGACGUGAUCCAAUAUUAGUGGGAUUUGACCUACACUAAUUUGGGCAAGUAAAGAUAUUACAAAUAUUUACAAAGAUAUUUCCUAAUAUCCUCGUCGGGAAAAGAUGUUCUGGGACUUGGUGGAAGUUGUAGUGGAGGUUUCAGACAGAAUGCUGCUUCCAAAGUAUUCAAGUUCCCUAAUGCAGCCAAGGUUUGCUGAAUUCUAUACAUAAUGAAUAUGUUGCUUAAAUCUGGAUUCAUAUUUCAAAAUCAAUUGGCUUAAUCAAUUGGAUUCAUACAAUAUAGAUAUGUUUUUUACCUUUUGAAAAACGUAGAUAUUUUUCACAUACGUUUGAUUGGGAAAUGGUGAGUAGGGUGUACUUGUUAAAAUUACAUUUGUUUUACAAUUCAACAUAUCUUUUUUGGUCAUUUUAUAUUAGGUUAAAUUAGUAAUUUAAUAAACAGUUUGGUAAUAAGGUGUACUUAGUUAAUUUUAGGGUUCGUUUAACAGCAUUCUUUGAAACCCAUUCUCAAGCUUCUAAACCUUGAACCAUGUGUGUGCCAUGGAUUUAAUUUAUUUUUCUCAUUCUAUCUAAGAUCAACUUUGAUAAUAUUUUUCUUUGUUUACUGAUGAACAAAAGUUAUACUUUGCAAGUGCACUAAUCGAUAUGAUAGUAUAGCAAGCAAACACGAGAGUUGUUCCCACAGAGAUUUGUAAAGUUUAUCAAUUAAUUUCAAAUAUGAUUACCUUAAGAAAAGUGAAAAAUAAAAACGAAAUAUUAAAAGUACUAAAGUAGCCGAAAAUAAGAUUACUCAAUUUUAAUCUAAGUGUUGAAAAUCAAGAAAAUAAAAUAACAAAGGUUGAAAAUUGGUUUUGAAAAUCAAUGGAUGAAAACUAGGAUUCCGACUUCACCGUAACAAUCCCAUUCUAUGUAUUGAGUCAAUUUUGAGAAUAAAGUUCCAAUUCAAUUCUAAGGGUUUGUUCUCUCUUUAAUAUGAUGAUUCGUUCGGCCCCGGUGUCACCAAAUAUCCUCAAUUAAACCCAACUAAUGAACCCUAUAGUCAAAUUUAAUCGAGAACCCAUUAAGUUUACGAAGGACAGUCAAGAACCAAGAAGUGUCUUAGCUUGAACCCCGUCUUUAACAACAACUCAUUCAUUCAUAGUGCAUAUAAGAUUAGGGAUGAACCCCUCACCCAAUCCUAUCUUAGACAAUCCAAAAUACUUAUAAUGGUCAAUUACAAGUGUCAAGAUCACAAUUACAAUAAUGAAUGAAACAAGGAAUGUGAAUUGAUUAAAAAUAAGAUGUUAACUCAAUAAUAUGGAAUCAUCAUGUUAGGUUACAUCGGAUCCCUAGCAAAGAAUUUAGUUACCCAUAGCCAUCUUAGGAACAAACAAUAUACUAAUGAAAAUAGAAUACAAAGUUUGAAUUAAGAUAGAAAAAUAUUUAGAUGAAUCCACUGCAGUUAAACUCUUCCUUUGGCAAAUCUUGAAGGCUAUGAACGGCCAAGAAAGUGAGUAUGUGAAUUGGGUGAUUGAGAUAUUGAACAAUAUGCUAGCGUUCUCCUAAAAAAUCUAGUCUAAAAGAUGUAUUUAUAGGCCCUAGGACUUUUCUCUAAUCAUACAAGGAUUAGGAAACUUUAAAAUCCCAAAAAUCAUAGGAAAACUAGCCAAAAAUGCCAAAAAUUAUGCGCUAGAUUUGCGCCGUCCGCUCGAGUGCCAAAACGUAGUUACAUAGUUCAUAGCUUGAACCACUCGUAUGAAAACUGAUGUAACUUCCUCUAGAAGACUCGAAAUCACGAACUGUAACUUCUCUAGAAACUAGACUUCCAGAGCUUUCCAACGAAAAUUGGCAAGUUAUCUAAUUCUUCCCGAGCACGUACAGGUAAAUCCUUAAAAUUGACCUAUGUGCACAAGCAGUUUCUUGACUUGCAAGUUGCUAAUUCCAAAUUUCUAUCUUCUUUACUCAUUUUCGCUAUAUUUUGCUUCUUUUAGUGCCAACUCAAGCCUAGGGACAAUUUCCUACAAAACUCACACUAAACACAUCAAAACAACCAAUUUUAUAGAAGAAACUAAUGCAAAUCAUAGGAACAAGGCAUGAGAAAAAAGCACAAAUAUGGAGUCCACAAUUAUAUUCCUAAGUAUGCAGUUACCAAACAUAGGAAUGCAAUUUGAAACCCAAUCUCAAGCUCCUAAACCUUGAACCAUGUGUGUGACAUGGAUUUAAUUUGGUUUUCUCAUUCUAUCUAAGAUCAAUUUUGAUACUAUUUUUCUUUGUUUACUCUUCCAAUAUUUUUACAUUGAUAGAAUUUGGGUUAUACUUACUUAAGAUACCAAAUUUGUAAUAUUGAAAUUUAAUAAUUAUAAUAAAUUCUCAAGUAUAUCAUAGAGUUAUUUAAAGUUGGCACUCCUUAAUAGAAUUCUCAAAUAUAUCAAAAAGUUAUUUAAAGUUCACACUCUUUAAUAGAAUUCCUAUCUCCACUGUUGACAAGAAACUUGGAGUCCACUGGAUUCAAGACCUCGAGCCUGUCUCGAGAAUAAGUUUUACACGCCCAUGUGUACCUAAAAGUCCAAUACCUUCGUGUUGGCCAAGUUGUGGGCCAAAUUCAAGUCACCAUACUCUUCUUUCUGAAAAGUUCUAAAGGGAGUUUAGGGUAUUUUUGAUAUAAAAAAAAUAAAAAGAAAAGGAGUUUUAUCGACAAGCAGUAUUGGAUCUAGUACGGAGCCAGUGAAGGCACUAGCCCCACUCAGUUUUGUCUACACCUAUGAAGUGUCAAAUUUACAUGAUAUUUUCUAUUGAAUGGGGACAAAUUAUUUAAUAAAAAUGCCUCAAAGAAGGCUAAAGCGAGGCAAUAAGAGCAUGUGCAGCACUUCGGUUUGGCCUGGGCAAAAGGCCCCCCUGCUAGCCUAAAGCAACUCCAGCGCUUCAGUUCUUGCAUUUUCAAUUUCAUUUUUUUUAAUAAAUUAAUUAAGGAAAAAUAAAAAAGAGGAAAAUCAUUACAUAUAGCUUCUUAAGUGAAUAAUGUUCGCAGUCGGUUCCAGUGAUGCGUUCCGUGUCUGAAAUAAUGGCACUAUUAUGUCCUCCGAAGGAAUAUACUCCCCCACAUCGUGAUCUGGUGGAACCGCCUCUGUCAAUGAUUGAGUCGUUCUUGUACUCCAUUGUGUCGGACUAUGAGGAUCGAGAAUAUUUUAAUUGUAUGAUGAGUGAGUAGGUAUUUCAAUUGUAUGAUGAGUGAGAUGUGAAUUUUAUAAUAAAUAUGGACACGUGGCAACCAAAAAUUUUAUCCGAAAAAUGUUAUCUGAAAUUUUAAGUGAGAAUUUUAUAAUAAAUAGUGACAAGUAACAACCGAAAAUAUUAUCUAAAAAGCUUAUCAAAAUUAAUGAUUUAAGUAUAAAAAAAUAGAAAAUAAAGUAAAAUAAAUAGUAUUUUCCCUUGCCCUUUGAAGUGGAACUAAAAAAGACAAGACUAACACUUUUCACAUAAAUAGUGUAUGUUCUUGCCUUACCUUUGCCUCGUCCUUGCCUUUUGAUAUGGAGGUGCUCUAAAGUGGCAAGUGAAUGGCUGAGAAGAGCUGCAUUAGGCCAAACUUUACAGGUUGUUGGUAGGCUCCAUUAGCCACUGCAUGCUAGGCCAUACUUUAGGACAAUUUCUGGAUCCACUAGUGCCUCCUAAACUGUACACCAAAACCAUUCUUUAUUAUAAAAUAGUUGACCUUUGCUCAGACGCCCAUACUAACAUGGCAGAAGUAAAACAAUUGAACUUGAACACUAGAGGUGCUUGUUUGAAUAUGAAUAGCCACCUGGCGGCUGUGGAGCUCUUUUACAAUUUUCGUCUUAUCUCUCUUCUAAUUAAACAUUAAAUUACUUGCUUUCGACCGAAAAAGGAAAAAAGAGAUUAUGUUGUAAUGAAAGUAAUGAAUCCCACGUAAAGGAAAAGAAGGAAGCUUAGUCAAAAGUUUAAUGAUGAUGUUAGAAGCUUAAUGAUAAUGUUGGGUAAUGAAGCCAUCCAAUUUGCCUAUAGACUUGCUCAUUCAAUUGUAGAACACACCAAAGGAGAAGAGAAGAGAAAGAAGAGAAAGUGAGAGGAAAGAAGAGAGAGUGAGAAAUCUGAGUGUCUUAAGUUCUGUAUGAGAAGAAAUUCUGUCAGUGUAAACACUAUAAAGAGCAAAUAUAAUUCUACUCCCAAUAUUCAAUAGUACUUCCUAUACUUUGCUUAUUUUAUUUUUAUAACACGUUAUCAGCAUGAUAGUUUCUCCUUUUUAUUUCUAAAUCUUUCCCAACUGAACACUAUGUGAUUAUUUCUCUGUCUCAUCUCUGUCAUAUGUCUCUUCUCACUUUACUACUACGACGACAUGCAAACUUUCUUUUUUGUGUUCUCACAAUUUUUAUGUUGUUUCAUCCAUGCUUGUUUAAUUUACUUCUUUGUAACGUAAUUUGGAAUGGUGUGGUUUUAUACCCCAUCCAGUUAUUUUAUGGUGGUGUAAUUUUUAUUAUCCAUCGCGUUGUAACACAAAUUAUCAUAAGAAAAUGAUGGUGUGAUCUUAAAACCCAUCUAUUAUAUCUUGAACGGUGGCAUAGUUAUAUUGCCCACAAUAUAUAAUAUGUUAUAUAUUUCAUAUGUAUUAGGUGGUGAUUUUAUCCCCACAUUUAUUUUAUUUACGGGUAUGGAGUAGGUUUACCCAUACGACAAUAUUUAUUUAAAAGUGUGGCACAGGUUUAUUGUCCACACAACUGUAUUUACUUUUCAUUUAAAAGUAUGGAGUAGAAUUAGUGCCCAUACCAGCACGUUUACUUUAUCGCACAUUUACUUUUACUUAAAGUAUGAUGUGGAAUUAACCCUCAUACUUUAUGAAUUUACUUUUCCUCACAUUUACUUCUAUUUAAAGUAUGAUGCUGAAUUAACGUCCUUACAACAACAAUUUACUUUAUGAAUUUACUUUACCGCACAUUUACUUUUAUUUAAAGUAUGGUGCAGAAUUAAUGUCCAUACAAUAAGCAAUUUACUUUACCGCACAUUUACUUUUAUUUAAAGUAUGGUGCGGAAUUAACGUCUAUACAAAGCAAUUUACUUUUAUUUAAAGUAUGGUGCAGAAUUAACGUUCAUACAACAAGGAAUUUACUUUAUGAAUUUACUUUACCGCACAUUUACUUUUAUUUAAAGUAUGGUACGGGUUUAUCGUCCAUACCUGCAAAUUUAUAGCACUUUAUUUUUAUUAUUAAUUAAUAUACAUGAAUAAAGAGGGCCUGAAGUUCCACAAAAAAAAUAUAGGGCCUGAAGUUUCUAUUAAUAAAUGGCUUAAUAUCCUAGAUCCCGAGCCUAAAGUUUUGGGUAAAAUAUGCAAGAUAUUUUUGGCCAGAAGUUCAAAAAUAUAUUAAGCCUGAAGUCCCGAAAUAUGUGCAGGAAAUUAUAAAAAUGUCCAUACUGUGAGAAUAUGUGAUUUUGGCUUGAAGUUCAAAGUCUAACAGUAUUGAGAACCUGAAGUUCCAACAAUCAAAUGGACAACCCUUAAGGCAUUAUUGCAAAUUGUGUUGCCCAUUCAUAUGGCUUGGGUCCAAGGGGCAAUCCAUCCACGAGUGGCAAAAAUGCAUCCUGGAAUAAGGGGAAAGCACAGACAAGCUAUAUGCCUAGAAAUGUUGAAGGCGCUUGUCAUAGAUAUGGUGCAAAGUAUAUUGGGCACGUACAUGCUGUACGCCGAAUCAUUUGGUGGAUCUUUAUCAAUCGUCACUUAAGAACAGGAAAGUGAAGACAAAUUACAUUGAUCAAGUUAUACCAGAUCUGCAAGCCACAGAUGACCCAUCGGAGUGUUUAUCAAUCUUCACUCAGACAUGACGCAUCUGAAUGUUUCCGAUUUUGCAAUUGAAAGAUGGAAUGAAGUUUAUGGGUCCGAAUUAGAUUAAAUUUCUUAAUGUGCCAUUUGUAUUAUCUGAAGUGUUGUUUUUUAAAUUUCCAUUUCAAUCCAAUAAAAGUGACAAUGUUUUCUAUACAUUGAAUAGAAUAAUUGUUUAUUGAUUCAGCUUAUUUUAUUUAUUUGAAGGGAUGGAUGUAAAUUAUGGAUGCCCUCAAAACGAAAGUUAUGGCAAAAAUAUUUGUCUUGCAGACAGCGCGACUACUCAUACGAUCCUUCGAGAUCAAAAGUAUUUCUCAAACUUGAUGCUUACAAAAGCAAAUGUAACAACUACAUCAGGUCCUACAGAUCUGAUUGAAGGCUCAGGAACGGCCCAAGUCAUGUUACCAAAUGGAACAACACUGUCCAUUCAAGAUGUUUUGUAUUAAUCUAACUCCAGAAGAAAUCUAUUGAGUUCCAAAGAUAUACAUUUGAAUGGCUACCAUGUUGAAACAAAGAAUGAGAAAAACAUGGAAUAUCUUUGCAUUACCUCCAGUGAUACCCAGAAGUGUCACUACUACAAAAAGUGAAAAAGACGACCAGAAAACAACGACGGUCUAAGUGAAAACCGUCGUGGUUUAUAAAAAGACGACGGUUCUAAAAACACCGUCGUGUAAUACAACCUUAGACAACUAAAAAAUGGAGUUUCAAAUGGCUGUUCAAAAACAACGACGUACAUAAUUAAACAACCGACGUCUAUUUGAAACAGAUUUCCUCAGUGUAAAAUCAAUGCCAACAAAGAACGGCAGAAGUUAUGAAUCGACCGACGUAGAAAGUAAAGACGACGAUUUCAAUAAAAACUGCCGUUUUUACUCAUAAAAUAACACGACGAGGUUUUCGUAUAAGACGCCGUAUAAUUACAAACAAAUCCACGGCUUUAAAAUACAAAAUAUCGCCGUAUUAAAUUAAUUUACAACGACGGAAAAUAUAAAUAUAUCGACGUCAUUCUCGUAUAGUUCUACUACGUUAUCUUUAAAUCGUACAAUAAAAUUUAUCGUCGUAUUUAUUCAUUUUAUACGUCGUACCUUUAAUUUUAACGGUCGUCUUAAUAAGAAUUUUUGUUAACAAUUUUUUUCUUUGAUUUUCUUAUCCUACGUCGGUAGAUCUACUUAAUGACAAGAAUUGAAAUAACCACGACGGUUUAUAUAGAACACCGCCGACAUAAUCAGUUUUGUCUGAGAUCCCAAGGGUUACGAAAUCUUACCAGAUGGAACUCUGUUCCACAUCAUAAUCUUAACAGAUGACACAGAUUUGCAAAUAUUGCGUCGUGUUAGUUUACAAAUUCUAGAACAUUAAUUUCCCUCAUUUUAAAUUUCCUCGGGAAAGAAAAAUCUAUUUAUCACGCUUUGGAAUUGAAAACUAAAACUGAAAGAAUACGGGAAAAAAAACUCCAUUUAUAAUUUAAAAUUAAAAUCCACGUCGGUUGUAGUACACUUAACGACGUUUAACAAAAUAAUCUACGUCGGUAAUUAUAAAUCUACCGCCAUCGUAACUUAAUAUAGACGACGAGAAAAGACGACGGUAGAACAGAAAACCGCCGUUGUUUCAGUUUCUUUAACAUAUCUUUCUGCAGGACUUGUGUAGUUCAAAGCAUUGACAAUGUCUUCAUCAUAUCUCCCAGAAACUACUGAUUCAAUUGCUCAUGCUUUAGAGGCCAUCUGAAGCCAUUUCUAUUCUUUAUCGCAUUCUUGAAACCCAUCUUCUUCUUCUGAAGCUCUACGGAUAAAGGAAGAGGCUAUCACAAUAAAUCCGACGGAUCUUCUUAGGCAAGAAAAUCAAGCAGAGGAUCAGGCACAUCUGAUCUUCAGAUUUCCCUGAGAAGCGAACUUUCCUUCGACAGCGAGUGGAGGCCAGGCUUGCAUCUCUUUUGAUGGAAAGCAAGGAGUAUUCAGAAGCACUAAGUGUCCUAUCAGGCUUGAUCAAGGAAGUGAGAAGGCUAGUUGACAAGCUUCUUCUUGUGGACAUAUAUUUGAUGCGAGUAAGCUCAAUUUCUCUUUGAGAAAACAUCCAAAUUAUUAUCUUUGAGACAUGAGAGACUGAGAGAGGAAGAACUUGGAACCUUAAAUGUAAACCGAAAAUGAAUGAAAGCGACAAAUUUAUAGAAUAAAUUUUUAAAACCAACGGCGGUCCUUACAAACAAACCGCCGUUUAAAUUGUAAAAUCAACGUCGGUAUGAUCGACGUAUAUUACAGAAAUCCACGUCGGUAAAUUAAUAAAAACGACGUGUUAAAUAAUAUACCAUGACGCGAGUUAUUACUUAUGUACUUUAAUUUUUGAGUUUACUACGACGGUACCUACAAACUACUGUCGUAUUUAUUUACCACGUCCGAAGUUAAAUGUACCGUCGUAUUUUGUAAUUUAUACGUCGUAGUUAUAUGUAACCGCCAUAUUAUUUUUUUGAAAUGGUUUUAUAUGUAAGCAACUUUUCGUCUACUUGACUUACACAUUUGUUGUUUUUAUAUUCUUAUUUUAUUUAAAUCUGUCAUCCAAAAAAGAAACUUUACAUAUUGCAGAAUAUUAAUUUCCUUCGUUUUAAAUUUCCUCCGGAAAAAAAACUCUAUUUAUAACGCACUGUAAUUGAAAAAUAAACUGAAAGGUCACGGGAAAAAAAAUUCUAUUCAUAAUUUAAAAAUUAAAAUCCACGUCGGUUAUAUUAAACCUAACGACGUUAAAUGAAAUGAUUCCACGUCGAAUGAAAAAUAUUGCGUCGUUUUAGUUAAAAACGACGUAGUUAAAUGUAACCGCCGUAUUAUUUUUUUGAAAUGGUUUUAUAUGUAAGCAACUUUUCGACUUACACAUGCACUGUUUCCAAACCCGAUUAAAAAUUUCAAUCUCCCAGAGAAACCUUUUCGUCUUUUUUCCUUGUCAGAGCAUUGUCAGAGUUUCUCAUCGUCUUCCUCUCGUCUUCUUCGUCGUCUCUGAACUUAAACAUCGAUCAUCUUCCUCUUGCUUUCAUUGCACGCAAAAGGUAAGCUUUCAUUUUCACUAUUUUGGUUACUGUUUUGCAUGCUCAUACGUUUUUUGUUUGAAAAAUCUUUUUACCUUUUUUCUGGCCAAAAUCAUUUUACUUCUUUCCAAGUUUGAUAAAAUAUACAGACAAAGAGAGAAAGUUUCCAACUUUGAAGACAACUACAUCAACUAAAUAAGACGACGGUAGACCACGACGGUUCGUCAGUUGUUCUAGCGUCGUCUGAAAAUUGACAAAGUUGUUUUUAAAAUAAUAGUCUUUUUUUAUAUGCUUGUUUAAUUGCAGGUUUGAUUUCGCUGAACAAUGGUUUUUGUUUUUCCCUUAUUUGAUAAAAUAUAAAGAAAAAGAAACUAGGGUUGGUAUCUAAUAUAGACGAUAAAAUAUAAAUAAUAGUUUACCACGACGGUGUAUUACUAUUGACGUCGUGUGAACAUAUAUACCACGACGUUAUAUAAAUAAUGGUUUUAAACAUUUAUUACGUCUGAGAUUAUUUCAUUGCGUCGUCUAAAAUCAUAUCAUACGUCGUAUUUUUUUAAUACCGUCGUUUGUGUUCUUAAUGUUUUCCUGAAAUAUUUUCACUUGCAGUUUUGUCUGUUAAAAUGGUUUCUCAACAACAAACUAAGGAUUCUGGCUCCAAGAAGCUUGGAAUGGUAGCUCCUCAAGAUAAGUCUUCGAAGGAGAUGAAGUCUUCGAAGAAGAUGAAGUUUGCUUCAUCAUCUGCUGAGACAGAACAAACCAGCCAGACAACAAUCUCAGAUGAUUCAAAGACUGGUCGAGGUAUGAGCACAAUGCCUCGUGUUGUGAAGAGAAAGCUUCAGAAACUGAGGCCAAUUGUUGAGUACAAUAAAAGGGGGAAAGGUGUUGGCCAAGCACAUAUUGAGAUGCAGUCGUAUAUUGGUGUGUUGGCACGCUCCAGGAUCCCACUUGUGGACAAGAAAUGGUCCCAAAUCCCCAAGGAUAUAAAGGAGCAGAUUUGGGAAGCAGUUGACAUGGCUUUUGUCGUAGGCCAAGGGGGCAAGACCUCUGUUUUAGCUUCUGCUUCCAAGAAAUGGAAGGAUUUCAAGUCUACACUAACGAGGCAUUAUAUCCUUCCAUACACCAAUGACAGGGAGAAAUUAAGCCAACCCCCUGAAACAUAUAAAUUCAUAGAGAAAGCACAAUGGGAUGCCUUUGUAGCUUCAAGGCUAUCCAAAGAUUUUGAGUCUGUGCAUUCUCAACAUGCACAGAUUAGGGAGAAACUCGAGUACAAUCAUCGAUUGUCUCGAAAAGGAUAUGCUGGAUUGGAGGAUCAAUUGGAGGAAACCAUGCCUGGGGUAGAAAUUGAUCGAUCUACCUUAUGGAAGAGAGCUAGACAGGACAAACAUGGUAACAUCCCUGAUCCAAAGGUGGCAGAGAAGGCAAAAUUAAUUGUAAGCCUACUCACUCUGUUUUAAAUUUUUAUUAAACUGUGAAUUAUUCUUAUUAUGUCGUAUGUUAUAUUUUUCGUCGUGUGAAUGAUAUUACCACGUCGAAAAGUUUUUAAAAACGUCGUUAAAGGUCUAAAUAGGAAUCACUACUAUGUUUUCUGUAAUUACAGCAUAAGACGUCGGUGGUUCAUUUUCGCGUCGUGUGAAUGAUAUUACCACGUCGAAAUUUUUUUAAAAACGUCGUUAACGGUCUAAAUAGGAAUCACUACUCUGUUAUCUUUAAUUAUAGCAUAAGACGUCGGUUGUUUAUUCAUUUCGUCGUUUUAAAUAAAUAACCACGUCGGUAUAACUACCGUCGUGAUAAGUUAUAAUAACGUCGGUUUAUACGUUAUUGCGUCGUGUGAAAUUAUAUAAUACGUCGUUUGUACAUAAAUAACCGUCGUGUGUUUUUUUGUUUAUCUUUGUUUUAGGAUGAAUUGCAGAAACAAGUCUCGGAAGGCAAAGUCAGAGUAGAUGGCAGCAAUGAUGUGCUGACCAUGGCUUUGGGCCCCGAGCAUCCAGGCAGGGUGAGGGGAGUUGGUGCUGGUGUUUCCCCAAGGCAAUAUUUCAAUUUGCCCAAACCACAGAGGGUGAGCUUUGACGACCGUUUGAAGGAGAGUUUAAGAGUUCUCCUUCAAGAAGAGACUAAAAAGAUGGAGGCUAAGGCAAGGGAAGAGGCCUUAAGGAUGGAGGCUAGGACAAAACAAUUGGUAGAGGCUGAGAGGGAGCAUUUCCUGAGUCAGCUUUCCCAAUUAAUUCCCAAUUUUGAUCCAAGCAUGCUUAAACCAAGAAUUAGCCAAAGCCCCAAAAAUCCAAUGUCUGACAAAGCUAGCUGCUCUGGAGGUGAUGUGAGAUCCCUACAUUUGGAGGAUGAUACUGCCAAAAUGGGGAAACAUCAGCCAGAUGAAGAGAAGGAAGAAGAAAAAAGAGAUGAAGAGAAGGAAGAAGAAAAGGAGAAAGAAGAUGAAGAAAAGCAUGACGACAAGGUAUGUUCACAUAACUUUGCCUUUUUUAUUUGUUUUUCAAAAUUUCAGACGUCGAUAUUUUUAUUUAAUCCGUCGUUUGUUUAAAACUUAGACGGCGGAAUUUUUUUAAGACGUAAUAAAAUAUUUAAACGACGGUUUUUGCACCGUCGUUUAAAUGGUUUCAGACGACGCUUUAUUCAUAAAACCGUCGUCUUUAUUGAAUUACCACGACAGUUUUUUCACCGUCGUUUAAAUACUUUUAAGACGACGUUUUAUUACUUAAACCGUCGUCUUUAUUGAAUUACCACGUCAUUUUUUUUAUUUCUUUAAACAGGUUAUUGAAGUUGGUGCUUAUUCAAAAAUGGAGGCGCCAUCUUCUUUAAAAACCCUUUGUCGUUUUGUGGAAACGACACUCCUGCCUGAGGAUAAGACAGUCCAAUUUACAAUUGAUAAGGAGGUGUUUGGUGGUGAGCGCGAUACCUUCCUCCUGCCUGAAGAUAUUACACAAUUUGCAGGCAUGGAAGAAAUUGGAGCUACUGUAUUGGCUGUAUAUAUGAGGUUUGUACUUCUAAAAUAAUAACUCGUUGGUUUAUAUAUUGCGUCGUCUUAACUAACUAACCACGUCGUCUUAACUAACAACCGUCGUGAUAAAUAUAUUAUAACGUCCUCAUCUAUUUCAGUACGUCGUGUGAAAUAUUAUAAUACGUCGUUUUUUUAUACAUAACCGUCGUGUUUUGUGUGCUGACUUGUUUAUAUUAUUUUAUUUGUUUAGGUACUUACACGAUGUUUUGAAAAAAGCCAAUAUGUGCAGUAUGGUUGGCUUUAUCGACCCUGCUACAGUUAGUGCCAACUCUGGCACAAUAACUGAAAGAUCACGACUCGUAGCAGCUCGACUUCAGAAGACAGACGGUGAACAGAUUUUCAUGAUGCCUUACAAUCCAGGGUUAGUCUCCUUAGGAUUUUGUUUUUAUGAUUUUCAAUAAAUGACAGCUUAUAAACUAACCACGUCGGUGUUUUAUUUUAUUUAGUCGUUUGAAACUACUAACCACGUCGGUAUUUAUUUAUCGUCGUGAUAAAUAUAUAAUGUCGUCGUUAGCUACUUUACUUCGUCGUGUGAAAUACUAUAAUACGUCGUUUUUGUAAAUAACCGUCGUUUUUAUAUUAAUUUUGUGCAGCCGUCAUUGGAUUUUGCUGAUUGUAAGAGCAAAGAGAGAAACCGUCUAUUUUCUGGAUCCUCUGCCAGGAAAUCGUGUGGUCGAUGAAGAGGCCAAAAACAUCGUGAACAGUGCUUUAAAAAUAUAUAAUACCCACAUAGCCCGAGCAGGACGUAAAAAUGUAAUUUGGAAAACUCUCUCAGGCACACCAAAGCAACCCAGCAAUGUCGAAUGCGGGUAUUAUGUAAUGCGCUUCAUGAGGGACAUCAUCAUGGAUCCUUCCUUGGGGUUUGAGAAUAAGGUAAGAAGAAAUUACCUUCAUACAUUUCACGUCGUUUUUUGUAUUAUCAACGACGGUCGUGUAAAAUUAACGUCGUUGAAUGGAUAUACUACGUCGGUUAUGAAAAAUAUCGUCGUCUGUGAUUGAAUUUCUUUUUAUUUAUAAACCCUAAUAGUCAUUGUUUAUGCAGUAUGCCAAGGGAAACCAGGAAGCUUCAUACCCCCAAGAAGCCAUUGAUGAAGUCCGGAAUGAAUGGGCAGAGUUUGUUUUCCAAAUUAUUAAACAGGGCAAUUAUUGAACACUUGAUAUUUAUGUAUAAUGUACCAAUUUUCUCUAUAAUAUGUAAUGUAAAAAUUUGUUGAGGUUUUCUUAAAUUAAAAAAAAAACAAACAUACAAAUUGCUUAACCGACGUGUAAUACUUUUCCAACGACCUAAUAAAGUCAAUAACCGUCGUAUUUUGUUGUUGCGUGUUUUAAACAAAUACGACGUAAAAAAAUAGUUAGACGACGUUCUUUGAACAAUUGAGUCGUUAAUGGUUUACAAUAUCUUCAAUUUCUUAAGGGUUCAGGGUAUAAUCGACGACGUUUAUGUAACGACUACGGUUAAGUCGUGGAAUAUAUAUUUUACGUCGUAUAGUUAAAUAGCCGCCAUGGUUUCUCAUUUUAACGACGUCAUUUUAACGACUUAGUAGUCUAUUACAAUUUACAACGUCUACAAUUUAUUUAACACCGACGUGGUUUGUUGUAUGGUAAGAAUAUUUUAUUAUUUUUAUAUCAAAAUAUUCAAAAUAAAUAUAAAAUAAAUCAGAAAAUUGAAAAGUCAACUCCUAUGAAGUCAUUGAUAUAUUUUCUUCCACAUAAACCUUGAAAAAAUUCAUUUUGAAUAACAAAAAUUUAAAAUGACCAUCCAAAACAAAAUUGUUUUGAUGAGUCAUAAAAUCACUUCUAGUUUUAUGGUUUAGGGUUUAGAGUCUAGGGUUUAGAGAUUAGGGUUGUUAUUUAUUGGGGUUUAUUUUUAAAGUAUAAUUUUUGGGUAGUCUAUGUUAUAUGUUAGGCUUUAAAACCAUAAAACCUUUUAUAAACUUAAUUUUUUAAAUUGUAUAAUUUAAUUUUAUGGGUUUAGUGUAUUAAUUUUUAACGACGGUGGUUGGGUCGUGGAAUACAUAUUUUACGUCAUACAGUAAAACAUACGACAUGGUUUACGCUUUAAACGACGUUAUUUUAAUAUGUAAGUCGGUUUAUAUAAUUUACAACGUCUUUAAUUUCUUAACACCGACGUGGUUUUUCAGUCGUCGUUAUAUAAAAAAUUCAAAAUAAAUUUAAAAUUAAUCCGAAAAAUGAACGGCCUUACGUUCUUAAUCCGAAAAAUGAAGUUUCCGUCGUGGAAUAUUAAAUUUACGUCGGUACUUGUAGAACUUUCGCCUUGGUUUUUCUUUCGACGUUUUAUAACGCGCGCGCUCUAAAAAUUUUCGCGCGACCUAAAUUUUUUUAGAUUUGGCUCUUAGCCUUAUACUUUGAUCCCUGAAACCUAAAAUUUCAGAUUUCACGCGACAUAACAUUUCGCUCUCUCACUUCUGCUCUAAUUAAAAGUUGCACUCUCCAGGCUCGUCGAAUCUGUGAGCUCGUCCAACCUGUAAGUACAAACCCUAUCUUCCCCUUGUAAAUUCAUUGAAUGAUAUUAGGUUGUUUUGUUAAAGGGUUUUAGGUAUAUGCUUUGCGAUCUGUUAAUAAUGUGCUUAUAGGUAUGGGUUCAUGGAUUUUCUGUUUAAUGGGUUCAUGACAAGAUCAAAUAAAGGUGUACUUUUGCUGUUUAAUGGGUUCAUGGAUUACAUUAUCUGUUAUGUUGAAUUGGGAAUGGAUUUAAUUUUGUCGUAUCUUUUAAUCACCCUAUGUUAUGUUGAAUUGGGAAUGGAUUUAUUGUUUUCAUGCUUGGUUUCAUGUAUAUGUUGGUUUCUUGCUUGGUUUCAUAUAUAUGUUGUGUUCUUAAUGGGUUUUGUGUUCUUGAAAAUAAACUGAGACACGACGAAUUUUAAGGCGUACGACGACGAUUACACGACGGUGUUUUUAAACUACCGUCGUUGUAUUACUUAUACACGACGGUUUUUUCAUAAACCGUCGUUUGUAUUACGUAUAAUAGACGACGUCUGUUGAAAAUCCGUCGUCUAUAUAUGCCAAAUACGUCUGUUUUUGAUUAAAACCCGUCGUCUCUGUUGUUUAUUACUUGCGAUUAGAUCAUUGUAUAAUCUGCUAUAGUGAUGGUCAUUGCCUGUAUUUUCACUUUAUUAUAGAUAAUAGGUUAUAGUGUCGGAGAUGGAUAAGUCAUGGAUGCACUCGGAUAGAAGAUCGAAGGCAUAUGAGUUUGGGGUGGAAGCAUUUUUGAACUUUGCUGUAGAAAAUCUUCUAACUACAACACAUAUCCGUUGUCCAUGUGUUAAAUGUGUUAAUUUGAAGUUGUUUGGGGUUGGAAUUAUAAGGGAUCACUUAUACUUUAAUGGAAUUGACCAAAGCUAUAAGAAUUGGACAUUUCACGGAGAACCUUGGGAAGCAACUACUAAUGCUAGCAGAAAUGUUGAAGAAGAUGAUGGCCAUAGUAGGUACAGUUUUGUGUCUGAAGAAAUUGAUAUGGAUGAUAAUGAUUUUGGUGAUUUUGGUUCGGAUCCGUAUGAGUUUGCCAAUGUGAUUGGGGAUGGAGAUCAACCAGUGUACCCUGGUUGUAGAAAGUACACGAAGUUAUCGGCAUUAGUGAAGUUGUAUAAUUUGAAGGCAAAACAUGGGAUGAGUGAUGUCUGUUUUACAUAAUUAUUGAUACUUCAAGGCGAUUUGCUUCCAGAAGGAAAUACAAUACCAACCUCCAUGUAUGAGGCUAAAAAGACUUUGUGUGCAUUGGGGCUGAGUUAUGAGAAAAUGCACGCAUGCCCCAAUGAUUGCAUCUUGUAUAGGAAGGAGUAUGAGGAUUCAACUAAUUGUCCUACUUGUGGUAUCUCAAGGUGGAAGGAAGGCAAAGAUGCAAUCUUGAAAGAGGGUGUGCCAGCGAAGGUGGUGUGGUAUUUUCCCCCAAUUCCAAGGUUUAAAAGGAUGUUUCAAUCACAUGAGACAGCUAAGAGUUUGACUUGGUGGCAUGUUGCUAGAAAAUCAAUUGACGGUCAGAUGUCUCAUCCGGCGGAUUCCCCGUCUUGGAAACUUCUUGAUGAUAAAUGGCCUGAGUUUGGUAAUGAGCCGAGAAACUUGAGAUUGGCUCUUUCAUCUGAUGGAUUCAAUCCCCACAGUUCUCUAAGUAGCAGAUAUAGUUGUUGGCCGGUUAUCUUAGUUACAUAUAAUCUCCCUCCAUGGCUGUGCAUGAAACGAAAGUUCAUGAUGUUAACCUUAUUGAUUUCCGGUCCUAAACAACCCGGAAAUGAUAUAGACGUCUACUUGGAGCCUUUGAUUGAUGAUUUAAAAUCCUUGUGGGUUGGGAUUAGAGGAGUGUAUGAUGCACAUAAUGGAGAAUACUUUACACUCAGAGCUGCAUUAAUGUGGACAAUUAAUGAUUUCCCCGCCUAUGGAAACUUAUCUGGUUGUGUUGUUAAAGGAUAUAAAGCUUGUCCAAUAUGCGGCGAUGAUACACCUAGUCACAGGUUGAAAAAUGGCCACAAAAUUUGUUACAUUGGGCAUAGAAAAUGGUUACCAAUCAAUCAUCCAUAUAGGAGGCAACGUGCAGCUUUUAAUGGGAAACCUGAAUAUGGCAUACCUCCAGAGCCAUUAACCGGAGAAGAAGUGCUGCAUAUGGUUGAAAAUGGUGACAGAGUUUGUUGGAAGAAGAAAUCAAUAUUCUUUGAUCUCGAGUAUUGGAAAUACCUUCCUGUGAGGCAUGCCCUAGAUGUUAUGCACAUUGAGAAGAAUGUUUGCGAUAGUAUCAUUGGUACAUUGCUGGAGAUCCCUGGAAAAAAUAAAGAUGGGAUUGCUGCUCGAUUAGAUUUAUUGAACAUGGGGGUCAAAACUGAUUUGCAACCCGAGUAUGGAGAAAGACGUACUCGUUUGCCUCCUGGGCCUUGGAAUUUGUCAAGAGCAGAGAAGAGAGAGGUUUGCAAUUCUUUCUAUGGUAUGAAGGUCCCUGAAGGUUAUUCUUCCAAUAUUAAAAAUCUUGUAUCUGUACAAGAUUCAAGACUUCUUGGCCUUAAAUCACAUGAUUGUCAUACCUUAAUGCAACAAUUGCUCCCUGUGGCAAUUCGUUCUGUUUUGGAGAAGCCUGCAAGGUAUGCAAUAACUCGUUUGUGCUUCUUCUUCAAUGCUAUAUGUGCAAAGACUGUUGAUGUUUCCAAGCUAGAUAAGUUGGAAGAAGAUGUAGUAGUUACUCUGUGUUUGCUUGAGAAGUACUUUCCCCCUUCAUUCUUUGAUAUCAUGGUUCAUCUAGUAGUACAUCUUGUCAGAGAAGUUCGUCUAUGUGGGCCAGUAUAUUUUAGGUGGAUGUAUCCGUUUGAAAGAUAUAUGAAAGUGCUGAAGGGGUAUGUUCAGAAUCGUACUCGUCCCGAAGGUUGCAUUGCUGAGCGGUAUAUAGCUGAAGAAGCGGUAGAGUUUUGUACUCAGCAUUUAUCUGAUGUUAGUACAGUUGGAGUGCCUUCAAGCCAAAAGAUGGGAGUUUCAAAGCCAUUAUCAGGUUGCACAGUGAGCGUAGUUGAUCAGGACCUGUUGAAUCAAGCACAUCUAUAUGUCUUGGAGAAUACGGAGGAAGUCCUACCUUAUAUCGAGUACGUAUGAGUUUUAUUCUUUAAGUUUCCAUUUAAAAUUAUUUCUUAUGUUUAUCUUAUAUAUUUGGGACCGUAAUGCUUGAAUUUUUCGUGUCAUGUAGGCAACAUAUGAUCCACAUCAAGACUGCUUAUCCAAAAUUUAGAAAGAGAACAAAGUGGCUGCAGGAUAAGCACAAUAGCACUUUCAUUCAAUGGCUACGCUUCAAGGUAUAUGUUGUUGAAUAACGUAUUUCUCUUUUAAUUUUCUUCUUAUUUAUAUGUUAGGAUGAAUUAAGAUAUGAUUAAUUUGCAGGUUCAAAGUGAAGUUGAGGAAGACAAUCAUGGCGUAUCAGAAAAUUUAAGGUGGCUAGCAGCUGGUCCAAACAUGUCAGUGCCAUUAUAUAGGAGCUAUCUUAUUAAAGGUAUUAAAUUCAAUAUCAAGGCACAAGAUGAUGUGCGGACAACUCAAAAUAGUGGAGUUUAUUUACUUGCACAUACCAUGCAAGUUGCUAGUGCCAAGGAUAAAAACCCAAUUCUCUCAAAUAUGGGUUUCUAUGGUGUCAUUCAAGAAAUUUGGGACCUUGACUACCAAAAGUUUACAAUCCCAGUCUUUAGGUGUGAUUGGAUAGAUAGUUCUGGUCUUGUAGUCGACGAACUUGGAUUUACCCUUGUAGAUUUGAGUAAAAUUGGACAUAGGAAUGACCAAUUUGUUUUGGCUUCUCAAGUCAAACAAAUAUUUUUUGUUGACGACCCGAUGCAUCGUGGUUGGUCGGUAGUGUUAUCAAUGCCUAGUAGAGAAUAUAAUGAUGUUAUUGGUGAUGAAGUAUUAGGUGAUGUGAUAAUUGAGUGUGAGCCAUUUACUAGAGGGAUGCCAAAUGUUGACACAUUUGAUGAACUGGUAGGUGAGUUAGGCGGUCAAAAUGUNNNNNNNNNNNNNNNNNNNNNNNNNNNNNNNNNNNNNNNNNNNNNNNNNNNNNNNNNNNNNNNNNNNNNNNNNNNNNNNNNNNNNNNNNNNNNNNNNNNNNNNNNNNNNNNNNNNNNNNNNNNNNNNNNNNNNNNNNNNNNNNNNNNNNNNNNNNNNNNNNNNNNNNNNNNNNNNNNNNNNNNNNNNNNNNNNNUAUUGUGAAGCAAUUAUUCAGGAUAUCACGUCGGUGAAGGAUAAAGAACCGCCAUGUAAUUCAAAAUAACACGACUCCAAUCCCAUAAUACCGACGUCUAAAAAACGAGAUAUGUAAUCUGAACGUUAAAAAAUACGACGUCAUCAUACAUUUUCCACGUCGCAAGUUCUUUUAUAAACGAAGAGGAACGAAAUUAAUUCCGACGGAAAUUCAUUAUAACCGCCGUCUAAUAACAAUUAAACGACGUUAUUUGUAAUACGGCUCCCAUCAUAAUCUACGCCGUCUAUAUGUUCUGUAAUACGGCUCUCAUUUAUUUGGAACCGACGUUGUUUAGACGUUCAACGUCGUCUAUAUUAUUAAGUGCGUCGUGAGUAAUGAAUACAUAUAAAUACAACGUCGACUAUAUAAAUGUAUACGUCGUAAAUAAUGACACUGACAACUAUUUCCACGUCAUCUUUUUUAGAUAAAAUCGAAGUGGAAAAUUUAUUUCACGACGGUUUUUUGUAAAUAAGAGACGUUGUAGAACUUUAGCAGACUAAACACGUCUGUUUUUAUUGUUUUCCGACGUUGUUGUAUUUAACAACGUCUAAUAUUUAUGGUCGUUGUUUGUUUCUGAAAAUAGGACGUAUAAAUUUUUUAAUACGACUCUCAUAUAUUUGUAACUGACGUUGUUUAGUUUUUCAACGUCUACUAUAGAAACACAUACGUCGUAAAUAAUGACACUGACAACUAUUUCCACGUCAUCUUUUAUCAAAAAAUCGAAGUGGAAAAUUAAUUGUACGACGGUUGUGUUUAUAUGUGCGACGUAGUAGGUAUCAAUAACGUCGUCUUCUAAUGUAUUUAAAGACGUCAUAUUUUUUAUUGUCGUGAAAAUUAUAUUUAACGUCGGCGUAUUUUUAUUGUCGUCGUUGUAUGUCUAUCUUGCGGCCUUGUUCUCUUAAUAUGUGUCAUAUUUUCCCUUUUUAACGACGGUCUUUUUAGAGAAUUGGUCGUCUAUUAUCAUCAUCGAUUGCUUUUUUUAGAUCUUUUGCAGUACAAAGACGUCGUUUUGUAUUUUUUGAUGACGUUGUAUUGUUUAACAACGACGGUUAUUUAGCGUCGUGGUUUAUGAGGGAAAAGAUGACGGUGGAUUCCACGACCAUUGAAAAACCAAAUACACGACGGUGAUUUACCGUCGUCUUUUUGCUUUUUUGUAGUAGUGUGUAUACUGGAGAAGUUUUGUGCGCUCUCAUUAGGAUUGCACUAUACAACCAUACGGACAAUUGAGGCACAUAGUGUCAUGGACCAAGAGUUCAUUGACUCAAAUGAUUUUAAGCUUUGGUAUGACUGGGUGGGUCAUCCUGGAUCCACCAUGAUGCGUAGGAUCAUCACCAACUCUAAAGGACAUCCCUUAUUGACAAAACACAUUAUGGCAUCAAGUGACAGCUUUUGCCAAGCUUGUUCACAAGGGAAGUUGGUGAUCAGACCAUCACGACCAAAGGUUGAUGUUGAGUCCCCAUCAUUUUUGCAAAGAAUCCAAGAGGACAUUUAUGGGCCUAUUCAUCCUCCCUGUGGACUAUUUCGGUACUUUAUGGUCUUAGUGGAUGCAUCUACCCGAUGGUCGCAUAUUUGCCUUUUGUCCACUCGGAAUAUGGCAUUUGCUAGGCUCUUGACUAAGAUAAUUAAAUUACGAGUCCAAUUCCCAGAUUAUCCCAUUAAGUCAAUCAGACUCGAUAAUGCUGGUUAAUUUACAUCUCAGACUUUUGAUGACUACUGCAUGUCAUAGUCAUUGACAUUGAACAUCCUGUUCCCCAUGUUCAUACUCAAAAUGGUUGGCAGAAGCUUUAAUUAAGCGUCUUCAAUUGAUAGCAUGCACUUUGUUAAUGAAAAUAAAGUUGCCAGUUUCUGCUUGGGGAUAUGACAUUUUACAUGCAGCAUCACUGGCGCAGUUAAGGCCCGUAACCAACAAUCAAUAUUCUCCAAUACAACUCGUGUUGGGUAAUCAACCAAACAUUUCCCAUUUAAGAGUUUUUGGGUGUGCGGUAUAUGUGCCAAUUGCACCACCGCAACGUACUAAGAUGGGCCCUCAACGCAGAUUGAGAAUUUAUGUUGGUUUUGAUUCCCCAUCUAUCAUCAGAUAUUUGGAGCCCCUGACGGGUGAUAUCUUUACCGCACGAUUUGCAGAUUGUCAUUUUGAUGAGACAAUCUUCCUACCAUUAGGGAGAGAAAAAUCUGUUCCUAAAGAACAACAAGGCAAACUCGUUCAUGAAGAACGACAUGAAUUAUCGUGGGACGUACCCGCUUUGUCUCAUCUCGAUCCUCGUAUCGCUCAAUGCGAAAACGAAGUAAGAAGGAUCGUUCACCUCCAAAGUAUUGCAAAUCAGAUGCCAGAUGCAUUUAAUGAUGCAGCAAAGGUGACGAAAUCACAUAUCCAAAUUUGUUACAACUUUCUUAUCACCUUAUUAAAAAAUUACAUAAGAAAAAAUAUUAGUUUUUUUUUUUCCUUUUUUGAAAGACUCCAACAAAUAAGACUUACCUAAUUAAUGGUUUAGAAGAAAAAAAAUCAAUAAUCAAACUUACCGAAUUAAUGGUUUGAAAAUGCAAUCAAUGAACUUCCUUUUAAAACAGACUUCCUUAGCAAGACGUCUUUUGUCUGUAUAAAAAAAAAAAAAAAGGAUAUAUCUUUUGUGGAUAUUUUUAAGGUCAUUAUUGUGUUUUUUUUUUAAAAAAAAAAGUUUUUCCUCUAAAAAAAUAGACAUUUUCUUUUUUUUUUAAACAGAAUUUUUUAUUUUUUAUAAAUAUUUUUUACAUAUGGUAAGAGAGUUGUAAAAAAAAUUUGAUAAAUUGAAGGACAAUACAUUUAAUAAGGGUAAACUUGGAAAACAAAAUGUGGUUUGUUUGAUGUAUUAGUGUCAUUAUUUUAAGUGUAUGAGAAAUGACACAUGUCAUGAGGAAAAGAAAGAAGGUCCAAAAGAGAAGGUUGGAGAGAAGGUUACUAGCAUUCCGUAUCAUUUAAUGAAACAAACUCUAACAGUUAGUUCUUUCUCAUGUGAAAUUUUUUACAUUUCUCACUUCUUCACAUGCACACUGCCUUUUCUCAACUGGUCUGUCAAUUUUCUAUUGUAUGAACUUAUUGAUGUGUAUGAGUUCCUAUCGUGUAUUGAGGGAACAAACAAAAAAGAAGACAGAUUAGUCAAUGAAAUAAUGUAUGGAAUUUGCAUUAUUUCUUUAUGUAAUUUUCAUAUUAAAUGACGAAGAAAAUUCUAGAGGAAGACAGAUUAGUCAAUGAAAUCAUGUAUGGAAUUUUCGUUCUUUCUUUAUGUGAUUUUCAUAUUAAACGACGAAGAAAAUUCUAGAUGAAGACAGAUUAGUCAAUGAAAUAAAGUAUGGAAUUUUCCGCUAUUUCUUUAUAUAAUUUUCAUAUUAAAUGACGAAGAAAAUUCUAGAGGAAGACAGAUUAGUCAAUGAAAUAAUGAUGGAAUUUUUGCUAUAGGAAGGCAGAUUAGUCAAUGAAAUAAUGUAUGAAAUUUCCACUAUUUCUUUAUGUAAUUUUCAUAUUAAAUGACGAAAAAAAUUCUAAAGGUAGACUUAUCAGAAAAGGAUAUACAUGUGCUCAUAAAUGAAAAAGUAAAAUACAUGUCCUCCUCCUUUGUUCUGAGGAGUGGGACAAAAGUGGGUGUUUAUAAGACUUUGAGGAAGGCUUUUUUUUUUUUUCAAAAAAAAAAAAGUUUUUCCUCUAAAAAAAUAGACAAUUUCUUUUGAAAAAAACAGAAUUUUUUAAUUUUUUAAAUAUUUUUUACAUAUGGUAAGAGAGUUGUAAAAAAAUUUGAUAAAUUGAAGGACAAUACAUUUAAUAUGGGUAAUUUUGAAAAACAAAAUGUGGUUUGUUUGAUGUAUUAGUGUUAUUAGUUUAAGUAUAUGAGAAGUGACACAUAUCAUGAGGAAAAGGAAGAAGGUCCAAAAGAGAAGGUUGGAGAGAAGGUUAGUAGCAUUCCGCAUCAUUCAAUGAAACAAACUCUAACAGUUAGUUCUUUCUCAUGUGAAAUUUUUUACAUUUCUCACUUCUUCACAUGCAUACUGCCUUUGCUCAACUGGUCUGUCAAUUUUCUAUUAUGUAUGAACUUAUUGAUGUGUAUGAGUUCCUAUCGUGUAUUGGGGGAACAAACAAAAAAGAAGACAGAUUAGUCAAUGAAAUAAUGUAUGGAAUUUCCAUUAUUUCUUUAUGUAAUUUUCAUAUUAAAUGACGAAGAAAAUUCUAGAGGAAGACAGAUUAGUCAAUGAAAUCAUGUAUGAAAUUUCCGUUCUUUCUUUAUGUGAUUUUCAUAUUAAAUGACAAAGAAAAUUCUAGAUGAAGACAGAUUAGUCAAUGAAAUAAAGUAUGGAAUUUCCGCUAUUUCUUUAUAUAAUUUUCAUAUUAAAUGACGAAGACAAAAUUAUAGAGACAGACAGAUUAGUCAAUGAAAUAAUGUAUGAAAUUUUUGCUCUAGGAAGACAGAUUAAUCAAUGAAAUAAUGUAUGAAAUUUCCUCUAUUUCUUUAUGUAAUUUUCAUAUUAAAUGACGAAAAAAAUUCUAAAGGUCGACUUAUUAGAAAAGGAUAUACAUGUGCUCAUAAAUGAAAAAGUAAAAUACACGUCCUCCUCCUUUGUUAUGAAGAGUGGGACAAAAGUGGGUGUUUAUAAGACUUUGAGGAAGGCUUUUCCCAAUCAAUCAAUGAAGAUUAGAGGAAGAGUUUUACCAAUCAAUCAAUGAAGGCUAGAGGAAGAGUUAAAUAGCAACAAAUGGCCCCCUUUUUGGUUGGGGGAACGUGUGUGUGGGUGUUAAAAUUCAUUGGAGAAAGACAAGAGGACUAUACCACAUCAUGUGUGGUAGAUAAUGUGUCAAUUUGGAAAUAGCUUUAGUAGCAAGUGGACUAUACUAGCCACCUACAGCUUUAAGCCUGAUCAUUCAGAUAAUGCUUGUAUCCUUUGUUUUACCGCGGCUACUAACAUAAAGAAAGCCGAUACUUUCGUUGCCUCUUCUACCUCCACGCGGCAUUGCUCUGUCGGGCUUUCUCCUAUUGCGGAUAAUUCCCCAUUAUUGCCUUCGGUAGGAAUAUGGGCUGUGUCUCAAUUAGUGUGGUUGAUCUUCCGAAUUGCCUUAGUUAGCUUUGCCUUACCAACUACCUAAUUAGACACAAGGCCCCUCCUCGGAGAAAAGUUACUAGCAGAACUAUAUAAGACUUUUAACAGUUGUCACAUAUGAUUAUGUGUGUUAAACCUCUUUCAACCUUAACCCUAGAAUUACACAGAGUAACAAGUAUUAUUUAUUGAAUUAUCGAAACAGUACAAUAUUCUCAACAACUCAUUCUUGAUACAAUAAUUCCCUAAUAGAGUUGUAAGCUCUAAUUAACCAAUUAUGUUAUAAACUAAUUUCUUAACUAAUCAAUUAAUAAACUGACUAUGCCGGCUCAUCACUAAUCCAGCUCAGCAAUGAUGAAGGUUCCUAAUAAUGUGAUCAGUCGAUGUGACGUAGUGUUAUUGAUUAAAAUAUAGCCAUCCCUACCACCUCAUGUAAAUCCCACAAGACUCCUAUUCACGGAGGGGAAGAAAGUAGGGGGAAUGCUAGCAACCUUUUCUCUAACCUUCUCUUUUGGACCUUCUGUUAGUAUGAAAAUAGUGUUGUCAUUUCCUAGACUCUAGCAUAGGUUGAAAAUUAGUGUGUGAAGAAUUGUUACUGGACGUUUUGGCACAACUCAUUCAACCCCAUACAUCCGAGGCAUGACUUGACCGAUAUGAGAAACUUGAUUUCAGGUAAAUCAUGGCAUAAUCAUGCAUUCAUUAUAGGAUUCCUAGUUUGAGUUUUCUUUUUCAAUCAAGUAUUUUUAUGUUAAUCUUAUUUUUAAUAGGAUUAGACUUUAUCUCUUAAGAUUACUUUUCUAGUUGAACUCUAUCUUGAUUUAAGUUAAAAUAUUAUCUUUUCCUAAGUGACAUGCACAAUGCUUAUUUUCCAAUUACCUUGCUUUAGGAGUCAAUUGGUUCUUCAUAAAAGUGGACGGUUGGUAACAUCAUUAAGAGUCCUUAAUGAAUCAGACUUUGUAUUUUUAUUGAAUCAGAAUUUAUAUUGUUAAUCGGAUAACUGUUUGGCCCUUAUGUGGCGUCUCAUUUAGGAGAUCAUAUUGCACCAGGUUUAAAAGAGUCUUAGCUGAAUUGGUCUUAGAGUUAUAAUUGUUUUGGAAGUGUAGUCUCGCAAGUUUCUCUCCUGUGAGAGAAACUUGCUUUGAAUAAAAGGAUGUCUGUUUCUUUUCAUUGUAGCUUUUGAACGUAUAAAAUUGUUGGGGUAUAUUGAAUCUAUGUUGGGAAAAGCUGCUGUACUUAGUUUACUCGGUAAGUCAUCAAGUGCUUAUGUUGCUUGGUGAUUGAUCAAAUUCAUUCAUCAUUCAUAUUGCAUUCAUUUGCAUUGUUCGGUGACUCAUACGGUUGAGGGCACCAAGACCGUGGUGACGGUUUUUUCUCCGGUGAGCUUGAAACAAUGAUGACCAGUAUUGCGUUUAACAUAAGGAGUGUCGAAGAUCAUCCCUUGACAGAAGUUGAAUUACGAAGAAGUUGGUAAACGUCAUCUAGAAUGUGUCUAGAAUAAGUGUGUGAGUACUUCUUGUAAUCAUCGUUCUAUAGUGGAUUUGUAUUGGACUGAGGAGUCCCAUGGAUUUUUUCCAGAGGAGGGGUUUUACCACGUAAAAUAAUUCUCUGUGUGUUUCUUUAUUUUAUGUUCAGCAUGUUUCAGGAUUGAUAAGCCAUAUCAAUCCUGCUACAUAAGUUUAUUUUUACUUAUUUGAUUAUAAUAUUAAAUUGGCCUAUUCUCCCCCCUUUAGGCAUUUUUAGUCAUCCUACAGGUAUUUUCACCUUCUUCCUUUUCUUUAUGACAUGUGGAUUUUUUUAAGGUCAUUAUUGUGUUUUUUUUUAUAACCAAAAAAAAAAAACGUUUUCCUCUGUAAAAAAAAAAAAAAAAGACAUUUUCUUCAAAAAUAUAUAUAUAUAUAAAUUUUAAAAUUUAAAUUUUUUUACAUAUGGUAAGAGAGUUGUAAGAAAAAAUUGGAUAAAUUGAAGGACAAUACAUUUAAUAAGGGUAAACUUGAAAAACAAAAGGUGGUUUGUUUGAUGUAUUAAUGUCAUUAUUUUAAGUUGUAUGAGAAGUGACACAUAUCAUGAGAAAAAAGAAGAAAAUCCAAAAGAGAAGAUUGGAGAGAAGGUUACUAGCAUUCCCUAUAUAUAUGUACGUUUUUUGGUGAGAAAAAUCCCUUCGAGUAGACAAGAAAUUGUACAGGAAAUUGUACAUUUUUUUGUCUUUUCGCAUUUUUCUUUUCAUGUUAAAGUAGUUUAGGACCGUCCUCUUUCAAAGCAGACAUGUGCAGUUGCAAAAGACCAUCGUGCAUGUUUAUGGGAAAAAACAAAACCUCUAGCCCACUUGGCUAUAAAUUAUUGUAUGUAUGCCAUUUACCUUCUUCUUCUUCCUUUUUUUUUUUUUUUUCCUGCAUGUCAUUUACUAUUUUACGUGAUAUGUGCAUCUGUGAGAAUGAUAGCUCCCAAACGUUCGGCACCAUGAGUGAUUAACUAUUUUGAUUAUAGAAUUUAAAGUUAAAUGAUUUUAAUUAUGUGGAAUUUUUUAGACCAGAACCUCGAUUUAUUCAAAUUAUAGAAGUUCAAUUUAACAACUUUUGUGCAAUUAGAACCAGAGAGAGAAUGGAUUUCUUGAGUUGUUGUAUCGUCCUGCUAAACCUUUUCUUUGUGUUGUUGUUCUCAAUUAUUCAAGCUCUGCAAAGCAAAGCCAAUCCCGAAAGGCAUCUUCUCCCACCUGGACCAAAGCCAUUUCCCUUCAUUGGCAAUCUUUUAGAGCUUGGCAACAAACCCCAUCUCUCUCUCACCAAGCUUUCUCAAAUCUAUGGCCCCAUUAUAACUUUGCAAUUCGGCCAAUAUUCAUAUUGGGGAUUCCCCAUCCCCACCUUUAAUGGGGAAUGGGUUCCCCGUCCAACCCCACCUUUUGGGAUUGGCCUUGCUUUGCAGAGCUUGAAUAAUUGAGAACAACAACACAAAGAAAGAUGGCACCAGGUAUGUCAGAGGUCGUAUACUCAAGUAAGAUGGCAACAGGUAUGUCUUUACGUAUUUCAAAUUGUGUGAAGAUUUUGAACAUGUAUAUUAAAGAAAUCUCACAGUUGGUAUCAGAGCCAGGUUGUUCGCACACACUAAAAUCGUUUUUCAAGCAUGCCAAUUACGAUUUCUUAUAUGUUUAUGCCAUGAUGAGUUUUUGGUGAUGUUCAAAAUUUGAAGAUGGAUUAAACAUGUUUUCUAAAUAUCGAGAAUAUUAAAGAAUCUGGAAAAGCAUGUUUUAAUUUGAUUUUCAUAUCUUCAAAACUUUAAACACGUUUUUGACCUACCUGAUGACCUGAAAACCCCAAAAAUGCCCAUAUGUAAUAGCAUAGUUGUGAGUUGUGUUAAUUAUGUCAUUCCCUAUUUAGAAAGGUAUUUUGCGUCAAAAACGAACACCAAAAACGUCUAAAACACUGUUCACUGCAGAAAUUACUAUUCACUGCAAUUUAGGGUUUUCUCUCUUGAACUGUAUUUGUUUCGUUAUUUUCUGAGCUAGAUAGGUGCUUAUUUUUGUUCUGAGAAUCAACAAAUUUUUCUUAACAAAACCAAACCUAAAUACUCAAAUCCUAAAGAAAUAACAAAAAUUGCAUCAUACCUAAAUUACUUGAUAAGUUUCUUCAACAAAUAGAAUCUGUCAUGUAAUUUAUUUAUGAUGGCACAAGAUAACACGUAAUUUGUGUAAGGUAUAAGUAAUCUCUUGCCACAAAGGUGUGAUACUUAAUUAAGGAAGCUUGCAUAUAUUAUUUGUUAGUUUAAUGAAUAAAGUGAAAUGGAAAAACUAUUUUCUCUUAACAAAUUGAGAAUUGGUGUCUUGGAAAGUAAUUAUGUUUUUUUUUUUUUGGUUGCAAAUCCUUACAGCUUUGAACGCUCUCUCAAUCAAUUUCUCACAAAUUGAAAGAUUCACUGGAACAAACUUCAAAACAUGGACGUAUGAUUUUGAAGUUAUUCUCGGAAUGAAUGAGAUCGUUUAUGAUCUCACUCAUGAUUAUAUUUAAUUCAAGCUAGCCAUUUCGCUUAUGUGUCUUGUAGUACAACUCCUAGAGCUUAGGAAAAAGGAAAAGCCUCUGGUGGUUAAUAGGAGCCACUCGUGCCAACUAAUCACAAAUGAAAUUCUAGUAAAGAAUACAAUGGAGCUAAUUAAGAAGCGGAACGAAGAUGAGCUGGAGCAAAAAAGGGUUAAGAUGCAGUGACGUCGUCGAUCUUAUGGAGGACCCAUAAGGAUAUACAUGGCUACAAAGGACGGUCUCAGAAGUCUCAGGAUCACUGUAAAGCUCGGUGUAUGCGCUUAUGGGAGAGGACGAAACAUCAAUAAGCUAAUUCGAUACAAAAAUCUCCUAGUGUAGUUUGUGAAACAUACGCCCCAACUUGAAUCACUUGUUGAGAUUUUUGAUACCUCCACUAAUAGGGAGAUAGUGGUACUUAACCCGUUCCUUGCUAGGGAGAACAACACUUUGGCAUCAUGUUGUGACAAGGAGGAUUAGAUAGCUACAUGUUGUUUUCAUUAAAUAUUAUUGGAAUAUUUAAUUUUAAGUUGGAUUUAGGAUUUAUUUUAAAGUUGGAUGAUGUAGUUUCAUUACCGUAAAUAAAGAGAAAUUUAAUUUCUAAUUCAAGAUUAUUAAGACUUGGUUUUAUUUUGGAUUCAAUAAAGAUGUUUUUGUAUCUCAGAAUUCAAAGACAAUAAAGAUGGAUUAUACUGUCUCAAUUACAAUAAAUCUUUUUGAUAUCAACAAACGGGUGUUCACCAUUAAACAGAAUGGUGCAGUCAUCCACAAAUACUACAGCCAACUGCAGCACAUCUUUCAAGAAAUUGAAUCGCAUGCACUGCGACGCCGAUGUGACUGAUUGCCAGAAAGAACUAGAUUGUCUUCGUGUUCACCUUUUUCUUGUCGGGCUCAACCCUGAGUUUGAUCAAGUUCGGGGGGAAAACCUAUGCAAAGAUCCUAAAUGAGACCAUGAUCAAAGCUUUGCAUAUGUACGUCGCGAAGCUCAACAACGACUGACCAUGGCCAGUGCUCCGGAAACCGUUGUGAUGGUCACUCAACGUCAACAAGGCCCUUAGAUCUCUACUGGUGGCUCUUCUCAUACUAAGGUCACAGACACUCAUCUGGAGCAUAAAUGCACUCACUGUGGUGGAAGUAAACAUACCCGUGCUGGUUGUUACGAAUUGAUUGGGUGCCCAGAUUGGUGGGACCACUCCAAAGCUCCCCCCAAGAAUAGGAGCAAAUCACCCAACACAUCUUCUGACUCAGAUCUUGUAAGUCCUGCUGUUUCAACUACAUCGGCUCUCGCCUCUGCAUCUGUAGCCAUAACAGGUAACCAAGGUUAUGUUUUACAUAGUUCUUCAAAGAAACAUACAUGAAUUAUUGACACCGGAGCCACUGAUCAUAUGACCUUUGAUCCUGGACAAAUUGCCUCUCAUACACCGUCUCCUCAAUCAGUGGUGUCUAAUGCCAAUGGUACCCUAUCCCCUAUAAUUAGGGAGGGUUCACUCUCUCUCUUUCUAAUUCUUUCAAUUUGGAUUCUGUGUUGAUUAUUCCAUCCUUACAUCAUAAUCUCUUGUUUGUUGCCCAAAUUACUAAGGCUUUGAAUUGCACUGUAACCUUUUGGCCUACUCAUUGUGGUUUUCAGGACAUUCUCAGUAACAAGACAAUUGGUUGUGGUACUAGGAGGGGCAAACUUUACUACUUGGACUUAGCAUCUGACAAUGAAACACACUACCGAAGUAUGGUUAUGGCAUCGGCGUCUUGGAUAUGCUUCGUUUGGAUAUUUACAGAAGCUAUUUCCUCCCUUAUUUUCCAAUUUAGAUAUUUUCAAUUUUAAGUGUGACAUUUGUGAAUUGGCCAAGAGCCAUCGUGUUCCUUUUCCCUUAAGUUCAAAUAAAAGUUUAGUUCCAUUUUCUCUUGUUCAUUCUGAUGUUUGGGGCCUUGCUAAAAUUACCACUCCAGGGGGAGCUCGAUGGUUUGUCAUGUUUAUAGAUGAUUGCACCCACAUGACCUGGGUUUCCCUUCUAUAAAAAAAAGAGGAAGUCAGUUCCAAGUUUCAAUAGUUCUAUCAAAUGGUGGAGACUCAGUUUCAUGCUAGAAUUCAGAUUCUUCGUUCUGACAAUGACAGAGAAUUUCUUGACCAUGAUCUUAACAAGUUCUAACAAGAUCAUGGCAUCAUACAUCAACGCUCAUGCCCCUACACUCCCCAACAAAAUGGAGUCCCUGAAAGAAAGAACAUACAUUUAUUGGAAGUAGUUCGUGCCUCUCUCUUUGGUGCCAAUAUGCCUUGAUCUUUUUGGAGAGAAGCCGUCGUCUCUACAGCAUACCUCAUCAAUCGGAUACCUUCCAGUAUCCUAAAUUUCCAAACACCACUUCAAACGCUUCACCAUCAUAUCCAAAUACCUCCUACCCCAAACCUAGAACCCUGUAUUUUUGGCUGUGUUAUAUUUGUCCAAUUACAUGAUCACCAACGAAGCAAAUUAGAUCCCCAAGCCGAGAAGUGUGUUUUCAUUGGCUAUGCACCUCAUCAGAAAGGAUACCGAUGUUAUCAUCCUCCUAGUCAGAAGGUCUACAAUUCCAUGGAUGUUGUGUUCCAGGAACAUGACUUAUAUUUUUCAGCAGUACAUAAGGAGAAUCAAGAAUCCACCACUCCUCAAAUUGUCGAUUUUUUCCCCAAGAUGUCACUCUGCUUCAAAACGACCGGUCGCCAAUGGAAAGCGACCGGUCGCCCCCCCUUAGGUCUUCAAACAUGGAGAACUUGCUUCCAAAUGACUGGUCGCCAGAAGACAACAAAUGGUCGCUAGAGGAAAAUUAUCAGUUGUCUCCACGCUAUCAAAAUCAGGAGGAGGAAAUUGAACCGUUUAUGAGAUUUUGCCCGCUUUAGUUCCAGUACCACACCAAUCACCUGCUAAGGAAGUCAUUCAGGUAACAUCUUUCCCUGAAACUGAUAACACUAAUGAAAUAUCCCAUGAUGAUUGAUUUCAGAAGGCAUAGAGGCUACAUGUCAGCUUCCAGAAAGGAAGAAUCGUGGCAAACCUCGAGUACAAUAUGAAGCAAAUCUUAAAGCCAAGGGAAAAUACCCCAUCAAUAAUUAUAUAUCUCUCAGUAGAUUAUCAGAGUCACAUGUGCACUAUGUGAAGUUGUUGGCUAACAUAUCUGUCCCCAACAGUGUGACUGAAGCAAUAGAAGACCCAAAAUGGAAAGAAGUCAUGAAUGAAGAAAUGCGAGCUCUGCAAAAGAAUGUCACAUGGGAACUCGUGCCCUUACCUCAUGGAAAGAAGACAGUAGGAUGCAGGUUUUUUUAUAUUGUGACACUCAAAGCAGAUAGAUCCAUUGAAAGAUAUAAAGCUAGAUUGGUGGCGAAGGGGUGCACACAGAGAUAUGUGAUAGACUACCAGGAGACCUUUGCCCCAGUAGCCAAGAUUAACACUAUUAGAGUCAUAUUUUCUCUAGCAGCAAAGCUCGAAUGGCCACUACAUCAGUUUGAUGUCGAAAAUGCAUUCUUACAUGGAGACUUGGAAGAAGAAGUAUAUAUGGACUUACCCCCAGGAUGUAAUUCAGCUCUUGACAAGAAGAAUCAAGUUUACGAGCUCAAAAAGUCAUUACAUGGGUUAAAGCAAUCUCCUAGGGCAUGGUUUGGCAGAUUUAUUAAAUCUAUGAAGAAUUUUGGAUAUAAACCGAAUAAUUCAUCACACCCUGUCCUUGAAGCGUGAUGAAGGAAAACUUAUUGCAUUGAUUGUUUAUGUAGAUGACAUAGUCGUACUGGAAACGACGCAUGAGAGCAACUGAAGUUGCAAAAGUAUUUGUCUUAGGAAUUUGAGAUGAAGAAUUUAGAUGAUCUGAAGUACUUUCUCGGAAUCGAAGUAGCAAGGUCAAAAACUGGUAUAUUUCUGUCUCAAAGGAAGUAUGUAAUGGAUCGACUCACUGACACAUGAAUGCUUGGAUGUAAGCCUGCUGACACACCCAUUGAUAUGAAUCACAAGUUGUGUGAAGAUAUGAACCAAGAACCAACCAAUAUGGAACAGUACCAACGCCUUGUUAGAAGGUUGAUAUACCUGGCAUACACAAGACUAGAUAUUGCAUAUGCUGUGAGUGUGGUUAGUCAGUUUAUGCAUUCACCCAGUGUUUCUCAUAGAAAUGCAGUUGAUCGGAUCUUAAGAUACUUAAAGUUAGCCCCUAGGAAAGGAUUAAUGUUCUAAAAAAAUGGAGAUCUUGAAGUUGUUGGAUAUACAGAUGCUGAUUGGGCUGGUUCCAGUACAGAUAGACGCUUUACUUCUGGUUACUUUACAUUUGUUAGAGGUAACCUAGUCACUUGGCAGAGUAAAAAAAUAAAAUGUGGUUUCUCAGUCUAGUGCAGAAGCAGAGUAUUGAGGAAUGACUCAAGGAGUCUGUGAAUUAUUGUGGAUCAGAAGACUCUUGACAGAAUUGAGCUUCAAGCUAGAAAAGCCAAUGGAGUUGCAUUGUGACAACAAGUCAGCUAUCGAUAUUGCCCAUAAUCCAAUUCAACAUGAUCGAACCAAAUAUGUUGAGGUGGAUAGACAUUUCAUCAAAGGAAAAAUUGAUAAUAAGAUCAUCUGCCUACCAUUCGUAAAAUCAGAAGAUCACCUGGCAGAUGUCUUAACAAAAGCUAUUUGUGAAAGAGUAUUUCAUGACUCACUUACCAAGUUGGGCAUUGGUGACAUAUAUACACCAACUUGAAGAGGAGUGUUGAAGUGAGUCUCCUAAUUAAUCAAGGAGAUGUAUUUCCUUGAUUAAUUAAGGGAUUUACUUUCUUGUUUUAUAUAGUUGACAAAUCAUUGUAUAAUUAGGAGAUACUAUCCUAAUUGAUUACUGUAUCUAUAUCCUUGUAAAGCACUUAUGUAAAUUCCUAUAUAUAUCUUCUUAUGGAGAAGAAUAAAACUUAACCUAAAGUAUUCAAACCAUAUUCAUAUUUUAGCAAGCUGUAGCCGCACCUUUCUUUUACCGCCCGUUAUUUUUGUGUCUCCGUUGCACCGUCUUCAUUGCAGACCGUCCUCUCCAUUGAGCUCUCUCGUGGCAAGCCACGGCAGCUCCAUUUAUCUCCCUGGGUAGUGAUGGCCAAAUUUCUGUUUCCUCACCGAGCCUCGUCACUACUCACCGAGCAUUCUCCUCACCAGCCUUUAUCUCUCUCAUGCCGUGUAACUCAAGUGGUUUUGAACUAGGGAUGGCAAUGGGUCGAAUCGGGGGUGGGUAUGCCUUUUCCAUCCCCAUCCCGUUUUUUUUCCAAUUCCCACCUUCAUUACUACAAUAUUCAUAUUGGGAAUUUCCCAUCCCAACCUUCAACUGGGAAUGGGUUCCCCUACUUGCCCCAUUACGUACGGAAGAAAAAUCAAUAUAAAACUACUUUUUUUGAAAGAAAAUAAACAGGACUAGAGCAAGACAAUGAGUACAUAUAAUAUAUUAUCUACGUACAAUGUUUACAUAUUGACUAGGAAGUUAACUAAAUAUAUAAGUAGUGUAGCGUAAGAUUUGUAUAAAUUUUAUAAAUAUAUAAUAUAAAACUUAGUCGGCACAAUCACUUUAAUAACAUAUUUAAAUAUACUAUAUUCUAAAUAGGGAGGGUUCGGGUCGGGGAUUAAAAUACCGUCCCUCCCCCUCCCCUAACACCAUAUCCAAAAAAUUGACAGUACCUGCCCUCAUACCCGUUUGUUAUCCUUCUUACCCGACCAUUAGGGUCGAAUCCAUGUGAAGACCCUUACCCGUGGGAAAAAUUGCCAUCCAUAUUUUGAACAGUUAUCUUCCUUGCACUCGAGAUUCUGUGUUUGAAUCUCACCCACCCAAUAUCGAUCGCUUUUAUUUUUAAAAAAAAAUAGAGACUAUCUCGUGUAUAUAUAAUAUAUCUCAAUCAUUCAUCAAGUUUGAAUCUCAAUAACAAUUGGUUGUUGUAAGAACGUCCAACAGAAUUAACUAUGAAGAUUUAUUGGGGUGCAUAGAGUAAUUGGACUGUCUUGGCUUUAUGGGGCUCCUAUCUAUUAUAGGGGGGAUUCUUAUCCUGGUGUAUGAUUUUUGUUUGUAAAAUCACCCCAGUUGCCCUUCAAUAUGAUGGUAGAUUGACCUUGCGAAGGCUAUAUCUAAAGGAAAAGCACAGAGCCAUGCCACUAGAAUACAGAUUUUUGUUUUGUAAAUUUUUUAUUAAGUUAUUCGGUGUUGAUUUUUCAAGUACUUAGCAUGAAAAAAAAUGAAAUAGAAUGAUUUUUUUCAUUAAAAAAACACUUUUGAAUGAAGCCAAUUUGGCCAUCUAAAAAGAUUCUGUUUUAGCGGAUAGCUAGUAACUUUCUUUCUGUCCAAACUAGACGCAUAACUAAGUCCAAACGAUAAGACUUGUCGGAUUGGGAGGCUCUCCCUCCCUCCUUCAACUUUUAUGUGUGUGUGUGCGUGCGAUUAGAACCAAAGAGAGAAUGGAUUUCUUUUGUUUUUGUAUGGUCCUGCUAAGCCUUUUCUCUGUGUUAUUGUUCUCAAUUACUCAAGCUCUGCAAAGCAAAGCCAAUCCCAAAAGGCAUCUUCUCCCACUUGGACCAAAGCCAUUUCCCUUCAUUGGCAAUCUUCUAGAACUUGGAAACAAACCCCAUCAAUCUCUCACCAAGCUUUCUCAAAUCUAUGACCCCAUUAUAACUCUGCAACUAGGCUAAGUAACAACGGUGAUUCUUUCUUCACCAAACACAGCCAAACAAGUCCUCCGAACCCACGACCAAUUCUUGUCCAACCGAACCAUCCCAGAUGCAUUUCAAGCCUAUGACUUUCGCCAGGACAGCCUGCCAUGCAUACCACCUUCGGCCAAAUGGAGAAGCCUUCGACAAAUAUGCAACUCUCAAUUGUUCGCCGCCAAAAUCCUCAAAGCCAACCAACCCAACCGCCGCAUAAAAGUGCAAGAGCUCAUAUCUCAGGUCAACGAAAGUACAGUCAAUAGUGAGGCGGUAGUUAUUGGAAGGGCCGCUUUCACUACGCUCAUUCUGCUGUCUCGUAUUGUUUUCUCAGUGGAUUUGGCUAACUCAAGUAGCGAGAUGGCCAGGGAGUUCAAGGAGACUGUGUGCGGUUUGAUGGAAGGGGUAGGGACCCCAAACGUGGGGGAAUUGUUUUCCUGUCUUUAGGAAAAUUGACCCCCAGGGCAUUAGGCAGAGCAUGAUCAAACAUUUCAAUUAGAUGGAACAACUCUUUGACUGCAUGAUUAGCCAAAGAUUGGCAUCAAGAAAAGCCCAUGAUUAUGUCAGAACCAAUGAUAUGCUGGAUACUCUUUUGAACAUCAGUGAAGCGAAUAGUGAGGACAUGGACAAGACCAAAAUUCGACAUAUGUUUCUGGUUAGUUAUUUUGUCUUUGCUCAUCAUUAUAGUUAAACUACUAUAUCAAUUAAUUUAAUUUACAGAGAGAAGGGAUUCAAACUUAAGUGCAAAGAGUUGGCGAACUGGCCUGGCCUGGCCUGACCGUCUACUCUCGUUAGGUGUUUUUUAUUUUGGUUUUUAAUCCCAUUUUGUUUUUCUGACUUGUUAUGUUAAAAAGGCUCUAUUUGCCGCGGGGACUGAUACAACUUCAGCCACAUUGGAAUGGGCCAUGGCUGAGCUGCAACGCGACCUUGAAAAGCUGUCAAAAACUCAACAAGAGCUGGAGCAAAUCAUUGGCAAAGGAAAACCAGUAGAAGAAGCAGACCAAAAUAAUGGUUUUUUGCUUGGCAUUGCAUGUCAAUUGGCAUGCUCGUGCUUGAAUUUUAUUAUUUUUUAAAUGGCUAUGAUUGAGUCAAAACGACGCUUGACGGGAUAACAUUUAGCAUGGGUUCAUAGAGCCAGUACAUUUUACGGGCUUGCUACGACCUUUUUACUUAGCGUGUUGCAUAUUUGCUUGGCGUGGCACGUAGAUUGCAACUCGCGUGAGAGUGUAUGAUGAACUUUCGCAUGCCCAAAUGGGGGUUUCUUUUUAGUAAGGUGUCGCACUGGGCCAGGAAUAUAUUUGGGCCCACUCUUAGAUUUUUUUGGGCCUCAACACACUCAAGAUUCUGUGUUUGAAUCUCACACACCCAAUAUCGAUCGCUUUUAUUAAAAUAAAAUAAAAUAAAAAAUAGAGACUAUGUCGUGUAUAUAUCUCAAUCAUUCAUUAAGUUUGAAUCUCAAUAACAAUUGGUUGUUGUAAGAACGUCCAGCAAAAUUAACUAUGAAGAUAGUUUUUUCUUUGAGGAAGGUUUAUUGGGGUGCAUAGAGUAAUUGGACUGCCUUGGCUUUAUGGGGCUCCUACCAUUGUUGACAAUGGGGCUACUAAUUAUAUUGGCCGUGUUUGUGUUUAAAUAGCUUGAGAAAAUUUGAAGUUUCUUGCCCACAAAGAGAAUUCUUACAAGAUUUGAUGACCUUAAACAUGGUGCAAGUUAAAAGAACAGUAGGGUUGGUAGGGUUGGUGGUCCUUUGAUUUCUACCCGGCAGCUGUCAAAUUUUUUUUUUUUUUUUUUCUGUUGUUUCAUCCUUGGUUAUAUUAGCCGCGGGCCUCGGCAGCUUCUUUCUUUUCUUUGUAAUUCCGUCUUAAUUUUGGUUAUGCAUGAUAAAAUUGACCUUAAAAUUUUUGUCGUGCAUGAUAAAAUUGACCUUAAAUGGCUUGACCUUUCAAUAAAAAAAACAGUUUAUUCGAUGCACGUUCUCAACACGUCUUUUUCCUUUGUCCAUAAGUAAGAAUUGAUGGGGCUCAUGAUAAGAAUUUAGAUGACUUCAUUUUCGUCAAUUCACACCAGGUGCCUUUCCCAAUCUGUCUUUGAUGAGAUUGGACAAAUAACUUUAAUGGACCAAUAUGAUUUUAUCUUGGUAUGACAAUAUUUAUAUGAUAUUUGGCACUGACCGUGUAUAGAAGGACAAAUUUGAUAAAAGCUUCCUUACCAAAAAUGGCUUGUAAUAGCUGCUUUGAAUUAUUUUGUGUGAUGCGGUUGCAUUAUUUGGUUAGUGCCUACCCAAAUUUUCUCAAAUGUCUUUACCUAAGCAAGUUGUUCUCAAAUGUCUUUACCUACGUUUGUCUCUUAGCUUUUAGGGGAUAUAUAUAAACAACUUAAAAGAGUUGGUCCUGAAAAUAUAUUUUCAUGCUUUCUCGAUAAGUCUCAACAAGAAUAUUUAUAUGAUAUUUGGCACCGACCGUGUAUAGAAGGACAAAUUUGAUAAAAGCUUCCUUACCAAAGAUGGCUUGUAAUAGCUGCUUUGAAUUAUUUUGUGUGAUGCGGUUGCCUUAUUUGGUUAGUGCCUACCCAAAUUGUAUUAUUUGAGUAAGGAAAAUUGGCAUAUAUAUCACCUGAAAUUUUAGGCAUGUGUAGAAUUACUAUUUUAAAUUUUAAUUUUAUUAACCACAUGAACUAUGUAAAGUGUUGAAAUUUACUACCUACGCCUAACUCCGUUAAAUUUUUUCGUCAAAUCAAGUCACAUAAUGCAAAUGUGAUUUUUAAGGGCAUUUAUGUCAAUCAAUAUACACAUAAAUUUAGAAAAUUUAAAAACUAACAGAAUUUAAUUUUAAAUGAAAAAAAAAAGUAGGAAAACUAACCUAAUAAUUUCACAAACUUCCCCACCUCCUUCCAACACCUAUUCUCCCCCACCAAAAUAAAGUGAACAUUUUCUCUGUGAAAUUGAGUUAUUCUUGGUCGAUGGUUGAGGCCAAUCUUCUUCUUUCUUCUUCUUUUUGUUUUUUCUGAAAAUUUUGGUGUUAGUUGCUUCACUAGGCUUAUAUCUCAUACGUCCUGCCUCUUAAAAUUGCUUGGCGCUUUCGAUAAAAAAACAGUUUAUUCGAUGCACGUUCUCAGCACGUCUUUUUCCUUUGUCCAUCAGUAAGGUUGCCGGUCUAGUUCUUUCGAUUGAUGGAGCUCAUGGUAAGAAUUUAGAUGACUUCAUUUUCGUCAAUUCACAUCAGUUGCCUUUCCCAAUCUGUCUUGAUGAGAUUGGACAAAUAACUUUAAUGGACCAAUGCGCGCAAGCCAUAUGAUUUUAUCUUGGUAUGACAAGAAUAUUUAUAUGAUUUUUGGCACCGACCAUGUAUAGAAGAACAAAUUUGAUAAAAGCUUCCUUACCAAAAAUGGCUGUUAGAGAUUGCUUGUAAUAGGUGUUUUGAAUUAUUUAGUGUUGAUUUUUCAAUUUAAAAAUUGUGUUUGGAAAUCUUGUUGGUUCAAUCACUUUUCUUUCUUUGUUUCUAAUCUUCUACAAAAAAAAUUUGGGGGAGAUGGUAAAUUAAUAUUUCAACAUUUUAAAUAGUUCAAGUGGGUUACUAGAAAAAAUUAAAAAUUCAUGAGGUAAUCCUGUACACACCUUAAAUUUCAAACGAUAUUUGUUCAAAUUUCCAUUUGGGGUAAAUAGAGAUGGCUUGUCAAAGCUUCCACCCGUGACAGCUAAGUCCAGACCCAAAUUGUUCUCAAAUGUCUUUACCCACGCAAGUUGCUCCGAAAUGUCUUUACCUAAGUUUGUCUCUUAGCUUUUAGGGGAUAUAUAUAAACAACUUAAAAGAGUUGGUCCUGAAAAUAUAUUUUCAUGCUUUCUCGAUAAGUUAGGCGAGAGAUGGAUUUCUUGAGUUGCAUGCUAAUAUGUCUUAUGGUUGGCUGGAUCUCAAUCCAUGCCCUCUAUUAUUCAUUUGCAAGAACAAGUCCCAAUAAGCUUCCGCCUGGACCAAAUCCACUUCCUUUCAUUGGAAAUCUUCUAGAGCUUGGAAACAAGCCCCACCUCUCCCUAACCAAGCUUUCACAACGCUAUGGGCCCAUUAUGACUUUACAUCUUGGCCAAAUCACGACCGUCGUGGUUUCUUCAUCCGCCAUAGCUAAACAAGUCCUCCAAACCCAUGACCAAUUGUUUUGCAACCGAACAGUAUUAGAUUCAGUCCAAGCCUGUAAACAUGGCGAGAACGGCAUGCCCUGGAUACCUGUUUCAGCUAAGUGGAGAAACCUUCGCAAAAUAUGCAACUCCCAAUUGUUCGCCACCAAAGUUCUCGACGCCAGCCAAGGCAACCGCCACCUAAAAGUGCAAGAGCUCAUAGCUGAUGUCCAUGAAAGCGUUGUAAAAGGUGAUGCAGUGGAGAUUGGAAGAGCUGCUUUCAAAACUACGCUCAAUUUGAUGUCGCGGACUGUCUUCUCUGUGGAUUUAGCGGACCAGAAUAGUGAGAGGGCUAGAGAGUUCAAGGAGCUGGUGCGGAGUAUUAUGGAAGAGAUUUCGAAACCAAACUUGGCUGACUAUUUUCCAGUGCUUAAAAAGAUUGACCCCGUGGGGAUACGGCGCCGUUUGACUCGUCACUUCCUGAAGAUGUUUGACCUCUUCGAUCGCUUGAUCAUCCAAAGAAUGGAAUCAAGAAAAGCACCUGACUAUAUCAUGACCAGUGAUAUGUUAGAUACCCUUAUAAACAGUAGUGAAGAGAAAAAUGAGGAUAUGGACAUGGUUGAAACUCAACAUUUGUUCCUGGUUAGUGGCUAUCUAUAUAUACUCUAGCUCUCUUGUUCUUUAAUCUUGAUAACUUUGUUUCAAUUGAUACUAAGUUACUAACUAGUGAAUAUAUGUAUAGAUUGCUUAGAUUUCAAAAUUAAUUAUGAAUACUAUACAUUUUCGCUUUUGUUUUUGUUUUGUUAAUUGCUAUUUGUACCAUCUAAACUGAUUAUUUCAUUUGCUACUGUCUCAAUCGGAGGUCAAGUUUACCACGAAAAUGGUAGAUCAGAUGUUGAAUUGAUAUGGUAUAAGUAAUUAUAUUCCUACUAAUUAAUCAAUUUGGUCAAUUAUUAUAGGAUCUAUUUGCUGCUGCCACAGAUACAACUUCAGCCACAUUAGAAUGGGCAAUGGCUGAGCUACUACGCAACCCCGAAAAACUGUCAAAAGCUCAAGAGGAGCUGAAGCACAUCAUUGGCAAAGGAAAACCAGUGGAGGAAUCAGACAUCACUCGGCUCCCUUACUUACAAGCCAUAAUCAAAGAGACCUUCCGCUUGCACCCAGCAGCUCCAUUGCUAAUUCCUCGCAAAGCCGGAGCAGAUGUAGAAAUAUGCGGGUACAUUGUACCAGAGGGUGCACAAGUUUUGGUCAAUGCAUGGGCCAUAGGCAGAGACCCCAGCAUCUGGGACAACCCAAACUCGUUUAUGCCGGAGAGGUUCUUGGGAUUGGACAUAGAUGUUACAGGGAGGAACUUUGAGCUUAUCCCAUUUGGUGGUGGACGGAGAAUUUGUCCUGGGUUACCAUUGGCAAUGAGAAUGCUGAACUUGAUGUUGGGGUCACUUCUUAACUGCUUUGAUAACUGGAAGCUUGAAGAUGGGGUUGCACCAGAGACCAUGAACAUGGAAGACAAGUUUGGCCUCACUUUAGAGAAGGCUCAGCCCCUAAUAGCUGUGCCCAUGACAUAGGAGAUCCUAGCUAGCUAUUGGUUUUUACGUACAUUAAUAAAAACCAUGCACUGUAUCCUCCUACUUAUCAAGUUUGAAACUCAAUAAUGAUCAAUUGUUGUGAAACUGUUACUGUCACCCAUUGGUUUAACUAUGAUUAAUUACUGCUACCCAUUGGUUUAAUAAACGCAAUUUUUUUUUUCUCCAAUUAUCUAUCUACUGUCUCCUACAGUAUUAAUAAUUUAUUAAUCCCACUAAAACUAAACUUUUGAAUUAACAACAGUGCUUUUAGUCGACAAAAAAAGACGUCUACGGCUUAAAACCAACAUGUAGUGGUGUAUAAUCAUCAAUCUCGCUCAUUUACGAAAAUCAUCAAUUUUGGCUUGAGCUCACGGCCCAAGUCUAUAUGAGCUUGGGCCGUACUCGUAUUGGGCCAUUAAAUAGGUCGAUAUGAGCAUACGCUAAAUUUGACUUAUGUAUUGUAUUUUUUUAUAAUUUUUUUUACAACUGAAUUUAAAUCUUUUUUUAUAAUUAUGUAUAUACUAAAGAUUUAGGAUUUGUUAAAAAAAAAAGGUCAAUAACUUUAUUUAAAGUACAUUUAAAUAGAAAAUUGCUAUAUUAUUGUUUGGGUUUUAAAAAUUGAAACUUGAAAAAUAAAAUUAUUAUUUUAUAUAUAAAGAAAACAUUAAUUUUUAAUAUAUACUAGCCUCUCCACACGCGCUUCCGCGCUUGCUAGAGGCUUUUUUUAAAAAAAAUUUAAAUUUAUUUUAGAAUUAAAAAAGAUAAUGGGUAGUUGUAUUCCAUAAAAAUAGAAUCCAUUAUCUUAUUUUUCUUUUAUUUUUCUUUUUUUUAAAUAUGAAAAAUUGUGAAUUUACUAUAUUAUCCUCAUUUAAUUAAUAAUUUCAAUUCUUAAUGUUUGCAUUAACCAAGUACAUUUUAUGGUAUUUUGAAUGUUUUACCAUUAUUAGCCUUUUGCUUUAUAUAUAUAUAUAUAUAUAUAGAUUAUUAGAGAAUAGAAAUAGUCUUGAAUUUAAGAUAUAUUUAAUAAUAUUAUAUAUUAUUUUUCUCUAAAAACAAGUAUAAUUUAAUAAAUGGGCUUUAAACAAGCAGGCCUAUUGGAUUUCGAGCUGGUACAGUCUGCGACAGGUUAGGAGCCCGCCCGGCCCAUUAGACCUAAUUACUUAGUCCCGACACGACCCAAAGAUAUGAACCAUGAUGUAUCAUGUCUAUCUUAAGCAGACUAUGUUCGUGCUAUGUCGGGUCGGCCCAGUUCAUAUGACACCUCUAUGAGAGAGUUUCGUGACACAAAUUGUUGACUUUCUAUAGCUACAAUUAAGAGCUGAACAUCAUGUCGAAUCAUAAUAUUUUAUUACUUUGUUUGAUUUGACUGACAUAUAUUAAUUCUCGUAUUUGUAUUUGUAUCUGUAUAAGAAGUGUAUAGCUUGUGUAUUAUAUUACUCAAAAGAAUAACAAUUUCUAAUUACUUUUCAUUUUCUAAAAAAUCAUUAAAAUAUUAUAUUAGCCAAUUUUACACCAUAUUGUUCCAACUCAACAGUAUUUCCAUUCCUGAAUCCAAAUCCAAGCUUUGUGUAAAUACAUAAGGCAAGGCCUUGCAAAUGUAAUUAUAAGUCCUUAACAGCAAGCAAGUAUUGAGCAAUUCCAUCCUUCCUUCUCACAAGCGAAUCCUUAAUAGAUCCUGAAAGAGAAUUUUUUUCGCCAGUUACUGAUCAGUAUUUUCAGUUAGGUAUAUGAUGAAGGCUAGGAAAAUCAAGAACAAAAAUAACUUAACCUUUGAAUCCAACAAUAGCAACAUUCUCUACAUCCAUAUUAUUUAUCUCUCACCUCAUAUCAUGUCUUCCUGCAUCAGACAAUAGCAAAGAAUAUAUCAAGACAAAACAUUGAAUUUAAAACUAAAUAUUAUUCUUCAUUUUCUCAGUCAUAUCAAACAAAAAAUAAAUCAUUUCCGAAACAAAAAAAUAGAUCUGAGAUACAUGUGAGUAAGAAAGUCUUAGAGAUUCAGAUCUAAGUUCAAUUGUGAGCCGAUAAAAGCCUCAGAAAAUCCAUGCAGGCCAUUCCAAAUCCAAAACCUAACAAUAAGAAGAAAGAAAAGACAUAAUGGUGACAAGCAAGCAAAACCAUUGACCAGCCACCCAUGACAAGACUCGACCCAAAUUCCGUUUUGGAAUCCGAGCCGGACCCUGUGCGUGUCCGACACCUGACGGAUGCCGGGCUCGAAUAGCCUAAUUGCCCUUCCCUACAAAGCACGAUAAAAUAACAAGGUUGACUUCUACCGAAAAUUCGGCAGAAUCUCCCUUGUAACUGGAUCAAUACCAAAACAUUUACACUUGCCAAACAAACAUAAAUACACAACCAACUGCCAAUAUAUGUAUACAUACAUUUCAACAGUUAAAUUCUAAUUCUAGGGCAAAUUAUAAGAGCGACUACUAAGAAUUUACAAAGGAGUCAAUCCUUUUACAAAAAAUAAAGUCCUACAUCAGAAAGGAAAGCGCGGAAGGUGGAAAAGGGCCCGGUGGUGGAUCACUGUGCACGCCUACUGCUUGGGGGCGCAAAACAUUAAAAAGGGUGAGUGGACUCAAAAAAACAAAGUUUGGAAAAAUACAUAUGAACAUACUAACCCCACUGUAAAAACACUUAUACAAACUAAAUUAUUCUCUUUAUUAUAUUCGUACUGAAAUCAAUGCACUUAUAUAAUUAUACAUAUAUAUACCAAUCAUACUCAUGGUCAACAUUAAUUUCUUAAAAGCAUUGAAAACAGUUUAAAACUACCACCUAAGUGUACCCCUUAUUUCCGUCAAUUCCUAAUAUCCGUCAAUUCCUCGCAUCACCAUGGAUGACACGUACUCAUAGGUCUCAGUGAUACAAGGUCAGUCUGAGCUGCAACUCGCAGGAUUCAGAGGACCGUAGUCAGCCUGAUUCGCAUUACUCGCUCCACACGAGUUCGGGUACCAUAGAACUCAUGGGGCAACUGUCAAGGAUGCUGACUAAACCGAAGGCAACCAAUAAAAUCCGAAGGCAACAUUUGAUCUGAAGGCAACUUAUUUACCAAAGGCAACAUCUGUAUAUCUGGCUACCUAAGGUGGUUUAGGAAAAUAUAAAGUUUCUGAAGAAAAUCUGCUAAAUAAGUGAAUUUCUGUAAACUCUAAAACUCUGCUGCCAUUUAUCUGAUAAUUAACUAGAAUUUCUUUUCCUAUAUCCUUUAAAGGAUAUUCCACUCGACAUCAUGCAAAACAAAAUAUUAAAAGCAUAUAACGGCUUAUAAAACACUAAUAUUUGAAUAAAACUUAUUCAAGAUCAAAUACUGUAACUGAACUGCUUAAAGUCAUUUAUAAAAACAAAGAGUCCACUCACUGAUGGUCCGUGCUCACUGGACCCCUUGAAGGUCCCUCAUACGGGUCAACUAGUGCCCGGGUGUCUGAUUCAAUGACCAUAAUAUUCUAUUAAUACAAUACUCAAUAUAGUAUUCAUUUAAAAACCCUGACCCCUGGCUCCAAGAAGUACGUGCGUCAGAUUAAAGUUGUUCCUAUGCCCAUAAAAGCUUUCCUUCCAAUUGGAAUAGUUUAGCAGUAUCUUGGGACUCAAAAAGUGCUAAAGUCCCAAAAAGUCAACCCGGGACCCCGCGGGUCCACGACCUCACAAUUAUGAUCCGGAAGCCUCUAGAAGUUCCAAUAUACCUAGGACACAUGUUCCGAGGGUUUGAUCUCAAUCGGACGGUCGGAUUGAUCACGAUCGUACAAUCGCACGAUUUCUAAACCCUAGCCCUAGGGUUCGCGAUUUCAGAGUAUCCGAAACUCUGAUUCACAAUCUGUCGUAUCCUAAACAAUCCUGCAAUUGUCUAGAUGAACAUAUCUGAAAAUGAUUACAAUCCAACGGCUCAACAGUAUUGAACCCGAAAAUCGCACAAUAUGCAAAAAUCUGUUCGAGGCUCAAACGGUAACCAAAUUGAGAUCCGUGAAUUCCUACGCGCUCGUGACAACACGAGGAUCAUUCUAGGAUUGAAAGUGUGCUCCAUAAACUGCCCACGCGCCGCCACACGCUCCGGCAGGGCGUGGGUGGCUUGAUAAUUUCUGGCGGUUGAAAAAUCUCCAAACCGCUGGCCCAAACUCCUGUCCUAAGUAAAACACCAUAUUUGAAACCACUUUUGUUCUUGGACUUACCCCAAAAACUGGCCGAAAGUGGCCGGAAUUUCAAACUCAAAACCGGUGAAACUUUGGAUCGUGAUUUGAUCUAUCUAGGCUAAAAAUCGUUCCAAUCCUACCCAACCAGCAGCUAAGUCAUGAAAAAGAGGUAAAGAUUCAUACCUUACUCGACUGAUUUGGUGGCCAGAGGAGAGAGCUCGAAAGCUUGGAAGUUUUCUCAAAAUCGGCUGGGUUUUGGACGUUUUCCGGCGAAAAUCGUGACAGUCAAGUGGCAGGGAAGGUCGGGCUUGGUGGCGGAGCUGACGUCAGUGUGAUUGGGUCUGGUCCAGCGGGUCGGGGCGAGGUGUAGCGGUGGCUGGGUGGUUAUGGAGGUUCAGCUGGGGAAAGGCGCACGGGAAGGAGGCUGCGGGGAGAGAGAAGAGAGACUAAGGGAAAAGGGAGAGAAGUGAGGUUUUUAAAAUCUGAAUUUUCAAAUUACCAUUUUGCCCCUCUACGUAUUUUGACCGUAUCUUCUUCGUUAAAGCUCCGAUUCGAGCCCACUUCUUGUCUACGAACUAGUUUCGUCAUACUCUACGCAACGGUUUGUGUGAAAUUGUCAAAUUCCUUCUCGGUCAAAAAGUCAACUUUUCUUUACUAAAUUAUUCCAAAGGCAAAAUUGUCUUUUCCUCUUGAUAAAUUAAUAAGUAAAUAUUAAUUAAGGUUUGGGUUAUUACAACCCAACUAUCACCAAAAUCAAUUUAGUGACUCAAAAAACUUGACUGUUGCCUUCUUUUUUUUUUGGUUGUUGUUGCUGUUGUUGUUGUAGUGAAAAUAAGAAAAAAAACAUUAUCAUUGUCUAGGUUCACCCUUUGACACAGCUCUCAGAGGGUGGGCCAUGUGUAAACUGAGGCCAAACUUGCCUUCCACACUCAUGGUCUUUGCUCUGGUACAACCUCAUCUUGAAGCUUCCAAUCAAAAGAGUCUAUAAGUGAACCCAACAUCAAGUGUAUCAUUCGCAUUGCAAAUGGCAAGCCAAGACAAAUUCUCCUCUAAUGUAGAACAAAUGGCUGAACGGAUUGAAGAAGAAUUGGUGCAAAGAAUGGAAAAAAGACGCAGCAGGAAUUUACAAAUUUGGCGUCCGAGCUCCAAUUGGGUCACAUAAUACCUUCUCGAAAAGGGAACGACUUCCAAUAGAGUGCAAACUUGGAACCAGCCCCAGAAGGAGAACCCGUAUGCUAAGACCAUGACAGAUAUUUGUUAUCGAUGCCAAAAACCAAGGCAUCGUUCCAACGUUUGUCUUGAGCAGAGGCAAGCUAAUUUUAUAAAAGAUGUUGGUGAUGAUGAAGAAAAUGAUGAAGUUGUAGACGAUGAUUAUGCAGGGACUGAGUUUGCAAUUGAGGAGGGAAUAGAAAGGCUUACUUUGGUUUAACAGCGAGUUCUUUUGGCAGCAAAAGAGGAAGGGCAGCGACAUAGCAUUUUCCGUUCUCUUUGUUCAAUCAAAAAGAAAAUCUGUGAUGUGAUCGUAGCACUAGUAAAAAAAACCCUUUGCGCGACCAAAUUUUGCGCGACGAAAAACUAUUCGUCGCUCAAAGUCACUUUGCGCGACGAAACUCAAAACUUCGUCGCUCAAAGUCUUACGCGACCAAAUUUUGCGCGAUGAAAAAUAAUUCGUCGCACAAAGUCACUUCGCGCGACAAACUUUUGCGCGACGACAAUACAUCGUCGCUCAAAGUCUUGCGCGACCAAAUUUUGAGCGACGAAAAAACAUUCGUCGCGCAAAGUAACUUUGCGCGACAAACUUUUGCACGACAACAAUACAUCGUCACUCAAAGUGACUUUGCGCGACGAAACAAUAAACUUCGUCGCGCAAAGUCCUUAUAAAAAUAAAAAAUAUAUAUUUUUAAAUCUUUGCGUGACGUAAUCCAAACAUUUCGUCGCCUAAACCAAUUUAUUUUUGUUUUUUAUUUUGUAUGCAUAACACUUAAGAAAUUAAACAGUAUAUAUAUUUAUUAAGUAGCUUUAAAUUUAUUAUUUUAGAUCGAAUCGGAUUUUUGUUAGAAAAAUAUAUUAUUGUUGUUCAGAUUGAGUUUUUGUUAGAAAAUAUAUAUUUUAAAUUGACAAUCGAAUUAGUUCAUUGUAUUCAUAUAAGGUCAAGGAGUGUAGCUGUAAAAAAUCAUCAAAAUCGGAGUUAAAAUAACCGUUAAAUCGUGAUUUUUUAUUAUAACCAUCGAAAAGUUUUGUCCCAUUACUUGAUCUCUGAAUGUUUAUUUUUUUCGAUUUUUGGCGUAUAUGAUCUCGAAGUAUAAACAAACAAGUUUGACAGUUGGAUCGUUGAAACUAGUUUUGGUGAAUGUAUAUGCCAUCAAAACAAUAUAUUCACUAACAAUUAAGAGUUUAUUUAUACGUUCGUUAAAUAUAACAUAAGAUUUUGUGGUAUCCACUAGUGUAAAUAUUUUAUAUUGAAGAUCAAAUUAGUUAUUGUAUUCAUAUAGGGUCAAGGAGUGUAGCUGUAAAAAAAUCAUCAAAAUCGGAGUUAAAAUAACCAUUAAAUCAUGAUUUUUCAUUUAUAACCGUAAAAAAGUUUUGUCCCGUUACUUGAUCUCUGAAUGUUUAUUUUUUCCGAUUUUUGGCGUAUAUGAUCUCGAAGUAUAAACAAACAAAUUUGACGGUUGGAUCGUUGAAACUAGUUUCGUAGAAUGUGUAUGCCAUCAAAAUAAUAUAUUCACUAACAAUUAAGAGUUUUUUUUUAUACUUUCGUUAAAUAUAACAUAAGAUUUUGUGGUAUCCACUAGUGUAAAUAUUUUAAAUUGAAGAUCAAAUUUUGUCAUUGUAUUCAUAUAUGGUCAAUGAAUGUAGCUGUAAAAAAAAUCAUCAAAAUCGGAGUUAAAAUAACCGUUAAAUCGUAAUUUUUCAUUUAUAACCAUCGAAAAGUUUUGUCCCGUUACUAGAUCUCUGAAUGUUUGUUUUUUGCGAUUUUUGGAGUAUACGAUCUUGAAGUAUAUACAAACAUGUCUGAUGGUUGGAUCGUUGAAUGGUGUGUGUAUAUAUAUUUAUUUAUUAAGUAGCUUUAAAUUUAUUUAUUUUGUACGUAUAACACUUAAGAAAUUGAAUAGUAUAUAUAUUUAUUAAGCAGCUUUAACCUUAUUUAUAUUUUAAAUUGUAAAAUAAAAUUAUUUUAUUUUUAUUAUUCAUAACAAUUAUUUUUAUAAAUAUUGUGCUACGAACCAAUUUUUCGUCUCUCAAAACUUUGCGCGACCAACAGUUUGUCGCGCAAAACUCUAAAAAUUUGGACGGGUACCAAAAAUGGGACGCGGGAUUUAAAAAAAAAAAAAAAUUUAGACUUUGCGCGACCAAUAUUUUCUGUCGCUAAAAACUUUGCGCGACCAAUAUAUAUUUUUUGUCUCGCAAAAAUUUGGGCGGGUACCAAAAAUCGAACGCGGGAAUUUUUUUAGACUUUGCGCGACCAAUAUGUAUUUUUCGUCGCGCAAAAAUUUAAAAAUUUAGGGUACCAAAAAUGGGACGCGGGAUUUUUUUAAAAAAAAAAAAUUUAGACUUUGCGCGACCAAUAUUUUUUGUCGCUCAAAACUUUGCGCGACCAAUAUAUUUUUUUCGUCUCGCAAAAAUUUGGGCGGGUACCAAAAAUCGGACGCGGGAAUUUUUUUAGACUUUGCGCGACCAAUAUGUAUUUUUCGUCGCGCAAAAAUAUAAAAAUUUUGGGGGGUACCAAAAAUGGGACGCGGGGAUUUUUAUUUUUUUAAAAUAAUUUUUUUUAGACUUUGCGCGACCAAUAUUCAUAUAUUCGUCGCGCAAAAGUUUGCGCUACCAAUAUUCAUUUUUCGUCGCGCAAAGUGAUACGGUUUUUAAAACCGAAAUAACUCCACCAUUUUCUCAAUGUCUUUCUCUACUCUUACCUCUCCUUUCUCUUUCCCUCUCCCCAAAUCCCACCAUUUCUCUCACUCACUCCUCUCACUUAAUCUCUCAUCUCUCUCUUCACUAUCUCUCACUCUCUCUCACCCACUCUCUCAUCUCUCUCACUCACUCUCUCAUCUCUCUAUCACUAUCUUCUCUAAUUCUCUCACACUCACUUCUCCCUCUCAUUCUCACUCACUCUCAAUCUUGCCAAAAGGUAUAUUCUCUCCAAAUUUUAAAUUUUUUUCAUUAAUAUGUGUUUUUGGAGUUAAUUUUGAGUUUGUGUGGGUUUUGGGGUUGAGUAAAGGGGAGGGAUUGGAGUUUGGGUUGGAUUUGUGGUAUAACAAUUUUAGGGGAGAUUAUGCCUUUUUUUUGUUUUUUUUUUUUGGUUAUUUGACCAUAUUUGUUUUUUUUUUGUAGGGAAUCAUCGAGACUUUGACGGCUAAAGUUGAGGAUUAGGAAGCUAUCAAAACAUAUCCUCCGCCACUACCACCACAAUACGCUUGUAUUAGGAUUUUAUUAUUGUACUUUGUUAAUUUAUGUGUAUAUUUUGAAUAUUAUAUAUAUAUAUUUAUUGGAUAAUUUGAUCACUAUUUUUCAUAUGUAAUUUUAUUUUGAAUAUGUCAAUUUAAAUUAAAGUAAUUAAAAAAAUCAUACAAUUAAAUUAAAUUUAAAAAGUAAAAACUUGAAAAAAUUAAUAUCAAUUUAAAUUAAAGUAAUUUUAAAAAGAAAUCAUACAAUUAAAUUAAAUUUAAAAAAUAAAAUUUUGAAUAAAUUAAUAUAAAUUAAUUAAUAUUAAAGAAAUAAUAAAACAAAAAGUCAAAAACCUUGCGUGACAAAAUAUUUCGUAGCGCAAACUAUUAAAUUAGUUUAUUUUAAAUUAAAAAAAUUUAAAACAAAAAAUAUUUCGUCGCGCAAAUAUUUGCGCGACGUUAGUAUUCGUCGCGCAAAACUCAAAAAAUUUGGGCGGGUACCAAAAAUUGUACGCGGGAAUUUGUUUUUUUUUUAAAUUUUUUUGAAGACUUUGCGCGACCAAUGGUUUUCGUCGCGCAAACCUUUGCGCGACCAAUGUAUUUCGUCGAGCACAACUUUGCGCUACCAAUAUUUUUCGUCGCGCAAAGUCACUUUGCGCGACCAAUAUUUUUUCGUCGCGCAAAGUCACUUUGCGCGACCAAUGAAAAAACUUCGUCGCGCAAAGUCUUUCUUUACGAUCUUUGCACGACGGAUUCUGCGCGACGAAAUUUCUGUCGCGCUGAAAUUUGUGCGACUACAAUGUAUUUUGCGCGACGAAAUUCUCUUCGUCGCGCAAAGUGUAAAAUGUAGUAGUGUAGACAAUGGGAGUUGCAAGAAUUUUGUGUCAAAAAAAUUGGUGGAGCGUUUGCAGCUUCCAACACAGCCAUAUAUCAGCCCUUAUUCACUGAGUUAGGUUAUAAAAGGAUCUUCAGUUCGUGUUACUGAGACUUAUCGUGCGCCACUCUCCAUUGGUAAGCAUUACAGAGAUGAAGUCGUAUGUGAUGUUAUUGAUGUGGAUGCUUGUCAUAUCUUGUUAAAGCGACCUUGGCAAUAUGAUGUGGCUGCAACCUUUAAGGGUCGAGAUAAUGUGAUUUUGUUUUCCUGGAACAACCACAAGAUUGCAAUGGCUACUACAGUGUCCUCAAACAAAUCAAUUGAGCCCAAAACUAAGAGUUUUGGUUUUCUAACUCUGAUCAGCAGCGAGUAAGAGUUAAAUGAGGCAAAAAAGAAGCAUAUUAUUUUUGUCCCAUGGUGUUGAAAGGGCUAUUGAAGGCCAGCAAAGAAGAAAAUGUAAUUCCUAUUGAAGUGCAACAGAUUUUGACAAAAUUUCAGGAACUGAUUUAUGACAAGCUGUCAAACGAGCCAUCGCAUUUGAGAGAUAUACAACACCACAUUGAUUUGGUACCGAGGGCUAGUCUACCGAAUCUGCCACAUUGUCGCAUAAGCCGUAAGGAGAAUUUAAUUCUAAGAGAGCGAAUUGAAGAUUUGUUACAAAAGGGUUUUAUCAGGGAGAGCUUGAGUCCCUGUGCGGUUCCAAUCCUUCUUGUUCCAAAGAAAGAUCAGUCUUGGCGUAUGUGUGUUGAUAGUUAACCAAUCAACAAGAUUACAAUAAAAUACAUAUUUCCCAUCCCAUGGUUGGAAGAUAUGUUGGAUGUGCUUGAAGGCUCUAAGAUGUUUUUCCAAAAUAGAUUUGCGCAGCGGAUACCACCAGAUUCGCAUCAGGCUAGACGAUGAGUGGAAAAUAGCGUUUAAGAGCAAGGAAGGGUUAUACGAAUGGCUGGUGAUGCCGUUCAAAUUGUCAUGGUUUAUUUUGAAAGAAAAUAAGCUAUAUGUGAAUCUGAAAAAAUGUACUUUUUGCACAAAUAAGCUACUGUUUUUGGGUUUUGUGGUUGAUGAGAAUGGUAUCCAGGGGGAUGACGAGAAGAUCAAGCAAUUCUUGACUGGCCAACUCCAAAAACAAUCUUUGAAGUUCGAAGUUUCCAUGGUUUAUCCACUUUUUUUACAGGAGGUUUGUGAGGCAUUUCAGUUCCAUUGUCGUGCCUGUUACUAAAUGUUUGAAGAAGGGUAGGUUCAAUUGGGGAGAAGAGCAAGAAAAAAGUUUUGCUCUUGUAAAAGAAAAACUUUGCACCGCCUCGAUUCUAGCUCUUCCAAAUUUUGAGAAGGUGUUCGAAGUUAAAUGUGAUGCCAGUGGCGUGGGAGUGGUAGCCGUGCUCUCUCAAGAUAAGAGACCAAUUGCUUUCUUUUCUGAAAAGUUGAGCGACGCUCGUCAAAAGUGGAGUACUUAUGACAAAGAAUUUUAUGCAGUUGUUUGGGCUUUGAAACAAUGGAAGCACUAUCUUAUUCAUAAGGAAUUUAUUUUGUUUAUAGAUCCUCAAGCUUUGAAGUAUAUUAACAGCCAGAAACAUAUUGAUAAAAUGCAUGCCAAAUGGGUGACUUUUUUUGCAGAAAUUUUCAUUUGUUAUCAAGCAUACUUUUGGCACCUCAAAUCGUGUGGCUGACGCACUGAGUAGAAGGGCUUCUCUGUUAGUUACUCUUACUCAAGAAAUUGUGGGGUUCAAGUGUCUAAAGGAUUUAUAUGAAGAUGAUGAUGAUUUCAAGGAAAUAUGGGCUAAAUGUGCUAAUCAUGAGCCAAUGGCAGAUUUCUUUCUUAAUGAAGGGUAUUUGUUCAAGGCCAACUUGUUAUGCAUUCCUGUUUCCCCCUUAAGGGAGAAACUCAGUCGGGAUUUACACGGAGGAGGGUUGAGUGGCUACUUAGGCCGCUAUACAACAAUAGUAGGAUUGGAGGAGAGAUUUUAUUGGCCACAGUUGAAGCGUUAUGUUGGAACAAUUGUGCGCAAAUGUUAUAUUUGUCAAGUUUUGAAGGGACAGGUACAAAACACUGUAUUAUACAUGCCUUUACCAGUUCCUAAUGAUAUAUGGCAGGAUCUUGCUAUGGAUUUUGUCCUUCGUUUUGCCUCGAACUCAGAGAGGUGUGGAUUCAGUUUUUAUGGUGGUUGAUCGAUUCUUAAAAAUGGCACAUUUCAUAGUCUGCAAGAAGACUGCUGAUGCAUCUAAUAUAGCCAAACUGUUUUUCAAGGAGGUUGUUCGUUUGCAUGGAGUACCUACAUCUAUAACUUCUGACCGUGAUACAAAAUUUUUGAGCCAUUUUUGGAUCACUUUGUGGGGAAUGUUUGGGACUACUUUGAACAGUAGUAGCACAACCCAUCCUCAAACUAAUGGCCAGACUGAGGUAACCAAUCGAACAUUGGGAAAUAUGGUGCGAAGCAUUUGCAAAGAGAAGCCGAAACAACGGGAUUAUGCGCUGUCACAGGUGGAGUUUGCAUAUAACAAUGCAAUUCAUAGUGCAACCGAGAAGUCACCGUUUUCCAUUGUUUAUACUAUUGUGCCUAAUCAUGUUGUAGAUUUGGUGAAGUUGCCUAGAGGCCAAAAAACCAGUGUUGCAGAGGGAAAUUUGGCUAAAGAAGUGGUGGCUGUUCGUGAUGAAGUGAAGCAAAAACUCGAGCAAACUAAUGCUAAGUACAAAGCCGCUGCAGACAAGCAUAGGCGAGUUAGGGUGUUCCAAGAAGGUGAUUUUGUUAUGGUGUUUCUGAGGAUGGAGAGGUUCCGUGCUGGUACAUAUAGCAAGCUGAAGCCUAAGAAAUAUGGUCCUUACAAGGUGCUGAAAAGAAUCAAUGACAAUGCCCAUGUUAUUGAAUUACCAAAUUCCGUGGGAAUUUCUAAUACUUUUAAUGUUGCUGAUUUGUAUGAGUUUCAUGAAGAUAGAACCCUUUAUCCUAAACAUAACUCGGGGUCGAGUUCUUUAAAGGUGGAGGGGACUGAUGUAGAACAAAUGGCUGAAUGGAUUGAAGAAGAAUUGGAGCGAAGAAGGGAAAAAGGACGCAGGAGGAAUUUACAGAUUUGUCGUCUGAGCUCCAAUUGGGUUGCAUAAUACCUUCUUAGAAAGAGAACGACGCCACGAGUCCAACUCACCACUUUGUUGUGACAUAUGGUAGAUGUUGGGCUUCUGAGGAUGUUUGGCCUUCUAAAAGUGCAUUUAAAGAUUGCAUUCAAUUUAUAGACUUUCCGUUCAUUUUCUGUUACGUUUUCAAUAACUCCCUAGGACAGUCCAAUGGGUGAGAACAUGGUAUUUAGUCAGCCGUCAUGCUUGGUUGAACUUAUCUUGAAUUUUAUCAAAUAAUUCAAAGAGAAUUUCUCUCUACCUUCCUGGUUGAUUUCAUAUUAUUAUUCUUUAGGAUUUUCGCUUGAAAACCUAUUUACUUGUGUUGCGUCAUCCUCCCACCACCAAACGGAAUAAGCUCAAUGCUUUUGCCUAUAACAUCAAUAUCCAUUCCCAAGAACCUCUCCGGCAUAAAUGAGGUAGGGUUGUCCCAAAUGGGGUCUUUGCCAAUGGCCCAUGCAUUCACCAACACCUGCGCACCCUUUGGUACAAUGUAGGCACAAAUUGCUACGUCUGCUUCGGCUCUGCGAGGGACAAAUAGAGCUGGUGGGUGUAGCUGGAAGGUUUCUUUGAUUAUUGCUUGUAAAUAAGGAAGUCGAGCAAUGUCCGAUUCCUCUUAUGGUUUUCCUUUGCCAAUGACUUGCUCUAACUCCUCUUGAGCUUUUGACAGUUUUUUCAAGGUUACGUACUAGCUCAGCCACUGCCCAUUCCAAUGUGGCUAAAGUUGUAUCUUUGCCCGCCACAAGUAGAUCCUAAAUAAAGAAGUGCACAAGGCAUUUACCCCACAUGAGUAUUACUAUUAUGGGCUUCAGCAACACUUACAUUUUUUAAAGCCUUGUGAGGCUAUAUGGGCCCGCCACUUUUCCGAAAAAGGAUACCAAGGUCAGCAUCUACAAAUUCUAUUAAAAAAAACACAAACACACACACAUUUAUAUUUCUCUCCUUCGGCACCUUGCCAAGUUUUAUGCCCUUUGGGAAUUUUCUUUCGACACACAAGUUUCAUGCAAAGUUCCUUCGGUAAUUUCCUUGCUGCACCCAAGUUUCAUGCAAGUGCCUUUGGCACCUUACCAACUUUCAUGCCUUUCGGCAAUUUCUUUGUGACAAGCAAAUUUCAUGCAAGCUUUGUGCCUUCGACAGCUUGUCUUGCGACUUGCAAGCCUCUUUGCCUUCGGCACCCCCGUGCUCUUCAGAACCUUGCCUUGCAACAUGCAAGCCUUGUGCCACAAAGCAAUAGUGCGCGAGUCCCACAACAGCUUUCUUGCACAUGGGAUGUGUUAGCUUCAGUGGGAUCUACCGAAAUUUUUUUGGCCCAAGAAAUAGCUGGACUGCUAUUUGACCCCAAGUUUGGGUUUUCCCAAAUUUUGGCCUCUUCAUUUUAUUUGGUUGGGAGAGGAGUUGGGCUAAAAUUUGAGAUUUUUUGGUUUGUCCUCAUGGGUUGGAGAUGGCCUUACCCCUCUUGACCGUGGUUUGGUGACCCACUUUGUCCUUUGUCAUCAACUUUGUCCAAAAAUUUGUUAAUUAUGAUGACAUGGUAGGGGUAUUUUUGUAAUCUCAUACACAUGGAUCAUUAUCCACCAAUUAAGAGUGUGACGUGAUAAGUAGCCCAUCUCCACAUAGAUAAGAAUAUAAUUAAAUAUUAUAAUUAUUAAAUCUAAUUUUUUAAAAAGAAUUAGACCCCAGCCGCCUCAAUCCUCAACCUCCAUCCACACCCCCCCUCCUCUCCUACAAAUACCCUUGGAAGAAACUGUUAGAAGUGUGCCCUAAGAGCCAAUACAUUUGAUACAAUCUCCUUAGAAUUUCAUAUAUGAUAUAUAAAGGGCAAACUUAUUUUGUUAUCUUUUACAUCAUGUAAAGAAACAAAUGUCCAGGGUAUGCUAAAUAAGAGAUAAGGUAAUCUAAAGAAGAUUAAAUUCGGGAGACCUUUAAUCUCUAACUGUAGUAUUCCAAAAUGUUCCUAAUCAUAGGGUUAUCAAAUGGGCAUUGAUAAACCGUCAAGAUUAGCACAAAUUAUGUAUGCUCAAUUAGGAGGAUGGUUACUUUCAAACCCUUUGCGUAAUUGACACUACUACAAGUAUGUGGGUGCUCAUUACUGAACGUGAUUAACCUUAGUUUUCGUAUGGAGUAUUUAUCUAUAUGUCAAACGAGAACUCAUAGUUGCAAUAAUGCAAAUUAGUUCUUAGACCUGAGGCAUCAUAAUUGUCAUGUGAUGCGUUAUUGAUCUUUAAUAGCUCUCAAAGGCAUGUGUAAAAGAUUUGUCUUAAGUGUUGUUGGGAUCUCUUAAUUCAUCAUAGGGGUAUGUGAAUGUAUAAUAAGGAAUCUCUACCUUCGAUAAAGAAGGAGAAUGUUUCAAGAUGUGAUUCAGCAAAUCUUUGGCUAAAGUUUUUUUAGCUUGAUUUAGAAAGUUAUUCUUAAUUAUGUUCUUUUGAAUCACAUGAGGUUAUAAAUCAUAUUAGGGUUUAACAUAAUCAAUCUGUACCUUAAUAAUAUGAUUUGAAACAUUGUAUAAGAGAAGGACCGUAUUGCAUUGCAGUUCCAACUGAAUGGGUUCUUCAUCUAUUUUGGUUAGCUUGGGUAGCCUUAAUAUAUUGCCAGAUGUCACUCUUGGCUCAUGGAAGUCCUAGGAUUGAUUGUGAUCAAUCCAUAUAAAGGAAGAAUUAAAUGGGGGUUUUAAUUCCAGUUGAUUAGAAAGAGUUUUAAUGUUUUCCCACUCCCUCGCUAAUUAGAAUCUAUACUACUACAAAAAGGGCAAUAGACGACGGGAAUUGAUCGUCGUGUAGCAAGUUUUCUAACCGUCAUGAAAUUGACCGAUAUUUUUUUAAAAACAAAACCAAGACGGCAAAAAGGAGACGUUGUUCAUCGAGAAACAAUGUCAGAAUUAAUAAAAGCCGAAGUAAGUAAAGAAAAUGACCGCCAAAAUAACUAAUGGUGAACGUGUAAACGACUCAAUUUGGGAAACAACCGUCGUCUAAAUCAUAAAACAUGACGUUGUUUAGUAAAAUAUCGCUAGAAAAAAAAAAGCCACCAUGUCAUAAACAAUUAACUGAACGACGUUAAUUAAGACAUUCCACGACACAUUAUAAUAUAUUACGCCACUUUUAUUUCCAGAUAUGAUGUUGUAAAUAGUGUACACCGUCAGUCUUUACUCAGAAGUUGACGUAUUAAAAGAUAUACACGUCUAUUAGUAUAUCAGAGACGACGUUAGGAAAACAUACCACGACACAUCUGUUUCCACAUGGGACGUUUUUAUACAAUAUUUCACGACACAUGGUCACCAAGGAGACGUGAAAACUAUUAAUGACGUCAGUAAAUAUGGGAAUAAACAGGUUCUACGUCUCCUUUACUUUAAACUCUGACAGUGAAAUUAGAUUUACAACCUCGGUUAUUAUAAACACCGUGUUGUAUGUCGUAAUACAAACGUCGCAUAACCUUCGAAGACGACGUGGUUACGCUGUACUACGUCAUCUUUGUUUUUAAAGACGACAUUUGCAUGUAAUAUUUUACGACACAUAGUCACCAAGGAGACGUGAAAACAAUUAAUGACGACAGUAAAUAUGGGAAGAAAGAGGUUUUUACGCCUCCUUUAUUUUAAAUGCUGAUGGUGAAAAAGAACUUACAACGUCGGUUACUGUAAAAAGGUGUCGUAUGUAGUGAUAUAAACGUCGCUAAGCAUAUCAAAGGCGACAUGGUUACUUUGUUCUACAUCAUUGUUAUUUCUAAAGACGAUGUAAUUCAAAUAUUCACCAAGUCCUUAAAGACAUAAAUUGACGUGGUAUGUUGUUAAGACGUUUCUUAAUAAGAGUGUAUCGUCGUGUUUGUGAAGUAAAACGACGGUAUAUGUGUUAUGAGGUCGUGUUAUCCGCUUUUAAAUGUCGUCUUUUUGGGCCUUCUCGUCGUGAUAUCCUGUAACAACGGCUUGUCAUUACCGUUGUUGUUCUAUUAUUAGUGCAGUCUUUUGAGUUAUGUUUUAGACGGCGGUAAGUACAUCGUGGCUAUCUCAUUGGAUACAUACGACCUUUUUAAUAUCCAUUUUUUUAAACAGACGUCUUCUGCAGUUUUUUUCUUUGUUUUUUUUAUAGGUUUUAAGGUCUUCCAUUGCAUGACGUAUGAUAAAAAAACGACAUCUUAUAUUAUUAUGACGUCUGUUUUCGCAAUUUUGUUAACAGGACCGUCGUAUUUUGGUACUUGAACUAGAUGUUUUUGUACUAAAAGCUUUGAGCCCAAACCCUGUAUAAUGAAAGUGAAAACAAUGCAAUACAAUUUCUUACAAAAUUAAUGUCAUACACAGCCAUUUGGGGCGUAAGUAAUGUCAUAAAUUACAAGCAUCAUUCAAUCCAUAUAUCUUCAAACCCAUCUCGAAUAUUUUGACUCCCAGACUCACCGGCUAGUUCAUCAAAUAUUUUGAUUCACAUCACCUAAGACAUCAUCACCAAUAACAUCAUUAUAUUCUCUAUUAGGCAUUGAUAACACUACUGACCAACCAUAACAAAUUUGUCAUUCCCAUGUCCAAUUUUAUUCAGAUCUACAAGGGUAAAUCCAAGUUCGUCGACUACAAGGCCAGAAGUGUUAUCUAUCCAAUCACACCUAAAGACUGUGAUUGUAAACUUUUGGUAAUAAGGUCCCAAAUAUCUUGAAUGACACCAUAAAAAUCCAUAUUUGAGACAAUUGGGUUCUUAUCCUUGGCACUAGCAACUUGCAUAGUAUGUGCAAGUAAAUAAACUCCACUUUUUGAACUGCACGCACAUCAUCUUGUGCCUUGGUGUUAAAUUUAAUACCUUUGAUAAGAUAGCUCCUAUAUGAUGGCACUGCCAUGCUUGGACCAGCUGCUAGCCACCUUAAAUUUUCUGAUACACCAUUAUUGUCUUGCUUAUUAAGUUGACUUUGAACCUGCAAAUAAAUCAUAUCUUAAUUCAAUCUAAUAUAAAAAGAAGAAAAUUAAAAGUGCAGCCAUUGAAUGAAAGAGGUAUUGUGCUUAUCUUGCAGCCACUUUGUUCUCUUUCUAAAUUUUGGAUAAGUGGUCUUGAUGUGGAUCAUAUGUUCUCUACAUAACACGAAAAAUUCAAGCAUUACAAUCCCAAACAUAUAAGAUAAACAUAAGGAAUAUAAUUUAAAAUGACUACUUAAGAAUAAAACUCAUACUCGAUAUAUGGUAACACUUCCUCUGUAUUCUCCAAGACAUAUAGAUGUGCCUGAUUCAACAAGUCCCAAUCAACUAAACUCACUGUGCAACCUGAUAAGGGCUUUGAAAGUCCCAUCUUCUGGCUUGAUGGUGCUCCAACUGUAUUAACAUCAGAUAAAUGCUCGGUGCAAAACUCUACAGCAUCUUCAGCUAUAUACUGCUCAGCAAUGCAACCUUCAAGAUGAUUACGGUUCUGAACAUACCCCUUUAGCACUUUCAUAUAUCUUUCAAACGGAUAAAUCCAUCUAAAAUAAACUGGCCCACAUAGACGAACUUCUCUGACAAGAUGUACUACUAGAUGAACCAUGACAUCGAAGAAUGAAGGGGGAAAGUACUUCUCAAGCAAACAUGAAGUUACUACUACAUCUUCUUUCAACUUAUCUAGCUUGGAAACAUCUACCAUCUUUGCACAUAUAGCCUUGAAGAAGAAGCACAAUCGAGUUAUUGCAUACCUUGCAGGCUUCUCCAAGACAGAACAAAUUGCCACAGGGAGCAUUUGUUCCAUCAAGGUAUGACAAUCAUGUGAUUUAAGCCUAAGAAGUCUUGAAUCUUGUAAAGAUAUAGGAUUUUAAUAUUUGAAGAAUAACCUUCAGGGACCUUCAUACAAUAGAAAGAAUUGCAAACCUCUCUCUUCUCUGCUCUUUACAAAUUCCAAGGCCCUAGAGGCAAGGGAGUACGUCUUUCUCCAUACUCAGGUUGCAAAUCAGUCUUGAUCCCCAUGUUCAAUAAAUCCAAAUGAGCAGCAAUCUCAUCUUUAUUUUUUCCAGGGAUCUCCAACAACGUACCAAUGAUACUAUCGCAAACAUUUUUCUCGAUGUGCAUAACAUCAAGGGCAUGCCUCACAGAAAGGUAUUUCCAGUACUCUAGAUCAAAGAAUUUUGACUUCUUCUUCCAACAGACUCUAUCACCAUCAUUUGCACUUCCACCUCCCCCUUUUUUCGAGCCCCAUUUAUAAUUAAUACCUUCAACCAUUUGUAAUACUUCUUCUCCGAUUAAUGGCUUUGGAGGCGUGUCAUUUUCAGGUUUCCCAUUAAAAGCUGUACGUUGCCUACCAAUAUAUAUGCCUGAUGUAACAUAUUUUGUGCCCAUUUUUCAACCUGUGACUAGGUAUAUCAUCACCGCAUAUUGGACAAGCUUUAUAUCCUUUUACGACACAAUCUGAUAAGGAAAAAUCAUUAAUUGUCCACAGUAAUGCAGCUCUGAGUGUAAAGUAUUCUCCUAUAUGAACAUCAUACACUCCUUUAAUCCAUCAACUAUAUCUGGUACCUAGAGAAUUGUGGGGACUGAAUCCAUCAGAUGAGAGAGCCAAUCUCAAGUUUCUUGGCUCAUUACCAAACUCGGGCCAUUUAUCAUCAACCAGUUUUCAAGAGGGAGAAUCCGUCAGAUGAGACAUCAGACCUUCAAUUGCUUUUCUAUUAGCAUGCCAAGUCAAACUCUUAGCUAUCUAGUGUGAUUGAAACAUCCUUUUAAAUCUUGAAAUUGGUGGAAAAUACCACACUACCUUUGCCGGGACACCUUCUUUCAAGAUUGAAUCUUUGCCUUUCUUCCAUCUUGAGAUUCCACAAGUAGGACAAUGAGUUGAAUGUUCAUACUCCUUCCUAUACAAGAUGCAAUCAUUGGGGCAUGCGUGGAUUUUCUCAUAACUCAGCCCCAAUGCACACAAAGUCUUUUUUACGUCAUACAUAGAGGAAGGUAUUGUAUUUCCUUCUAAAAACAAAUCUCCUUGAAGUAUCAACAAUUCUGUAAAACAGACAUUACUCAUCCCAUAUUUUGCCUUCAAAUUAUAUAACUUCACUAAUGCCAACAACUUAGUGUACUUUCUACAACCAGGGUACAAGAGUUGAUCUCCAUUGCCAAUCACAUUGGCAAACUCAUAAGGAUCGGAUCCAAAAUCACCUAAAUCAUUAUCAUCCAUCUCUAUUUCUUCAUACACAAAAUUGUACCUACUAUGUUCAUCAUCUUCUUCCACAUUUCUACUAGCAUUAGUAGUUGCUUGCCAAGGUUCUCCGUGAAAUGUCCAAUUCUUAUAACUUUGGUCAACUCCAUUAAAGUAUAAGUGGUCCCUUAUAAUUCCAACCCCAAACAAUCGAACAUUUGCACAUUUAACACAUGGACAGUGAAUAUGUGUUGUGGUUAGAAGAUUUUCUAUUGAAAUUUUCAAAAAUGCUUCCACCCCUAACUCAUAUGCCUUCGAUCUUCUAUCCGCAUGCAUCCAUGACUUAUCCAUCUCCAACAAUAUACACUAUUAUUUAUAAUAAAGUGAAAAGACAAGCCAUGACCAUCACUAUAGCAUAUUAUAAUUACUUUGAUAGAAAGUAAUUUAACAUAAAGACAACGGCUUUUUUAAAACAUCCGACAUUUUAUACUUAUACAGACGACGGUUUUCUUCAAAAACCGACGUUUUAAGCAAGUAAACAGUGAUUCUGAAAACAACAAUACAAUUACAUACGACGGUAGUUAAAUAAACAUCGCCUUGUAAAGAAAAUAAAGACGACAGUUUUUACGAAAAACAGUCUUCAAAAUCUUAAAGAAAAGAAGGCUAAUGUUGAGCCUAUUCUUAACAACUAAAAUGAGUUAUUAAAAACAGCAACUUUAAUUCUCGCAAGUGCACGAAUCGUUUAUAGUAUAGCUUAUGUAAAUACGAGGUCGAUCCCACGGAGAAUGGUAACUUGGUUCCAAGUUAAAUUACUUAGAAUGCUAGAAAAACAUAGAACAAAGAAACUGACUAACUAGCUAAAGGCAAGGUCGAAUUCAACAAUGCCUCUUGCUAAUUACUCAAGGUCUAGGACAGAAUCCUAGCACCACACACGCACUCGAAAUGGGGGAUUUUGUUGUUGAAAUGAAAACAAGAAAGUGAAAUGAAAGUGCUCGAAAGUAAACACUGGCAGCAAUCAACAAGUUGUGAAACAAUGAUUGAGAGAUGUUAGAGCCUUGGAAUCCACCACUAGUUUUCCUAACCAAGUUAUGAAUGCAUAGAAAUUGACUCAAGCUUCAUUAACAAUAGAUUAUCGCAUACAAGCCUAUGGUAUCUAGGUGCAGGAUGCAUGAUUCUCCUAAGGCAUGUGAUUAUGCAUGGUAUCUACACAACACGUGAUCUCUAAUAUGCAACCUAAGUAUGGUAUCUACUUAGAAUAAAGCAUACAAGAGUCAUUAAGCUCCUUGAGAAUAUGAUAUGAUAAUCACACAAGUCCUAGAACAUGGUAUCUGUCCUAGUCAACCUAUGGUUAUUAACCCCUUGAAUGAUUCUUAGGCCAUUCAUGUGUUGCUUGUGAAAGGAGAGUAGAAUUGGUGAAUCUAAACCCAUUCCCAACCUGUGAUAGAUGCAUAAAAUCCUAGUUAGCUACUCCAAGAAAACAUACAUCAGGCACCUAAUAAACUGGAGAUUAACAACUUGAUAAUAAAAGCAAGGAAAUCAAUUAACUAUAAAAUCAUCCAUAACAUUGAAUAUUCAUGACUAGGGCUUCAUCCUAAGCCCUAACUAAAUGGAUUAGUUAGACAUUACUAUGAAUACAGAAAAUAAGAAAUACAUAGAUAGGAUAAAGAGAGGAGAAGAACUAGAUGAUGGCAGCAAGGAAGUUCCCAGGACAGCUCCAAGCUCCCUUGACAGCUCUAAGCUCCCUUCUCUCUUUGUGGUGAAUCUGAAUGUGUGUAUGAGAGUAAUGGAUGAAGUGAAUGUGUGUGUCUGCCCUCUCUCUUGAAUGAGUGUGCAACUCUUUAUUUAUAGAGUGCAAUUUCGUGCUCCCCUUUGGCUGGUGAAGCACACCUCUCUUAGCUGCUCCCAACUGCUCCAGCUACCCAUACUUGCCAACUGCUCCAGCUGACAAAUACAUGCUUUGGUAUGGUUUCUUUAUGGAAAACUUGACUUUUGUUUAUCUUUCUGAGCUUCUGAGCUGAUUUGACUCCCAUGUAUGGCGGCCCAUGUGUAGCACAUGGCUCUAGGGAUGUAGCCACAUUAAAUGUGAUGGCAGCCAACAUGACAUUUCUGUGAACUUGGUUCAGUCUUUGACGUGUUGAGGGCUCUAGAUUUAUCCAAUUGGGCUGAAAUGUGGAUAUGUUAUAAUAGACACCCAUUGGAACAACUUCUAUGAAGGAUGUCUCCUCAUCCGACCUGUGUAAGUUACUGAAAUGAGGCCUGCAAGAUGACCUACGAAACUGGACUGACAAGGAGUGUGGCACAAAUUGGUUUUGUCUUUAAGCUCAUAUUCCUCUUGUGCCACUCAGCCCUUAACAUGCAUGAAUUGUAUCAAAUGUCAUCCCCUUGCUGUCUUAACCUACAAAGCACACAAACAUAGGUAAGAGACUCAAAAUAAAGAGAAGCUAAGAAAAAUUACUAAGGAAAGAAGGCAUGCAAAUGUGUGAAAUUAUGAGCUUAUCAGCUAAAUCUUCUUUUAUUCAGACCAUUUCUAAGAACCCAAUAUAUGUUAACAACCUAUAACAUUGAAUUUUAUGAAAAGCACGCAAAUAUUAAAGUCAUUCCUUAUUCAUAACAACAGAGAUUGAUGAAGAACAUAUAUCCAAAACCCAACAAUGCAGUCUAUGAUUUCAGAAUAAUCUUCUAAACCCUAAACAUAUAUCUAAAGCCAUUCCCUAAAUCCUAUAUGUUUGUACUUCAGAACCUAGAAUUGAAUAUCAAUCAAUGAAUUACGAAGCAUGAUAUUAGGGUUUGUACUUACAGGCAGGCAGAGCUCACAGAUUAUGCUCUCUUUGGAUUCGACGGAGGCUGGAGAGCGCAAUUUAGAAUUAGAGUUUAAGUGAGAGAGCGAAAUGUAGAGUUAUAGCGAAAUCUGAAAAUUUUAGGUCGCGGCCAAAUUUUUAGAAAGCGUGCUUCUUCAAACAUCAACAGAAAUAAUACAAAACCGUCGUUAAAAACACAUCGGUUAAUAUAAGACAGACAACGUGGUAAAGUAGUAACACGGCGGUAAAACAUAAAACCGACGUCAAAAGAACUAAAUAAUAUUUCUGGGAUUUGGUUUUCCUGGAACAGAAAAUAAAAUACAACACUGGCAUCAUAUACUAAACCCUAAACCCUAAACCCUAAACCCUAAACAUUAAAUUAUAAUUUUGUAAAAAAAGGUUUAGGGUGGUUAAACACUGAAUACCUACACCCCUAAAUACCUAAACCUCUAAAUCCCUAAACCCUAACCCUAAACCCUAAAUAAUAAUAUUUUUAAAAAAAAAUUGUACAAAAAUACAAAUGUUUGAGAAAAAUAAAACAAAAAUUGCUACGGACUCCUUACGACAAUGCCAUCUUAAUUAGAUUGCUAAAACCAGUAUUUUAAAAUUUUAAAAAAAAUUAUCCCCACCAAUGAAUGACACAAGCCAUAUGAUUGUUUAUAACUCAAAUUACAUUUUUGAAAGCUUUAGGAUAAAGACAAUAUCUCAAUGGCUGCAUAGGAGUUAUGGUGUAUUUCUUUUUGGAAAUUUUACAAAUUUAUUAUGAAUAUUAUGAAUUAAGGUCAAUAAUUUUUUUUUAUAAAUACAACAAACCACGUCGGUUUUAAAUCCGCAUAUGACGUUGUAUGCAGUUUAAACUUCGUUAUUUAUUCAGAUAACACAUUUACGACGUCAUACCUUUGGACGUUGGUUUGGUACUCCUACGUCGUCUAUGGUAGUAACCGACAUGGUAAGGAGAAUAGACAGCACAAAGCCUAUUCUUAUAAAUAAACCGACAUUGUGGUUUAGUACAGAAGGCAGAAAAUAAGUCAAAACUGCCACUAAAGAUUGUUUAAGACGUCAGGAAUAUAGACGUCAGUUAAAUAAAAUAACGUCAUUGUAAGUAUUUCAAAAUUCAUUUGAAAUAUCAUAAAGUUGACCAAACGAUGGUUUUAAAAAGGGAUGGUCGUUGAAAUUGCAUAAGACGUCAUUUGUUAUAUAGUUAUCAACGUGGUAUUUGCUUACAGGCUCUUUGUUUUUUGUGUUACGUUAAAAGGAAAAACGUCAUUUAUUGACUUUUAAAAUAUACCGUCGUGUUACGGAAGUUUACAUGUCAUUUUAUGAAUUUACUGUCGUUUCUUUAUUUUCAAGUUUCAUAAGACGACGGUUGUUGAAACAAUCUUGUCGUUGGAAGGGACUUCAGACGACGGUUUAAAGAAUUACUUUAGUUUUAAAAACUGAAAAAUAAUUUUAUUGACAGCCAAAAAAAACAUAUACAUUAUACCCUAAACCCUGUACAAAAAAUUGUCUAUUCAAAAAAAAAAAAAUAUGUACAUUUUUCAUAACUAUUUAUAAAAAUCCUCUACUCCAUAUGAAGGCAUAAAAAUCUGCCCAUUCUUUCCUCACUUCUUGGGGGUAUGGUGCUUGAUCUUUGCCCUUUUCAAACUGCAAUCAAUAAAAAUGAUUAUUUAGACUUCAUCAAUGGUUUUGUAGAAUCUGUGAUAGAGAGCCUAAAAACCAUGGCGGUACAUCCAUUCAAACGACGGUAAUUCUAUUUACCGUCGUCCACUUACAAAAACCACAAAAAUCAAAAUCAUAAAGUUUUCCAUUUACGUUCUUCUCAAACUCCAAAGAAUGAUAUGUGAUUAUGUCUCUCAUAAAGCGCAUGACAUAAUAGCCACACUCUACCCUGCUGGGUUGCUUUGGUGUGCCUUGUAGAUUUUUUCAAAUCGGUGCUUUACAGCCUUGUCUGCCUAUGUGUGAAUUAUACAUCUUGAUAGCACUGUUUCAUGACAACAAAGUGUUAUUGAAAAAAAAAAAAAUUAGGCUACAAACACACAUUACACUUUAGUAUAUCAACUUACGUGUUCACUAUGUUUUUUGCAUUCGUCAUCAACCACUCGAUUUCCGGGUAGUGGAUCUAGAAAAUACACAGUCUCCCUCUUUGGUCUCACAAUGACCAAGACCCAAUGACGACUACACAAAAUAAACAUAGAGGUUAAACAAUUUUAUAUACACUGCAUCAUACAAAGAAAAUCGUGUUGACUAACGUACCCUGGAUUGUAAGGCAUAAAGAAAAUAUGUUCCCCAUCUAUCUUUUGAAGUCGAUUGGCUAACAAACGUGAUCUUUGAGUUAAUGAUCCAGAGUUAGCACUAACUUGAGUGGGGUCAACAAAGCCAACCAUGUUCACCAUAUUUGCUGUUUUCAAAACAUCAAAUAGGCACCUACAUAUAUGAAAUGAUGUCAUGAGUUUUUUAAUCUUUUUAAAGAAAGGAGAGUGUGAAAUGACAAUGAGUUGAUAAGGACAAACCUCAUGUAUACAGCAACCACAGUAGCCCCAAUUUCAUUCAUGGUUGCAAACUGUGUAAUAUCUUCAAUCAAGACGAAGGUUUGAUGAUCAAAACCAAACACCUCUUUCUCAGUUGUAAAUAUCAUAUCCUUCUCAUGAACCUUUAAUGUCGUCUUCAUAUAACGACAAAGGGCUUGUAAAGAAGAUGGCAAGACUAGGUUUGAGUAAUCUGGUACUUGUUGUUCCUUGUCAGAAACGUCCAAGCACUUGUCUUUCUGCUUGAAGAAAUAAGGAAAGAUAUAUAAUACAUAAGUGAAAAAACCAGAGUAAACUACACAAACUUAAACGUCAUGGUAAUUGGGAUAAACACGACGGGUAAGAGACAAAAAUGACGUGUAAAUUGAAUAACCACGACGGUAUGUAAAAACCGUCGUCGUAUGUAUUAAUUACGUCUGUAUAAAACAGAGCCCUAGAAAAGUAACAAUUGCCAAUAUCAACUUAAAAGCAUGCUUUAGCAGAAAUACAGAUACCGUGAAAUGCAGAUAAAGAGAGAAAGAAAGAGAGAGUGGAACAGAGUGAGUGAAGAAAAAUUGAAAAAUAAAUGAAAAUACGACACUAUCUGAAUCCCCAAUACCGUCGUGGUAGUUAAAUUCCGACGAUGGGUUAUUUAAAAAACAGACGUGGUAUGAAAUUAAAACGAUGGUAAGUAAAAACCGUCGUCUUAUGUUUUUAUUACUUCGGUAUGAAACAGAGCGCUCCAAAAUUAACAAUUGAAAUUAUCAACUUAAAAGCAAUGCAGAUAACAUCAAUUGCAGAGAGAGAGAGAGAGAGAGAGAGAGAGAGAGAGAGAGAGAGAGAGAGAGAGAGGGACAGAGAGAGUGAAGAAAGAUUGAAAAAAAAAAUUAAGACACUAUCUAAAUACCCCAUACCGUCGUGGUAUUUAAAUGACGACGUCUUAUUAAAAAAACAGACUUGGUAGGAUAUUUAAUACGUCGUUAACCAAAAAACGACGUCUUAUGGCAUAUCUAACGACUAUAUUGAACCCCAGUGACGCAUAUGUAUUUCCAAAUAAGAAAGAAUUUCAAAUUUCAGAGAAUUUACCCUUUCAUCUUGCUUUUCUGCAUCCUUGGAUUUCUGUUUUAAGAAAUAAAGAAAGAUAGAUAAGACAGCUUGUAUAAGAAUGAAAAAUUUCACAAACGUACUGUCGUAGUAAGGAAUACACACGAUGGUUAAUAAUAGAAGAUGACGUCUAAUUUAAAUUGAGAUGACGGUAAAUAAAAGACGUCGUUGUGGGUUGUUUCUAACGUCUGUAAUUAAGGUAACGACAUCUAAUUGGUUUUCAAAAGCAGUAUGCAGAGUUCAUAGAAGUUACCAUUUCUUGUUGUUGGCCUCCAUCUUUGGCAUUAUCAUCCUCAAAAUUGAGGGCUCUAACAUCAAGAGCCCCAGAGCAGCUUGCUUUAUUUGACAUUGGAGUUUUGGGACUUUGCUCAGGACCUUGGAUAGUUGUUAGUUUCAGCAUGCUUGGAUCAAAAUUUGGAAUUAGUUGGCGCAGUUGAUUCAGCAAAUUCUCCCUCUUAGCUUUUACCAAUUGCUUGGUUCUAGCCUCCAUCUUCGAGGUCUCUUCUUUAAGGACAUCUCUUACACUUUCCUUUAAUUGAUCAGCAAACUUUACCCUUUGUUGUCUAGCUAAAUUGAAGUAUUUCCUAGUGGAAAUCCCAACCCCAACACCUCUAACUCUCCCUGCUUGCUCAGGACCCAAAGCCAUAGUCAACACAUCAUUACUUACAGAGACAGUAAGAGUGUCUUCACUGACUUGUUUUUUGCAAUUCAUCCUAAUUAACACAAAGACACAUUAAAGUCAAUAAAAACAUAAAGUUUGUUUCAUAUGCAAGUCUAAUUAAAAUUCCAAUGCAGUUUAAUACAAAUUUAAAACAGAGUGAAAUGAAUUUAGGCUUACAAUUAAUUUUGUUUCUUCGCAACCUUUGGAUCGGGGAUGUUAUCGUGUUUGUCUUCUCUAGCUUUCUUCCACAAGGUAGAUCGACCAAUUUCUACGCUUGGCAUGGUUUCUUCCAAAUCAUUCUCCAAACCAACAUAUCCUUUUCGAGACAAUCGAUGAUUGUACUCGCAUUUCUCUCUCCUCUAUGCUUGUUUAGCAUGGACAGACUCAAAUUGUUCUGAUAACCUUGAAGCUACAAACACAUCCCAGUGUGCUUUCUCUAUGAAUUUAUAUAAUUCAGGGGUUGUCUUAACUUCUCCUUCUCAUUGAUGAAUGGAAGGAUAUGAUGCCUCGUUAGUGUAGACUUGAAAUCCUUCCAUUUCUUGCCAGCAGAUGAUAACACCAUUUUUUUACCCCCUUGCCCUACCACAUAAGCCAUGUCAACGGCUUCCCAAAUAUGCUCUUUUAUAACCUUGGGGAUUUCAGUCCAUUUCUUGUCCAUAAUUGGGACUCUGGACCUUGCCAACACACCAAUAUAGGAUUGCAUCUCAGCAUGUGCAGGGCCAUAUGGUUUCCCCCUUUGGUUGUACUCAAUAACUGGCUUGAUUUUCUUCAAUUUUCUCUUCACAACACGGGGCAUUGUGUUUAUACCACGACUAGACUUUGGCUCCUCAUAAAAUGUUGUCGUGCUGCCUGGUUCUAUCUUAGCAGGUGAAACAAAUUUCAUCUUCUUCGAGGGCUUGGUUUGAGGUUUAGAUACUUUAAGCUCCUUACAUUCAUUUUCGUUCAAGCUAGAAUCCUUACUUGGCGCUUGAGAAACCAUGGUUAUAGAGAAAUGAGACCUGCAAGUACAGAAAAAAUAACAUAAAAGUCAAUAAGAAACGACGCUUAUUUAAAAAAACGAUGUACUAUAAAAUUUCAUACAAAGGAAUAUAAAAACAACCGACGCAAUAAGAAUUAUAUAACGACGGUAGUUAACUACCAACGUGGUUUGAAAGUAACACGAUGUAAAUUUUGAAUUUUUCACGAUGGUAGUAAGAAAACGUCGUGGUUUUACAUUACAACGACGUGAAAUAUAAAAUACCGUCGUCUUAUUAAAAUGAAAUACAAAAUACAGAGUACUGUUUUCAGACCAUUUGGUUCUUGUCUUUAUAUUUGGAAAAACUUAAAUUGAUUUUCACCAGAAAAAAAGUAAAAAUAUAUUUCAACAAACGUCGUGGUAUUCAAUUACAACAACGUUAGUAAUAAAAUAUAGUUGUCUUCUUAAUAUGAAAUUAAAAAACUGUUCCAAGACCAUUUGGUUUACUACUUCAAACACAAAAAGACAGUAGAUUUUAUCAUCGUGGUCAAUGACACUUUGUUCUUUGUCAGUAGAUUUUAUCUAAAAAGUAAAAUGAUUUUCGCAUGAACAGGAACAAAGAUGAGAAAUGCUUACCUUUUGCUUGCAAUGAAAUUUAUCGCUUGCAAAACAAGAACAAAAAUGAUUUUUCAAAGACAAAGACGAAGAGGAGAGGAAGCCGAUGAGAUUCAGACACGGUACUUUGGGAACAAAAAUGAGGACAGCGUGAAAUUUUUUCUCGGGUUUGGAAACAAUAUAAAUGUAGGUCAGGAAAGGCGAAAAGUUUAAAAUAUUAACGAACCGUUUCAUAACACGAUGCUAUUAAUGACAACCGCCCUAGUAAAUGGUUCUACACGGUUGUAAAUAUGUAGUUCACGCCCUGGUAAAGAAUAUUAAACGACACACACUUUUCCGACGUGGUUAGUUUAACUUAUAAUUCAAUAGUGUUAUAGAUGUCGUCGUAGUAUUUUUUUAAUAAUAAGUCGGUAAGUUUACCUGUACUGACGUCUUUACUUUCUACGUCAGUUACUUAAUAGAUUCUGUCAUUGGUUUUUCGCUCUAAGUACAAGACAACGCAUUUUAGUUAUGCGUGUCGUGGUUUCUCUGCAAAAACCGCCCUAGUAAGUCUUUAUUACGUCGUUAAACUAACAGAAACGGAUGUCGUUAGUAUUUUAUGCGCAGGGGCGGAGCUACAGCCAAGCCUGCCAUGGCCCUUGCCCCCCCCCCCACUUAAUUAUUAAUCUCUUGUAAUAUAUUAUAAAAUAUAUGAUAUAGCAAUAUAAUUACUGCAAUUAGAUUAGUAAUGGCCCUCCCAGUUGAAUAUGAAAAACCUAGUAGAAGUGAUUUUGAAAUUUUGGCCCCUCCAUACGAAGAAUCCUAGCUCCGCCACUGUUUAUGCGACUAGAGGGUUGGUACGAACCGACGUAGAUUACUUUUGUUAGACGGCGGUAAGUGUAAUGUAACCGACAUGGAUGUGAAGAAUUUUUUUUUUAAAUUGGGUUUUUUUCACGCGUUCUUUCAGUUUCAGUUUUCAAUUAGGGUUACAACUUCUUCUUGCCCUUGGCUUUGUCUCCCCUCUUUGGAGGCAAUAGUUUGGAUGUUGAUGUGUGUGUGCGUUUGUAUAUCUGAAAGAUACAAAUACACACACAUCAUCAACUUCUAAAAAAUUGUCUUUCUGAAUGCAAAUAUGUGGUUGCCGUCGUCAAUUUUUAGAGGCAAAUUUUUUGGAUGUUGAUGUGUGUGUGCCUUUGUGUAUCUCAAAGACACAAAGACACACACAUCAUCAACAUCUAAAAUAUUGUCUUUCUCGCACAUUGGUGGUCCGAUUAUGAUGAGGAACAGAGUUCCCUCUGGUAAGAUUUCAUAUCUCUUGGGAUCUCAGACUAAUCUGAUUAUGUUGGCGGUUUUCUAUAUAAACCGUCAUGGUUAUUCUCAAUUCUUGUCAUUAUGUUGAUCUACCAUCGUAAGCUACCAAAAUCCAAGAAAUAAAUCGUAAAAAAAAUUAAUAAAUAUUAAGACGACGGUUUAGAUAUAAGGUGAGCCGUAUAAAGUGAAUAAAUACGAUGGUAAUUUUAACUUCACGACGUGGUAAAUUUUAUUAUACGGCAUUAAUUGAACAAACCGACGUGGUAAAGUUAUAGAUACCGUCGUAGUACAAUACAAAAUAAUAAGUCGAUAAAUUUAUCUUUACCAUCGUUGUACAUUGAUUUAAUACGGCGAUAUUUUGUAAUAUACCGACGUAGAUUUUUUUUGAAAUUAUAUGGCUCCAAAUACAAAAACUUGGUCGUGUUUAUUACGGAGUAAAAAUGGCUACUGUUGUUGCACACCGUCGUCUUUACUUUCUGCGUUGGUGGAUUCAUACCUUCUGCCAUUGUUUUUGAGCUCAGAGUUUACCUAUGAGGAAAACCUUUUCAAUAAGACGACACUUUUUUAAUUUGGUGCGUCGUUUUUUAAAAACACCCAUUGGAAUCUCCAUUUUUUAGGUGUUUAAAUUACUCAUACACGGCGGUUUUAUAACACUGUCGUCUUUUUGAGCACAACGAUGGUUUUUUGUUAAACCAUCGUUUUUUUCUGGUCGUUUUUUUCACUUUUUGUAGUAGUGCUAAUGGAUCACACACCUUAAAUGGUUAACUUUGAGUAAUACAAAUGAGAACGAGGAAAUCAAUUUGAUUGAUUUGAUGUAGAUGAUUUACUACGAGUAAAAACGUAUUUGGGCCUCGAUAAUAGUUAACAGGAAGCCCAAAUGGUUGAGUAUCAAGCCCAAGGGCUUAAGACACCUAAAUAUUAUGAUUUAAGUGUCACAAUGCCCAAUUUUGGAAGCUCAAUGGGGUUUGGCCGAAAAUGCAUAAGUAAAUGUGUUUGGGAAUUGUUUCCAUAAGCUCAUUAACACACAAACACAAUCCAAUAUCAACCAAAUAGGUUUAGGAGAUCGAAGAGAGAUAAAAUAGAGUUUUCAAGAGUGAAACACUUUCAUCUUUCAAGGGGUUUAGAUUGAAACCAAUCUUGAGAAUCUUGCACUAGCAUCCUUGUAUUCUCAAGAUACUUCCUCUCAUCUCAAGGUUCCAUUGGUGUAGAGACUUAGAGGCCAUAUACUUUUGUGGCUCACAUGGAGGAGAAAGAUCAAGGAGCAAAAAUCAAGAUCAAAGAGGAGGUCAACAAAGAGGAAUUCAUCAAGAGAAGACCAAACACAAAUUGGUUCAUAUAAUUGCUUCAAGGGUAAUUAGAUCUUAUCAUUUCUCUUGAAUUUUUCAUUUAUGAAAUACAUAUCAAUGUUCAUGGCUUAAGAUACUUGGAAAAAGUUUGUUUUUGAAUGUAAACAAUCACCAUAGACUUCCGCUGCGAUUAAUUUGAUUAAAUGCAUGUUUAAUAUUCAAAUGAACUUUGUAUAAAUGUUUUAAAUCCUACCCAAAAAAAAAAAACCCAUGCCACCCUCAUCUCAACCUCCCCAACCAUCGUCCCUCCUCCUCCCUUGACCAGCCACAACAACAACCACCCCUAGGGCUCGUCAAUGGGCCGGGUCGGGCUAGUCCAAUUCAAAUUUAAUGGACUUGGGUUGGGUCGGGCUGAGCUAGACCGAGCUUUAAAGAUGAGAGAGAAAAUACCGGACCGGUUAUUUUUAAAAAAUUCAAAGCCCAAGCCCAACCCAUGGGCCGGGCUAAGCCUAACGGGCAAGGCUGAAAUGAGCCUACUUCAUUAAAAAAAAAAAAUUCAUAAACUUAAUCAUAAGGGCAUUUUAGUCCAAAUUUGAGAUUAAACUCACUUAAUUCCAAUAAUUUCACAUCAAACCAAAUUCAUAAAACACCAAAUAAAGUCACACAACUUAAUAAGAUUUUUCACAAAAAUAAUAAAACCAAGUAUUAUGUUUGAGGUUAUUACAUAAUUAGACCGUAAUACGUUUUAAAAAAUAAUAAGUAUCAAAUUUUUUUUUUUAAAGGAUGGUAUGAAUAAAUAUGCAAAUAUUUGGUGAUGUGUUCAAAAAAAGCAUGAUUAUAUUUGGUGGUACGAUUAUGUUUCGUGAUAUGAUUAUAUUUGGUGAUGUGAUAUGUUGUUCAUCUUAUAUAUAUAAUUAUUGAAUUAGUAAUUGACACAAAUUAAUGUGCUAAUCAUCCAAUUAUAAACUAGGAAUGAGUAAAGAAAAGUAAAUGAAAUGAAACAAAUUAUAUAUGUGAUUUAAGUGAUAUAAUCCUAAACCUAAACUCUUAUUUAUACAUAAUUAUAUAUGUAUGCGGGUCUAAUAGGCCGGGCUUUUAUAGGCAGGCCGGGCCAGGCUUUCUUGGGCUUAAUCGGGCCAGGCUUAUGGCCUGGGCCGGGCUUCAGACACCUAAGCCCAAGCCUAGCCCAGUCGAAAGCAAGCCGGGCCAUCUCAAAGCCCAUAACGGGUCGGGCCGGGCUUUUUUUCAACGGGUCGGGCGGGCUCCCAUCAGCCCAUGAGCCCGUGGGCCAAAUGAUGAAGCCUAGCCACCCCCACCCCAUCCUCAACCCCAGCCCACCCCAUCACCACCCCUUCCUCAACAUCUAUUGAACAGACCCCAAACCCACUCGAAGUAAAUGAAUAAAUUGAAUUGAUACAAUAAUUAUAAUAAAUAGAUAAUUGAAAAUCCAAAAACCCCCAAUUAUGUACUCUACAUAACCAACACCGUAGCAAAAACCCCCAAUGGCCACAGCUUCGGCAGUGGAGAAACUAUUCAAAUGGCACUGUUAUUGGCGAGUGCGGGAGCCUAUGAGGGAGAUCCAUCAUAACAUCUCGUCCCAAAAAUCACUGUUCAAUUGAUUAUUUAUUAUGAAAUUACAUUUUUGCCCUUAGGUGUAGGGCACUUUAGUCACUUUUUAUUUGGAAAGGAAUUUGGGGAAUUGAGUGGCACCGUUGAGUUGAGAUCAACGAUACGAGUUCGUAGACAGGCGUCAUGUUCAAUUCAGAGUUAAAACGAAGAAGUUAUGAUUUACGGAAAUGUAGUUGAACAACCGCAAUUUUUGCAAAGUUAAAAUUUAAAUAUCCCAGCUUCUCUCUCUCUCUCUCUCUCUCUCUCUCUCCUUCACUAAAACAAACCGGCCACUUUGGCUUGCAUUUUCUCCUCCUUCUGACCACGGCGACCUAUUAAACGUUCAUCUCUUCUUCCUCUUCACGUUCAUACCCAUUUCCACUUUCGAAACUCCAAGAUUGAUCGCGAUUUUGGACUAGAACUGAGCGAAACCCUAAUUUGUGGCCCGGCAAAGUUCGUACGAUUUCUAGCGAUUCCGGCAGCCAUAUGAAACUUCAUUCCCUCAUCAUGCUCUACUUGUUUAUGUACUUAGUUUGGAUCGAUUUUGAGGUUUUACAAAUCAAUUCUUAAACCCAUUUUUGGUCGUGGUCCAAGAACAAAAGUUUAUCCCUUUGUUAGUUUGAUCGUAUUGGUAUAGGUGUUUGUCAGGAGUUUCCGAGAAAUUCCCGUUGCAGGAAAUUUCUCAAAACAACCACGCACUAGCAGCGCCGGGUGACGGCGUGUCGGCCACUGUGUGGCACCCUAUUGAGUUCUAAAUUGUUUCCCUUGUCAUCAUGAGCACGACGGUAUGCUCGGAUUUGGAUUUGGUUAUCGUUUGACAUUUGAACAGAUAUUGCACCUAUUUUGGUUGGGAGGUGUUUGUGGUUUGGUUGUUUGAUUUUAAAACGGUAUUUUCCUAUGAGAGUUUUGUUAACUGUUUAUGAAUUAUUGUUCUAUCACUUUUACUUUCUGAGAAUGAUAUAUCCAUGUUUAUUUUUAUAUGUGUGCUAAAAUGGAUUAAAAAUUGGAUUGUGUUGUUUUCGGAAAUAUGGUUGUCUUUGGAGAUAUUGAUAUCUUCUUCUGACAUCCCGGUUGCCUUCUGAAAUAUUGAUGUCUUCAAACAUCCUGGUUGUCUUCAAAAAUACUGUUGCCUUCGGAAAUAUUGAUAUCUUCGGACAUCCUGGAUGCCUUCGGACAUCCUUGAUGCCUUCGGACAUACAGUUACCUUCGGAAUAUCUUCGGAUAUACAGUUGCCUUCGGAAUGUCUUCGAACAUAAGGUUGUCUUAGGAAUAUCUUCGGACACCUCAGUUGCCUUCGAAUUUGUCUACACACGUAUGACAGUGUGCCCACGAGUUUCGAGGACUCUUGUGUUGGAAAAUUUAAUAUUAACUAAUAUUGAUUUUCCUAUUUGAAUGGAAAUUAAUAAAAUUCAUUGGGUUAAAGGCAUCUUCACAUGGGGGGUGACAACUCUUCAAACCAAGGGAUGCAUUGUUUGGGGUGACAACUCUUCAGACCAAGGAAUGCAUUGUUUGCCUUUUCAGAUUGAGAUACCUUUUUAGAAAGGGUAUUUCAUCAUCUAUAAAUAGAGCAAUCCUCCUACAGUUUUAUUCAUUCAGUUUAAUUCUCUACAUAUAGACUUUCACAUAUAGAAAGCAUUAGAGUUUUCAUAAAGGGAGGUUCCUGCAUAAUUUGGUUCAAAGUUCCUUGUGAAUUGCAGUGCUUCUUUCAUAAGGAGGGGAGUCGUUGUAUCCUGGGAGGCGAACGCUAGUGAACCAUAAGCACCAGUGUGGGGCGUAAUUCGUCUUAAGGUCAGAGUGUCCAACACUUGCCUCGACUCAAUUAAGGUUCUUUUAAUUACAUACUACUGUUGUAAAAAUUUGUUUUGUUUGUAGUGUUUAUUUGAUUAUUUUAUAGCAAUUUAGCACUCAUAUUUCCUACAUCUUGAACCGUGUAAUGCAAGGAUUUGCAUUCUCAAGUGGAGUAUAUCUCCCUGAGUUAUGCGAGGAUUUGCAUUCUCAAGUGGGGUAUAUUUUCUUGAGUUAUGAGAUGAAUGCGGUCUCAGGCCGACCUCGUUUCCUCCAAGUUCUAUGAUGAUAUAUCACAGACGUGGCCACAUGUGUGGUGCAAGGGGAAUUGACAAAUUAUUUGUGUUCUUAGGUUGAGUAUAUCUCCAUGAGUCCUAUGAGAGGAAUUGAUAGUAUAUUAUUGAAAUUGAUGGAUUAUAUUUGAGGUACAGUUAAAAGGAUAUUCUUCACCACCCUCCCUGCUCACAUUAUCUGCACAGGGUUGGCCAAGAUCCCUAGUCACCUACCCGACUUGUCUAUACAGGGGGGUGGUUAGCUAGUUUUCCCUUCCCCUGUUGCCUUCGGAUUUGAUGGUAUUCCCAUAUCCCCUCCCCCCCUUUUAGGGUCAAGCCUCACAUAUCCCUUGAUGGGUGAUUACAGGAUAUAUGCAAUAUGUGGAUAAUUGCAAGUAUGGCUUUCUGGUAAAAGGUUUGGUUAUGUAAGUGUUUGGAUGUACAGCGAUAAACUAAUUGAAUAGUUAGAUACAUAAUUACAUGGUAUGACAUUCAGUUAUAAAGCCCCUCAUUGUGAGAGAAAUACCUUUAUAGUCCGCAAUAUUUCAACGGAGCUCUAAAUAAUGCUCUAUCCACCAUAUUUAGAGCAUCAACCAGGAUGGCCUUAGAUAACCUGAUAAGAUAAACAACGCCAUCCGCCAUACGAAGUGGUGGCGUUAGAUGAGGUUUGUAAAUUAAAUCACCAUUUUUUCCAAUCCACAACGUAAAGAAAGAGUUGAAGGCAUAUAGAAACAAACAACGCCGUCCAAAUAACAAAAUGCAUCACACUCAAACAGGGACAGUGGGACAUUUUUGGUAGGUGCUUUCAGGAAAAAUGGUUAAAAAGAGGUUGAGUAGGUGCUUUCAGGAAAAAUGGUUAAAAAGAGGUUGAGUGGGGAUGGGGAUGGGGCUCUAUAUUUUAUGUAUUUUUUAUUUUUUGUCUCUCCUAAGAGCUGGUUCCCCUCAUGAAAUGAGCAGAAAAAUUCUCCACCACUUCUUAUUUUAGCUGCAUGUAGGCUUCCCAAGAGAUAGAAGAGAAGUUCACUUGGGGUCUGCAGGCUCUUAGAGCAACUCCACCCAUUUGCCUUUUGCUAUGGUAAGGGAGGGGAUAAGGCAGCUACUAUUCACAUGAAUAGUGAUUGCCCUUGUAAAAAGCCAUUUCUGUUUCCACCCGUUGCCAUGACAAAGGGCAAUUACUAUUCUUUUUUUUUUUUCACAAUUUUUUUUACCUCAAUAAUUAAUUUGGAUAAUAUUUUCGGAUAAGAUUUUCGGGUUUCUAUGUGUCAAUACUAUUCAUAGCUCAUAAUCGGAUAAAAUUUUCAGUUUCAAAUUUCAUAUAAAUUUCAAAAACAAAUUGGCAGGUAUUUAUAGAAAAAAAUUCACUAAUUUUUGGGUAUUUUUAAAAAAAAAUUCAGAAUUUUUUUUAGUAUUUUAUGGUAAAAAAAUUGGCUGUCAUUAGAUUGGAAGAAAAAAUCCGAUCGGAGAGCCCAGACGACAUCACAUGGCAACAGAAAAAAAAAAAUUCAAAUGAGUGGGCUGACGCCAGCCUGGCGUCAGCGAUGACAUCAACCCAAAACUCGAGCUCGUGCUUGGGCUGAACUCCCCCUCGAGCCAGCCCAAGGUCGUGGCCCCCACCUCCUGCCCAGGCAAACCUUCGCUGCUGGAAACAUGAUUUGAACUGCUCUUAUACCCAAGCAAGUUGAAGUAUUCCUCCCUUUAUUUAUUUAUUUAUUUUUUUAAGAAAAGAGAAAUAUAUUAGUACUGUCUAUUUUGCCACAUGGUAGGAAAGUCCCCACCUAAGUUUUUCUCUUUCGUGUUUAUCUCCUAGCAUGUUGGAUAUAUAUAUAUAUAUAUCAGUAGUGAAAAAAAUGCUCAUGUCCUCUAAACAAUUGUGCCAAAAAUUAACGGCUGGAAGAAGAAAGAGAGAGAUGGAUUUCUUGAGUUGUGUACUAUUAUGUCUAAUGGUUGCCUGGAUCGUAAUCCAAGCCCUCCAAAAUUCAUUUGCAAGAAGAAUUCCCACAAACCUUCCACCUGGACCAAAGCCAUUUCCUUUGAUUGGAAAUCUCCUAGAGCUUGGAAACAAACCCCACAUCUCACUAACCAAGCUUUCAAAACGCUAUGGCCCCAUUAUGACUUUACAACUCGGCCAACUAACAACAGUUGUAGUUUCUUCAUCCAUCGUCGCCAAACAAGUCCUCCGAACCUAUGACCGAUUCUUUUGCAACCGAACGAACGCAGAUGCACUCCAAGCCUGCAGCCAUGCCAAGCACGGCAUGCCCUUCAUACCUGUUUCAGCUAAAUGGAGAAACCUUCGCAGAAUAUGCAACUCCCAAUUGUUCGCCACCAAAGUUCUCAACGCCAACCAAGCCAACCGUCAACUAAAAGUGCAAGAGCUCAUAGCUGAUGUCAGCGAAAGCGUGGUAAAAGGUAAGGCAGUUGAAGUUGGAAGGGCUGCUUUCUUAACUACCCUCAAUUUGCUGUCACGUACUGUCUUCUCUGUGGAUCUAGCGGACCCGAAAAGUGAGACGGCUAGAGAGUUCAAGGAGUUGGUGUGGGGUAUCAUGGAAGAGGUCGGGAAACCAAACUUGGCUGACUAUUUUCCUGUGCUUAAGAAGAUUGAUCCCAUGGGGAUACGGCGCCGUUUGACCAAGCACUUCCGGAAGAUGAUUGACCUCUUUGACCGCUUGAUCUUCCAAAGGUUGGAAACAAGAAAAUCACAUGAUUAUGUCACAGCCAAUGAUAUGUUGGAUACUCUUAUAAACAUGAGUGAAGAGAAAAAUGAGGAUAUGGACAUUCCUGAAACUCAUCAUUUGUUUCUGGUUAGUUAUGGAUAUAGCUUUCCUACAUAUACUAAUUGCUAAUUAGAGUGUAUCUUUUUGUGAUUAUUAAGGUUGUUUUUGGUUUUGUUUAUACCAUCUAAACUGACUUAAAGACGGUUGAGAUAGUACACGUAGUUUUAUUAGUUCAUUAUUAUACAUAUAUGCUAGCUCCGAUUAAUUUUCUGACUAAGUAAUCAGCCAUUUGGUGAAUAAUAUAGGAUUUAUUUGUUGCGGCCACAGAAACAACCUCAGCCACAUUGGAAUGGGCAAUGGCUGAGCUACUAUGCAACCCUGAAAAACUGUCAAAAGCUCAAGAGGAGCUAGAACAAGUAAUUGGGAAAGGGAAACCAGUUGAGGAAACAGACACUGCUCGACUUCCUUACUUACAAGCAAUAAUCAAAGAGACCUUUCGGUUGCACCCAGCUCUUCCGUUUCUUCUCCCCCGCAAAGCCGAAGCAGACCUGGAAAUCUGCGGGUAUUUUGUACCCAAGGGUGCACAAGUGUUGGUCAAUGCAUGGGCCAUAGGCAGAGACCCUGGCUUUUGGGACAACCCGGCCUCAUUUAUCCCAGAGAGGUUCUUGGGAUUGGAUAUGGAUGUCGCUGGCGGAAGCUUUGAGCUUAUCCCGUUUGGUGGUGGGAGGAGAAUAUGUCCUGGCUUGCCCUUGGCAAUGAGAAUGUUGAACUUGAUGUUGGGUUCACUUCUUAACUCGUUCCAUAAUUGGAAGCUUGAAGAUGGAGUUGUACCAGAAAACAUGAACAUGGAAGAGAAGUUUGGCAUCACUUUGCAAAUGGCUCAGCCUCUGAGAGCUGCUGCCAUGGCCGUGCCAUAAAAUAUCCUACUAGCUAUUUGUUUUUACCUAAGUUAAUAUGUUGUGAAAUUGAAUAAAAACUAUUCAUGCCAUGGAAUAAAAACUAUUCAUGCCAUGGAUACUCUCACAAGUUCCUCCAAAUAGGUUGUGUCCAUUUUCUUGCCAUGGAAUAAAAAUUGCAUAUUUAACUUUCAGUUGUCCAUUUUUUCUUAUGCUCAUCUGGAAUGGAUUUUGUUUACUCAACGUUGUUUUAACUUCUAGUUUCAGGUUUUCUUCUUCGUGUAGAGCAUUCAUUUUAUUAUAAUAGAUUACAAAACCCAAUCUGAUUUUAAACAAUAAAAUUAUUGCCAAUAAUGAACCAUUUGUUUGAAAGAAGAAAAUUAUUGGCAAUAAUUAAUAGUUUUAGGUGGGUCGAGAUGACAUAUGGGAGAAGAAAAUAAUGGAAGGAAACAACAAAGUAAGAUCCAUUUGUUAAUCAAAGAGUUUUUGCUGUUCACAGUCGCUUAAGGCAACUGCGAAAUCAAACUCUCUCUUUAUUUGAAAAACUUCAAAUUUUUCGCUUUCGUACCAACUAGAGAUUAUAACGACCUUUCGAACAAUAAAUCGAGCGAAGAACAAUUCCAACCAUUGCAUUUCUUGCUAAAAUAUGAAACCUAACUUGAGAAUAUUUGUUUGUAGGAAUUUUUUAUGUAUUCUUCUCCUUGUAGGAGAUCAUAUUUAUAAUACAACGAAACUUUAAUGGGCAAGUAAAUAAUAAAUUCAUAUUUCUAUUUACAGUAGGAAAUCAGGAAUUAAAGUAAAUCAAUUACAAUUAUAAUAAGAAUUCUUGGUAUGAAAAGAAAGUAAGUCAGUGGUCCACAAGACACGCCAACACUCUCUCUCACGUUGGUACAUAGAUGUCGUCAAUGCCCAACUGAUCCAGUGAAUUGUGGAAUGCUUUACUGGAAAUUGCCAAUUUGGCGUCAGCAUUGACAUCAGCCCAAAACUCGGGUUCGCGCUCGGGCUGAACUCCCUCCUGGGCCUACCCAGGUUCGUGGCCCCCACCUCCUACCCGGGCAAGCCUUUGCUGCUAGAAACGUAAUUUGGGCUCAAAACGCUCCCAGCCCGCCCCCUAACUUCUCCACUGAAACUGCUCUUAUACCCAAGCAAGUUCAAGUAUUCCUCCCUUUAUUUAUUUAUUUUUUUAAGAAAAGAGAUAUAUAUUAUUACUGUCUAUUUUGCCACAUGGUAGGAAAGUCCCCACCUAAGUUUUUCUCUUUCGUGUUUAUCUCCUAGCAUGUAGGAUAUAUAUAUAUAUAUAUAUAUAUAUUAUUGAAAAAAUAUGCUCAUGUCCUCUAAACAAUUGUGCCAAAAAUUAACGCCUGGAAGAAGAAAGAGAAAGAUGGAUUUCUUGAGUUGUGUACUAUUAUGUCUAAUGGUUGCCUGGAUCGUAAUCCAAGCCCUCCAAAAUUCAUUUGCAAGAAGAAUUCCCACAAACCUUCCACCUGGACCAAAGCCAUUUCCUUUGAUUGGAAAUCUCCUAGAGCUUGGAAACAAACCCCACAUCUCUCUAACCAAGCUUUCAAAACGCUAUGGCCCCACUAUGACUUUACAACUCGGCCAAAUAACAACAGUUAUAGUUUCUUCAUCCGCCGUAGCCAAACAAGUCCUCCGCACCCACGACCAAUUCUUCUGCAACCGAACUAUCCCGGAUGCAGUCCAAGCCUGCAAGCAUGCCAAGUAUGGCAUGCCGUGGCUGACGGUUUCCUCCACGUGGAGAAAC